rnacentral:lncRNA from 1 species
AGCUGCAGAAUCUUACACAUGGUAUUCUUUCAGUCAUACUCAGGUUUUGAUUUUUCUUUUUUUAACUUUUUUUGGAAAGUAGUUGCAGUUUGAACUGUAAAACACAGGAAGGAAUUUGGUGUACAUUUGUUAGAAACCAGGGUAUUGAUUUUUGGUGUACAAUUUUGUUUCAUGGUUUUCAAUUUUAAUCCGAUUUCACUAGCGAUUUUUGCUUAGAUAUAUUUUUCCUUGAAUCAUUUUAGGCACAGGUAUUUCACAAAGUACACAUCGGCAGUGGAGUAGUUUUUUUUUUUUUAAUAUAUAUAACUACAUAAGCGUGGUUAAGAGCAAGAAACUAGAAAGUGAACAACUAAAAUUUAAGUCAAUAAGCUUAUGUUAUACACUGGAUCUACAAUGCGUCCGAAAUUAAAGACAAUUUGGGAUUGUCGUCACUUUUGCAAGAGCAUUCACUUUAUUUGUGAUUCUACUCAUCCAAAAGGAAGGAAAAGACUUGAAAUUGUGCCUUAAGAUGAAGAGAGUGCUGAACUCUUGAGAUGUACCACGGCAUUGAAAACGUGUUGAGAAUUGAUCUCAAGAUAAAUCAAAUCCUUCACAUAUGGGCAGGGUUUAACCAUAAUAAAGCCUCCCGAACAGCAGAGACUUGUGCUAAAUGUAGUGGCAUAAUCAGCUUAAAUGUUUUAACAAGUAAUUACUAAAUUAAAAAAUACAAGUAGAAUUGGUUUACAUCAAACAAACCAACAAUUAGCCAUAUUUCUAUUAAUAAAUAGUAUAAAACUAAAUUAACAUUGUGUUAGUAGAUGCAUUUUAAUCCCCUUACCAAGAAAAAUUAAGGAGGUGAAACAAAUUAAGAAAUGGAACAGAAAGGGUAUUUCAGUCAUGGUAUAUAAGAAAGGAAACUUUGACCAAAUAGACAACUUGCCUGUGACAGAAGCGAAUGGUGGGUUCUGGUACAAUACAAUAGUUUCAACUUUUGUUCUACCAAUAAUGCUAUUUUAUAAUGGUCAUAUACAAUAUCAGAUUUUGAAUAUAUUCCCCAGACAAGGGCUAUUAAUACUGGACAGUCCCACGACACCCUCUCCCAGCAAACAUUGUUACGUUGAGUUUUAAAUAAUUACAAAAUGAAAAACAAAUACAAAAACUAGAAAACAGAUACUUGUAAUAGAAAAAUAAAAUGCGAGGAGCAGUGGAAGUGGUGGUGGUUUGAGAGUUUAAAAGGUGCAAAGUCCAAAGAUUUUCAGAAAGGGAAAAAAAAAUAAAAAAUAAAAAUAAAUGUGUGUGUAUGUAUAUAAGAUAUUUAUAAGAAGGUUCCAGGAAUCAAGGGCCAAGAUCAUGUGACAGACCCAUAAGAUAAGGAGCAAAACUAAGUUAAAAGGUUUUUUUCUUUUUGCUUGCACUUUUUCUCAAACUUCUCAAACUUAAAAAGAGAGGCAACCAGGCAUGGUUUGAGAGAUUCAGAGAAGUAACUCAAAACCCACUUCUUUUUUAACAGUAUAUAAAGCAAGUUAAGAUAAUCCUAUUUGGCCUUUUAUGGUCCUAAUCCUAUAUCUUUCUUUCAGAGUCUAAACUAAAGCCUCCAAAAGCAUUACAGUUUCUGAGUUGGGGCUUGGUGGCGCCACUACUACACUUGAACUGGUCCAUCAGUUGAGACGACAAUGUUAAGAGGAGUGAAUACAAGACCGGGCAGAUAUAGUGGGGGGGCCAAAGUGGCUGUUUUCUUGUUGUGGAUUUUGUUGUUUUUUUCUCAGUUGGGUUUGCAUUUCGCUGUUCAUAAACAAGGCAGUCGGCAUAGCUUUCAGUUUGUUAGGUCCCCUCCCCCAAGGAAAGUCUGGUUUUCCGGCGCUGCUAAUUCUUUUCAUGCUCCAUCAAGCUCGCCUCACUUGGCUGGAAAUGAAGGUGAUGAAAAGAGAAUAGUUCAUACAUGUUUUGAAAUGCUAAAUGACUGUAAGAAGGAUAUUAUUAUUAUUAUUAUUAUUAUUAUUAUUAUUAUUAUUAGCUUUUGCUUUUUUUCUUGAAUAUUAUUAUAGUGAAUGAUGAUGAGAAUAGAGAGCAUUGGCUUUAGCCUUUUCAGUGAUGUUUCUAAAUGAGGGUUCUUUUUUAGGGCAGUGUAAGACAAGGGGAAAGGCCAGUGUUAAUGCCCUUGUUUCUUCUUCUUCUUCUUCUUCUUCUUCUUCUUCUUCUUCUUCUCCUUCUUCUUCUUCUUCUUCUCGUGUACUGUACCUUUCUCUCUGUUAAUGCUAAGAUUGAAGACAUCUUUUAAAUUAAAUAGGUUCAGUUCCUUUCACUCAUCUGCUUUGCUUUCGUGUACAACUGUUGUGCCAGCCUAUAUUUGCAGGUUCCCACACUUCCCUUCUCCUUUCUGUCAUGGGAAUUAAGAGAGCUUCAAAUAAUGUUACAAUGAAUGUUAUUGUAAUGAAUAGGUAAUAAAUAUAAACGAUAAUAAAGAGACCAAACCCUGAAAACGAAUACAAUGUUAAUCCGACCACAAAAAGGAAAUCAUAAAACGUUGGGAAAUAAUGUUGAAGCUGAAGAAUUCAUUUCUGACAUCGAGAAUUUCUAUUUUACUAUAACUAGGGUUUUAGCCCUAGGGUGUAGGUUACAGUUUUAAUAAUCCAAACUGUAUCUAGUAAUUAAUAAGGUGUUUCAUGUGGGUAAUUCGCAUAAGCUAAUUUCAUAAUUACCCUCAUCGUCUAACAUGUUCAUUACAUAGUAACAUAUGAAGAACGAGAUAUAGUGACAAAGAGAGAUGACGAGACAGACAGCUAAAAUAUGGGCCACGUUAGCUGGUUUAGAAUAAAUCACGAAAUGAAUCAAAAUUGAAAUCUCAUUUAAAAGAAAGAGUAUGAACUUGUUAGCAGUGGGGGCAUCUGGAGUGAGGGACUGGUUUUGAUUGAUUAUUCCUAGAAGUCCCGGCCAUAUCUGGUUUUAUUGACUUAAAUGCGUCCCUCUUUCUCAAAGCUGAUGCCUGUCUCACAGGGCCAACACGUUUUCUCAUGACUUAGGAUACCGCACCUUUCCAACAUAUAUUAAUUGGCAUACUAAUUUACACUGUCUAAUUUAAUACUACUACUAAAAAUAUUUUUGCAUUCCGGUCAUUUCCCUGCUCCUUCAAUUUUUAUGUUCUUUUUUUCGUAUUUUUAAAACUCUAAACAAUGAAGGUGAAUUCCCCUUAUUUAUAUCAUAUUUGUUUUCUGUAAUUAUAUCAUGUUGAAAAUUACUAUUUUGAUGUUUAAGGGAUGGGUGUGCCAUGAAGAAAGCCCUACAACAACUCCAAAUUAAUAUAUUAAAAUAAUAAUUCAUUUCACUCUUCAACUUUAUAAAAAAAGUUAUUUUAAUUCUUUAUUUUUUUAGUUUUUAAACUUGCGUUUUUGUCAAAUCACCUCGAAAUAAAUAAAAAAGUUAACUUUUUUAACUUUACUGAUAUUCCAUACACGUAAAUGACACAUCGACAUUUAAUUAUUUUUAAAAUUUUUAAAAAUUUAAAAAAUUCUAAAAACUAUUUUUAAAAAAUAAGUCAUUAAAAUUAUUUAAAAAAUUAUAUUAAUUUUAAUAUUUUUAAAAAAUUAAUUAAUUGAUGAUGUGUCAUGUGUGGCAAUUCAUAUGUAUGCUAUGUUAGUGAAGUUAACAAAUGUUAACUUUUUCAUCCAUUUUGAGGUUUGAUAAAUAAAAAAAAAACAAGUUUGAGGGCUAAAAGAAAUAAAAAAAAAUUUUAAAUGAAUGGCUAAAAUAACUUUUUUAUAAAAUUAAAGGGCUAAAAAAGUCAUUAUAUCAAAUAGAAAUAAACAUUUAAAUGCUAAAUAUAUAAAUAUAUAUUAGUAAUUUGAUUCAGUAAUGUGUCACCUAAGGACAAGGCAUAGAUGAAGCUGUGAAGAGAAAUCUAUAAAUUUAAAAAAGAAAAAAGUCAUAAAAACUUCCUUGGAAUCAGCUUUUGUCAACUAAACACAUAAACAAAAUAAAUAAAAAAAGUUCUGAAACAUAAGAUUGGUUGGAGAAAUGAGAGAUCUUUCUUCUCUAAUUAAUAUAUUGAGAGGUUCAAAAGAUUCUAUUCAAGUGUGAGAGAGAAGAAGCAAAUUUAUGAAGGCAAGCUAUUAGUCUGUGUAAGGAAAGAGUUACCCCAUGAAAUGAAUGUUUGCUUGCGAGGCCUUUAAAUGAGUGAGUUAUACACUGCUUGAUGAGAGUGCAACUACCUCUCAUCUCUCACUAUUUAUUUAAUAAUUUUUAAAUAUUCCUAUUUUUAUAUCAUAUUCAUAUUAUCUUUUAAUGAUUUUUUGUGUCGGUCUUUUUUAUUGUAUUUUUUUAUUUUUGUUCUUUUAUUUUAUUUUUUUAAAUUGAAAGUGUUCAUAAAUUAAAUCAGAUUCUAACUCGAUCCAUUAAAAAAUUAUUUCUAUAUGAACAUGUAUAUAUAUUUUUCAUUAAAUAGAAAUAAAAUAAAAUAGAGAUGGAAUCAAAUUAAACCCAUUUACUUUAUAUUGGUAUGACCAUUUUUAAUUUGGGCAAAUAAAAGAAGGCCCAUAAGAGUUUCAUACUUAGCUGGAAUGCUAAAUUUAUGAUAAUAUAUCAACCACCCAAAGACCUAGAAUUAAUGGUUAAUCAACGUAGGUCACAUUCUUGCUCAUCCUUAAUGAAUUGCAUGCUUUGGUUGUUGAUUUUUAUUUUUAUUUAAAAUAUAAAGCAAGCCUAAGCUUAGACAUCCACAACCUAAAUCCCUGCCAUACAGACACAGUAACCAACAGGCAGGCAUAAAGAAAGUAAUGCUUUAAUUGGGUUGUAGAACAUUCAUUAUAAAAAUUCUUGACAAGGUAUAGGCUUGGAAAUCCUAAAACCUACUUAACAUCCAACUAUUACUUUAAUUGAUUAUAGCGUAUGAAUCAAUCAAUCAUACAACUUGAAGAAAAUAAUAUGUUGACCAAUCAACCUAAACAAAUACAAUUAAAAAAUCAAAUCAGACUGCUUCAGUUUGCCGUAACACUACAGAUUGAGUUUUUCAAGUCACACCUCUCUAUAAUAUAUUCACCUAUCAAAUUAAACAAAACUGUAUUUUUAAAUAAUAAAAAAGAAAAAUCAAAGGUGUAAAGUCGAUAGGGACUAAAUUUUUACUUGUUAUGCAUUCAGCUGGUUGACUGAGAUGUCUCACAGUUUUUUAAGCUUUAAACUUAGAGAAAACAAGCUGCUGGUUUUUGGCACUUUGGGAUGGAAUUUUAGGAAAAAGUACCAUAAAUAUUGAAACAUUGGAUGUGUUCAUAAUGAUAACAAAUGAAAUGCCAUCAAGGUGUUAAGGCUGCUACAAUAUAUCUAAAUUAACUACGAAUAAGAUACAAUUGGAAAUUUGGGUUUGGUUGGAAAAAAAAAGGAAUAAUUAAUUUCGACUUAAUUGACUUGUUGUAGUUGAAUUUUUGAAAUGUGAACUUGCCCCAUUUUAUCACUUCUAUUAGAAUUCCUAAUUCGAGUUCAAAUGUUUAAAAUCCAGAACAUCAAAAAUUAAUUUUAAUAGGUAACAUAAUUUAAUAAAGUUAAUUAAGAAUUGAUUCAAACUUCAAAAAUAAAAUUAAGGGGUAAAAUAAUAUUUAAUCUCUAAAUUUCUAAAUUUGACAAUUUUUUUUAUCUUGGCCCUUAAGCUUCUGUUAGGUCUACAUUAAUCUUAAGAUUUCACAACUUUUUUCAAUUUUAAUUAAUGUAGACGUGAUACUCUAAAAUUGUAACACAUCAUCAUCUAAACUUUCAAAUCAAAUUUUAAUGACUUUUUAUUAGGGUUUUGCUUGACUUUAUACCAUCCUAUGAUGUUUAUUUUAUGCCUUUGCUUAGAACCAGUAUUUCAUGUAGUUUGACUGAACCAUAUGUAUUUACAAGUGUAAAGGAAGAAAAUUAUUUAAGACUAGCUAAACUUUAACUAUAAAUUUUUAAAGAAGUCAAAAUAUAAUUUAUUAUAUUAACUUAAAAUUUCAUAAAUUUUGAACGAAGUAAAUGACAAUUUUAUUGUUUUUAGGAUCAAUUCCUUCACUUUUCCUGCUUGCCCUUGUGUGUGUAUGUGUUUUUUUUUUUUUUUGUACAUAAAAGAAAAUAGAAGAAAGUUAAAUUCUAACUACCCCAUUACCACAAGCAACAACUCAUAGCAAUGGUCUAAAAUUUGAUGGCGAGUCAUCUAAAUGCACCACCCCCACACUCAAAUCUUAUGCCAAGUUCAUCGAGUGCUUCACACAUUUGUUUCCUUCUCGAAAAGUAUGUCAAACUUCCACUACCUAGCCUUUACUAAUCAAGUCCAAGUAAUCUUUUAUCGUCAUGUUUAUUAGGUGACAAUGUUCAUAAGGUUGUUUCAAGAAUUGCAUUACCAAUAACGCAUCAAGUUCUACAGUCAAGCAUGAGAUGCCGUGAGUUUUUGCAACGCAUAAGCUAGCAUGAAUACCCUAAAGGUUAAUUAUACACUAACAAUAGCACCGAUCAGGGAUUUAAAUUGCGGUCGCGGUCGCGUUUUCGGUCGCGUCGCAUUUGUCGCGGUCGCGGACAUAACGGACGCUAUUGCAGUCACUGCGGGUAUCGCGGUCGUGAAUUUUACAUUACUUAUUGUGUAUUGCGGGUAUAGCGGGUUUCGGCAGUAACGGUUUCGGACGGUGCCAUUACCGCUAUAUAACGGCCGCUAUUUCGGUAACGGACCGCUAUUUAAAUCCCUGGCACCGAUUAUCAUCAUAAAGCCUCUAAUCCAGUUAGCAUUCUCAUCUCGCAAAAUAAAUCUAGCUGAAGCUAUCCAGAAACCUAAUCUUGCAACUCCAUAUGUAUUAAGAAUACAUACCCUAGGAGGAGGUUUAUUCCAAUUAACCCAUUAUUUCCCUUAAACUAACAUUGGCGUCAUAAGACUUAUAGUUUUGCUUAUAUCGAUUGCAAACUUUUUUGCAUAAUAAAAAACUGCACCAAUGGAGUGGACUAUCCUUGUAACACAAAUUUGUCAUGGCACUUUCGAAGGCUCCAUAAGGAGGUCAUAAGCAAACACCUUAAGGUAAUGUAACACCCCAUAUUCGACCCAAUCGUCGAGUCCAAGUUACAAUAUGCCACAUUCGUUUCCAGAAUAACUACGAUCAACUAUAUUCCAAUCCCAUCAUUGAACAUUUAUAUAUAUUACAUGUAUCAAACACGAUAAAUAAUCAUUUUUGGGUCAAAUAUAAGCUUACAAAUUCUUAAUACCAUUUCAAGGUCAAAUAAGAACCAAAUUGUAAUAUUUUCAAGACAUCUCAAGUGGAUGUGACGACUUCCAAUGCUUGGUGUCACGACUUCCAAGCUUCUUAACCUAAUGAUCAAUUAGUAAAGUUUUCAAAAUAAAAUAGAGUCGACAUUGUGACCUCAAACAUGAGACAUCAUAAUGAGAUAACCUGAUGUUGCGACAUUCAGGGUGUGAAGUUGCGACUUCCAUAGCAGACCACUAACUUCCUAUUUUUCCUUUGAUUUAACCUAUCAUGCUUAACAUUAGUUGGCCUUAAGGCCCUAAUCAACCAUUCCACAUAAUCAAAACGUGUUCAAAGCAUAACUAUCAAACUAUUAGUAUCAUUUCUAAGCAUGAACAAAACCAAUUUCUCAUAAUCACAACUUAUAUACAACCAUUUUGACCAUUCCUAUCAUUUGGAAAAAUAUUUCUAGGUACAUGCCAUUGACAUAAUGAAAGAGUUAUACAAACUAAGGUUAAGUCGAUUUUGGAUGUUGACUUCACUUUCCUAGGGCUUCGAGAAUACUUGUUGUAGCGACGUAAAAAUUUUAGCUUGGUCGCUAAUUGGGGUGUUUGAUUGAAAGUUUAAAGACCGAGGUUUGAUUUUAAAAAGGGAGUCGCCACCGAUCUUUUUUCUAAGCGUGAUCGGACACCUAAUAAAUCAUCUUUUUUUAAAAGAAAAUUUAUUCUUGAACAAAAAUGAAGGCCAAACUUGGGUCUACGCGAAAAUCCAGAGAAGAAUAGGGUUCGGGAGUCGGUUACGCAUGAGGAAGGUAUUAGAACCCUCGUGACGCCCAAAAUUGGUAUCUUUAUUAAACACGUGUUGUCUUGAUUUUCAAAAAUACGAAUUCAAUUUGACAUUUAACCGUGAUUCGAUUGAAAAGACCAGAAUUUUUAAAUUUUGAUUUGUUAGAAGGGCGUUCCGUUUUCAACACGAGCCGAUAUGAUUCACCCAACAUUGCGAUGAAAUCAACAACUUAGUGUUAGUGUUAAACCGAUACGUUGCCUCAUGUAUUGAAAUUAAUUAGAAAACAAGAAUAAGAUUUUCGAACUAAUACAAAGCAAAUUGUUAUGAAAUAAAAAUAAAUAAAAGAAAGAGUUAGAAAUAUAUUGAAGCAAAUAUAAGUGUGACAAUAAUAUUAAAAACGAUAACGAUGUAUGCGAUAUUAAACGUAAUACUAGAGUUAAACAUGAAAUGGAAACAAUGAAUGUAUAUACAUAAUAAUGAUAUCAAGAGUAUGUACGUAAAAUAUAUAUAUAAAUAGUAAUAGUGUUAGAAAUAUACUAUAUAUAGUGUUUGAAAUAUAUACCUAAGAUAGUAAAAAUAUAACUAGUAAUGUUAAAAUAUAUACAUAACAUAUACAUAUAUAUAAAAUAAAUAUUGAAAAAUGUAUGUACAUGACAUAUAUGAAAAAUAUAUACAUAAUAAUAUUAAAAUAAAAUAAUAAGUGAUAAUAGUGAAAAUAAUAGGUAUAAUAAUAAAUAUAAUGAUAUAUGAAAAUAAUACUAUAUGUAAAAGUAUAUAUAUACUCAUAUAAUAAAAUGUAUGUACUAGUAUUAACAAUAAAUAUAAUAGGGAUAGAAAUAGAUAUAGUAAUAAUACGUACAUAAUAUGGUAUUAAAAAUUUAUAUUAUAUAUAUAUAACAUAGUAUUUGAAAAUAUAUACAUAAGAUGAUAUAAAAAUAUAUUCAUGGAAUAGUAUAAGAAACCUAUGUAACUAAUAACAUAUAAAAUAUAUAAUAUAUAUUAGAAAUGAUAAUAAUAUAUAAAAAAAAUUAUUCAUACACUAUAUAAAUACAUACACAUAUAUAUAAAUAAUAAUGGUGUUAGAAAUAUACAAUAUAGAAAUAUACAUACAAUAGUAUAAAAGGUAUAUAACUAAUAAUAUUAAAAUAUAUACAUAAUAGUAUAUAAAAACAUAAUAUUAAAAAAAACAUAUACACAUAACAUAUAUAAAAGCAAUAUAUACAAUAUAGAUUUAAAAAAUGUACAUAAUAUAUGCAUAUUAGAAAUAAAACAACUAAUAUUAAUACUACCUAAAUAUAUACAUACAUAAUAAAACAUAUACUAAUAAUAAUAAUAAUAAUAUUUUAUAAAGCAACGAAAAUAAAUAAGAAUGUACCAAAAUUGAACUAAAAAACAAAGUUUUGGGGCAAAUUUAUAAGGAAAUAAAGAGAAAAGAACCAGAUUGCUAUAUACGUGCAACCUGGGAGUACUGAAAACGCAAUAUUUCUCCAUCCUUAAACGCAGCGCAUGGCCAAGGACCGAAUUGAAAAUCUCAAAAAAUUCCAGGGCCGAAUUAAAAGUAAAAAUAAAUCUGAUUGCGAAACCAUAAAAAAGCGGAGGGGCUAAAAGUGCAAUUAGCCCCUCCAAUAAAAAACACGCGAAUCCUUGGAGCGGGUCGGGUCAACACGCGGGUCGGCGCCUAAACAACGCCGUUUUAUUUAAAAGGGGGACCGUUUUGUUCCUUAUAAAAGACAAAAAAAAAUUUUAAAUCAUUUGAAAUGGGGAAGAGAGAAAAAAAAAAGGGAGAGAAAAUGGAGAGAGGGAGAGAAGAGAUCUCCGGCCAUGGGCUGGUCACCGGUCCGAUCGUCAGACUGUCACCGGCGCUGGCCAUAGUGUAAAAAAUUUCUUAUUUUUUUAUUUUAUUUUAUAUUUUUUAUAUGUUUUAAUAUAUGUAUGUGUGGGAAAAUAGGCCCAAAAAACGAAACUAAAAUGGGAAAAAAAAUCACCUUAGGUUUUAUGCUUUCGGUUCUUCAAUCUCCGAUAUUGGUUUGAUUUGGUGAUAUUCUCUUCCUUGGAUAUUGAUGGAACCGAUGUUUGCUUCAAAAAUCGAAGGUGUUUUAUUUCUUUUUCUUUUUUUUUGAACUGUCGAAGAAAGACCAAAAUUUUCAGAUUUGGCCUAUUUAUAUCCAUUUACAAGUCCUUUUUUCUAUUAUUUUUUGUUGUCCUUUCAUUUUAAUUGUUUGCAGGUGCUAUGGCGGUAGAAGUGACCCGAGUUAGUGGCUGGUGCUGCAGUGGGCAGGUGGUGGCAGAGGCAAGUGGCCGAAUGAGACAAGGUGGCUAGGGUUUCGGGAUUGGGCUAGCUUAGGUGGGCUUGGGUAGGUUUAGCUUGGGUUAGUUUUGGGUAUUUGGGCUUUGGGUUUUUUGAUGGGUUAGUGGGUUAGUGGAUUUAGUUGUAAUGUAUUUGGCUUUUGUGGGUUAGGAUACCAUGGGCCCGGGUAAUUUGCAAACGGGCCCAAAAUUGGCCUACAACACUUGUACUUGUGCAAUGAAUAAACAAACUGUACAUUGAGCGAUAAAGCUCAAUGAUACUUUUAUGAUUCAAGAUAAUCUAAUAUAAGAUAACAAUAGCAAUAUGACAUGAUGCACAUAGUCUCAAUGUCUACCAAUACAUAUUCUAUAUUAUAACACAUUUAAAUAACCAUUUUCACAUGAAAGUGCAUAUAUAUCAAGUGGCAAGCCAAUUCAACUAUCAUGGCAAUGAAAAUGAUCCAAUCCAAUUACAUUUACCAAAAACCUAUUUUAAAACCUUUUAGCAAUUAAUACCAGAUCAUAAUUCAAACAUUUAUAAUCUUAACAUUAUGACAUUCAAUCACAACUCCAUUACAAGUCAUUUAACCAUUUACAAAUUAUUCAAUUCACUUUUCUGGAGUCUAUCGACUCAUUCAUGCUUAUCUCGCCCCCCAAGGAUCAUUUACAACUAAUAUUUAUAACUAUUCACUUGCUUUCAUUAUUUUUUUUAUUCUCAUAUGCAUAUUAAUAAUCCUAUAUUAUUACUCCAUUUCAAUUCAACACCAUUACAUAAGUUUACCAUUCAUAAUCCUUAUUUACAUGACUUGAACUCAGAUGGAUACACAAAUCAUCUAACCAACACACCAACUGGCACUGAAAUGCAUCAUCGAAUAAACUGAAGUAAGGGAAACUAGCACAUAUAAUGCAUCCUGGCACAGAAAGCGCAUACUAGUACAUGAAGUGCAUCCUCAUGUGAAUCUUGGCGCAUAAUCCUAUACACAAUCCAAUCCUAUGGCAUGCCAACUAUAUCCAACUCAGGUUGACUAGUUAAUAGGGUAUCAAUGUUUAAUUACAUUUUACAAUUUAGUACAUAUAUCAUCUCUCGUUCACAAUCAUAAUUACAAUUGAUUUCAUCACCAGUAUGUAUAUAUUUCAUGUCAUCCAACACAUUUCUAUCCUACUUCCAUAUCAUAUAUCAUAAUUCAAGUAAUUCAGACAAUUUCCUAUUCUAUUCAUUUUAGUCCUAUAUCAUGAUAUUUCAUAUCAAACUCAACACAAUAAUUCAUAUUAUCAUAAUGCACUCACCUUGACAAUCCCUCAUUCAAUUAACAUAUAUAUGCAACUAUUUAAAUCUAUCCUGAAUCAUAAAAGUACAAAUCGGGAUUUUCGAGCCACUUCUCGAAAAUUUUUGCUUUUGCUUUUGCUUUUGCUUUUCCUUUUCCUUUCCAUUUCCAAAUGAUGUGAUCCAGCUCUAGUGAUUGAGUCGAGUUCACAUAGAUUGGCCGAUCGUCUUCUAGAAGUGUCGUUCACAAGAUUGUCGAAUUGUUUGAAUCAGCUUAAUAGGCUUAAUGUUAAUAAAAUGGUGUUCAAAGUUGGCUAAGUCUAUGAUGGUAGGUUCGGUUAGAAAGAAACAAGGAUAGAAGCUAUUUGGAUGGGCUUGGUUUAGGAUAAUAAGUUAAAUAAAGAUCAAAGAUACAAAUGGUAAACGAACUUAAACUUCAAGAAAGAUUUGAUACUAUAUCGAGUAUCGCCCCAAAUCUUAUACCGUUUAAGGUGGCCGGAUGAAAAGCAGAAUGAUAGGAGAACGCCACACCAGAUGAUGGUGAUAAGUUCUAAAAACAAGUUCGGGUUGACGCCACUAGUACGCUACGAAAUAUAAGAGGAAGUAAACCUCACAGAAACAAAGUUUCAUUAAAAAAAUUGUCAAAAAGUCCUUUCAAAGUGAUUUGAACUACAUAUUUAUAGGCUGAGUUACCCUCCAACCGAAUGGACACCUUAGAAUCAACUUAAAUUUCAUUAAUUGAGCUGAAAAGCUAUUGAAAUCACCAAAGAGUCUUUGGAAGCUUCUAAACAUGGAAAACGCCAACCAUCAGCUUGUUUAAGAGCUCAAUUCAGCUAAUUAAAGGAGCUGAAAAACUUAGGCUGGAAGGAUUCAUUGUUGGGCAGCCAAAAGCAUUUACAAUCAGCUUUAAAUUCCACCCUUGGGCAGCCGAACAAACAGCAGCAAAUUAAAGGCAGUUUUGGGCGCACAAACAGUCUCUUGUGUGAACGCUUAAAGUCAAGCAGCCAAAUGGUGUGAAAGGUUGAUUCUGAUCAGCCAUCAAAUGUGAAAGGAAUUUAUGAGCUGAAUGGAUUCCAUUUAAACAAUGACCAUUGAGUUAUUUGAACAGCCCCAUGGAGAAGAUCGAACAAUUGCUUAAGCUUUAAUUUUAGCUUAAUGCUCCAGCUCCAAAUUCAUGCACUCAUUAAUACCGUUAAUGCUUCAGCUGAAUUUAGCUGAAUGGUCACCUAAAACACAUCAAUAAAAUUCGGUUAAGGCAUAUUAAUCAGCUCAAUUAAGUUGUACAAACUUAGGACAUCUUAAAUGGCUGUAGGUGCUAAAACAAAUUAAUUAGCUAAAAGCAAUUUAAUUGGCUGUAGCAAUCAGGACAUAUUAAAUAACUUAAGACCUAUUAAUGCUGAAUGUAUUUAGAAAAAUUAAUUAGCUUAAAACAUAAAUUAACUAAGACACAAAAUUAGUAAGUUCAAAUUAAGACAUAUUUAUGAGCUGAAAACUAAUUGACUUAUUUAAUUAUAUUAAUUUAUUUAAUUCCAGCAACUUAAAACGUGUAAAAUAAAAAGGUUGGAAAUGAGCUCGUUGAGCUAGAAUCGAGCUGGAAUAAGCUCAAGUGAGCUAAUCCGAGCUAGAUUAAACUUGGUGAGCUCGAAGUGAACUGAAGUCGGCUUGCACCAAGGUGCAAGGAGUCUUUAUAGAGUUGGCCUGAACUACUCCCUUAUCGUCAAGCUCGUUUUCAUCCCAAAUUUGAAGAAUCAAUGCUAAAACAGCUUCUCGAAAUAGCUUAGUUCGGGCUCGAGUCAUUGGGCCUUUGGGCAGCUUGAUGAGUUCCUUACCCAAGCUCGAUGAACUCCCAGGCGUGCUUACAUCACUUACCGUCGACAUUAGCUAUGUAUAGUCACAAAGCAUAUAACACUAUCAAAUUCCAUCUAAUUCACAAUCAAAUAUCAAAUCAUGCAUUUUUUUAAUUUAUUCAAUUUAGUCCCUAAACUUGGGACAAACAUAACUUUCGAUCUAAAACUUCAGAUUAAAAUCUAAUUUCACUUUAAUUCACUAAGGAUCUUAUACUUUCUAUUCCUACCACAAUUUCAUAAAAUAUUUUCAUUUUGUUCAAUUUGGGCCCUAAUGUAACAAAGCUUACAAUCAAGCUUGUUAAGGUUUACAAUUUAGUCUUUUUUUACAUUCUAAGUUUAAUUUCUAAUAAUUUCACACCUAAUUCAUCCAAUUCUCAACAAUGGUAAAUUAUCAAAAUCUCACCAAUUGAACAAGUUGAUACAUGGGUUAACUUAAUCUAGAUUCCAUGAUAAAAAAUCUACAAAAAAUUAAAAAAAUAGCUAGGGACUUACUUGAAAUGUUGCUCGAAUAUCAAUAGGUUUUCAAAGCUUUCUUCUUCAACCCUUUAAUGGUGCAUGGUAGAAACUUGGAGAACAUGAUGUCUUCUCCAUUAAUUUUUUUCUUAUAUAGUAUGAUUUAGUUUUAAUUAAACAUAAUUAAUUAGUUUAUUCUUAAUUAAUUAAACUCUAGUAUUUAAUUUACUUAAUCUAAUGGCAUCCACCAUCAUAUCUCACUAUCAUAUAUUUAAUUUGGUUUAUUUAUCAUUUUGAUCCUUUGGAUAAUUACUAUCUAAGUCCCCAAGCCUUUUCUUAAUUAAAAAUCUAUAGCAAUUAAGCUUUUACAAUUUAGUCCCUGAGCCUUAAUUAACCACAUUUUCAGCUAAAUUACUUAACCAAAAUUUUAAUAUAUCAAUAUAAUGACUCCAUCGAUAUCCUUAUGUAGUAUUUACAGACUCGGUUUAUACAAACAAGAUUUUGAAAUCGGAAUUCUCGACACCACUGGAAAUCGGGUCGUUACAGGUAAGUUAAAGUUCACCAUAUAACUGUCCUUGCAAUUUUGCUUCAACCAAUGUCUAAAAGAUAAGGAGAAAAAUUUUAUUUAUCUUUAUAUAACAUGAAGAGCUAACCAUAAUUCUUUAGCAGCCAAGGAUUCACAAAAAAUAUGAUCGAGAAACUCCAUGACAAAUCCACACACUACACAAAUACAUUAUCAGUUAAAGACGUUCUCAUGCGUACUUGGUUCAUAUUCAAGCAAUUAAAAUAAGACAACGAAAUGAAGAAUCUAACUCGUUUAGGGUAAUUCAUGUUCAUAUCCAGUCUACUCGUAACUCUAUACAUGAUGGUUCUUCAAGCUUCACUAGCGUAAUGUAUGCUAAUCCACCGAGUAUUUGCCAUCAUUUUCCACGCCCCAACAAGUAUUUGAAGUAUUUUGGUGACCUGCAAUUAGUAACAACACCACAACAAUUUCAAGACUAACACUACUCGAUAACUCACUAGAAAUUGAUUUUAAGUUCCAUUGUCCAUCAUUGUUAAUGUAGUCCGCAAUCAUAGCAUUUCUCUACUCAACUUCUAAGUGCAUCAAUUGCUUACAAAGAAGGCCUUUUUCCAACCCACCAAUCUCGCCAAGAAUUAUUACAUUUUCCAUUCCCUACUUUCCACUUACAAUAUUGAGCCAAAACAUUUUGAGUUUUCAAGAGACCUCACCAAUGUGUCAAAGCAUUUGCCUUCAGUUUGGCUUCCAUAAAAGAGGUGUUGUGCAUGUAUUUCUAUAUUAAAACUUGACACAAAAGAGCAUCAUGGUUCAUAUGUAUAUGCUAACUAGCCUUGGCAUGCAUAGCUUCUUGCUUUCCUUAACCCUGAGCUGAUUAUCCUCUUCAUAUUGCAUACUUGGUUCCAGUUCACUACAUGGUUGUGAACCACUUCAGUGGAGCCUCCCUAUAAGAAUCAGAAUUAAGAUGAUCUAACUGGUCACAAAUUGAAAAUCGUAAGAGAGCAUAUUUUAUCACAUAAAAGGGAAUAACACAAGCAAUAGAUUGAAUUAAAACUUUCCUUCUAGUCAAUGAUAAUACUUUUCUUUUCCAUUCCCUAAGUUUUUUCAUAAGUUGAUCCACAAGAUGUGUAUAAUUUGUUUUAGAUAAUCUCUUAUGGAUUAAUAAAACCUCGCUCCUCAAGUCAUCCAUAAGAGGGAUACAACACAAGGCACUCAAAUUGGCUACUAUAACCUUAUUUAUAUUAGGUGAUGCGAAAAGUUUAGACUUCUCCAAAUUAAUAGUUAGCCCCGAAGCCAAAUUGAAUUCUUGUAAACAAGAAUGAAUUACCCAAGCUUGAUAUGCAUAAGCAAAAAUUAAAUGUGACAACGUCAGGCCUUGUCUGGAUUAAAAGGUUGCCAUUGAUAACAUGUUUCCCGUUCAAGGACCUUAUGAGAAAGUUUUUCCAUAACAAGGAUGAAAGAUCCGAUAAUAGUGGUCUGCAUUGAUGCAAACCCCUUUGGGUGUAAAUUUUUGAUCAUUCUAUAUAGUAGAUAGUUUGCUAGAAUGAGCGCAAAACAUAACGAAGUCAAUUGUAUUCUACAGUAAUUUGAAGCUACCAAAACCAAUCUCAGAAAGCCCCAAUAUAUGCUACUGUAAGCCUUGUGGAUGUCAAAUUUAAGAAUCAUUUGCACCUUUUUGUCCUUGCAUCCACAUAAUUAAAUGAACCGCCUCAUGUGAUUUUCGUGUGUACUUCAACCUGUCAAAAAACUAUUUUGAAACAACCCUUCCACCCGUUGUAAGAUAGGUCAUAAUCCAUGAACCAACACCUUAGAAAGCACCUUAUAGGAAGUGCUAAAUAAAGUGAUUAGGCAAGAAAUAUUUAUUCUAUCAGCAUUAGACACUUUUCGAAUAAGAACUAGAAAUACCUUUUACAAUGACUUGAUAAAUCUGUCUUCUUUAAGUCCCUUUGAACAAAAUCUAAGAAUGUACCAUUGACCAUAUCCUAGUGUCUUUAAAGAAAAAUCAAUUGUACCCCGUUAGGACUUGUAUCUUUCAACGCUUUCAUAAAAAACAAAGCUUAUACUUUCUUUUCAAUAUUGACAUUUGUAGUCAUGCUAAUCUGAUCCUCUUCUAAUAUUGUUCAACGAAACCUAUUAUAAUUAUUAUGCAAGGCCCCAACAUAUUUUUCUUGAAAGAGUUGGUCAAAGAAGCCCAUCACAUGUUUAUGAGUUGUUGCUUGAUCCGUAACCCAUGGAUCCUCAAAGAAAAAGCCAAUCAACCUGCUCCUAUUUCUAUGAUGAGUGUUGUCAGAUGAAAAAGUUUUGUAUUUCUUUCUCGACGUACAAUUUAGUCUUAUUGUGAUUUCUAUAACCAUAAGAGCUCUUCUUGGACCAGAACCUGUUAGUACUCAGCACUUGACUUCACUUCCAGUUGUUGGAAGAACUAAGAAAAUAGAUUAAAAAAGAAAAGAAGAAGGGUUUAACAUCAUGUAAGGUUCAAAUGAUUUUUUUUUUUCCAUUUGAAAAUAUCGUCAAAACUAGUUUAUUCGCAAACCUUCUACCAUUUUUUGUCACCCCAUCACUUGCACUUUCCAUCGAAUCAAUUACAAUGGUUAUUGAAAUAUCUCACCCUUAUACAAUUACGCCUAAAUUUAUUUUUUAGGUGACUUUCUAAACAAAUUAUAUUUUUUAAUGAUGGAAUAAGGAAUUUAUGCGAUUGAAAAUUCCAAUAGAAUACGAUGCAAAUUUGAGAAAGCACCUAAUUUUAGCAUUUACUGGAUGCUUUGGUGCUAAUUAGAUAAGGCACCUACACCAAUGUAAAACAAAUUAUUUUAGUUUGGAUACGUGGAGAUAUUUUCUCAACUAUAAUUUUAUUUUCUUUUUGCGAACAAUAUUCAAUUUAUUAAAUAUUAGAUUGUUUCAUUUAAUUUGAAAUAAUUCAUUACAAUUUUUAAAAUGGAUUAAAUUGGUGGCUACUGUAUUUAGUCCAAAAAUUUAUUAUUAUUUGGGGAUGAAAUCGUGCCAAUUCACUAUUAAUGUUUUAUUUCUUAAAAUUGGUUUAUGAAGCCAGAAAUUCGGCAACUUGGUUUAACAAUACCAUGGGUUCAUCGCAAUUGGGUGACGGAACUGCUAAACCAGGGCUUACGGGCUUUUGUUAGAGGCCCAACUUAAAACAAUCUUUUUUUUCAAAACUUUCUAAAACUUAUCCAUUUUUGGUAGAAAAAUAACUAUAUUUUUCGUACAAAAUUUAUGGCUAACAUUUACGUUUAACUUAAUCUCUAUACUUUUUUUUUUUAUUUAAUCUAUACUAUUAUUUAAACUCCUAAUUGAGUUAGUGUUAUAAGUCAACUAGGCAUCAACUCAGUUAAAAAAAUUGUAAAAAUAUCCAUCCGUAAUUAAAUUAAAUUAUACUAUUUGAGAGCAUUUUAGUCUUUUUUAACUUUUUUUAAAAACUAAUAAAAAAUUAAAAAUUGUGGGAUUCGAUUUCUUGUUAUUUACAUCACCAAAACAUUAAUUUUACUACUAAACCUAAAUUUUAUCUUAAUAUAAUGUUUACAUUUUAAUUGUAUUAUGCAUAUAAUAUUACCUCCAUCAAUUGUAUGUCUUUACUUACUAUUAUUAAAGUCAUUAACUGAGUUAGUGUCACGAGUCAACCGGAUACCAAUUCAGUUAGAGAAAUCAUGAAAAUAUCCUUCCGUAAUUAAAAUAAAUUAUAUUAUUCGAUAGUACUCAGUCUUUUAAAAAAACAAUAAAAAAUCUAUAUGUGGUGGAAUUUGAACCCAUAUUAUUUACUUCAAUUAAACAUUAAUUUUACCACUAAACUAAAACUCUAUCUUAAUAUAAUAUUUACAUUUUAACGGUAUUAUAUAUACAAUAUUACCUCCAUGAUCAAUUGUAUAUCUAUACUUGCUAUUAUUUAAGCCACUCACUAAGUUGAUAUCAUGAGUCAACCAAGCAUCAACUUGGUUAGGAAAAUUACAAAACUAUUAUUCCAUAUUUAAAAUAAAUUAUUUUAUUCGAUAGUACUUUAGUCCUUUUAAUUUUUUUUUUUAAAUUCAAUAAAAAUUUUGUUUGUAGUGGGAUUUGAACUUAUGCUAUUUACUUCAAUAAAAUAUUAAUUUUACCAGUAAGCUAAAAUUUUAUUUUAAUAUGAUAUUUACAUUUUAAUUAUAGUAUGCAUACAAUAUUACCCCAUCAAUUGUAUAUAUAUAUUGUUAUUUGAGCUCCUAACUGAGUUGGUGUAAUUAGUUAACCAGACACCAACUUGAUUAGAGAAUUUACGAAAUUCUCUUUCCAUAAUUAAAAUAAAUUGUACUAUUCAAUUGUACUUUAUUCUUUUUUAUUUAAAAAAAAUCAAUAAAAAUUUAUCCAUGGUGAAAUUUGAACUCGUAAUAUUUACUUGAAUAAAACACUAAUUUUAUCACUAAAGUAAGACUUGAUUUUACAUACUAUUUACAUUUUGAUUGCAUUAUGCAUACGAUAUUACCUCCAUCAAUUGUAUAUCUAUUUUUACUAAAUUAGUGUCACAAAUCAAUAGGACAUCCACUCUGAAAAUUUACAAAAAUGACUAUUUAUAAUUAAAAAUAUAAAAAUAAUAAAUAAUAAAAGUUUUCACUUUUGGAGAGGGAUGUUGGAUUAUACGCAACACCCUUUUUGUAUAAAAUCUUGUUUAUUUAUUUUAUUAUUGGUGUGGCACACUCCUCCGUAUACAACACUACACUGUAAAUUAUUGUAAAAAAAUAUGUGAUUUUGAUGGUUGUUGAGGAUUUGGUUUUGGCUCUUCAUCUGUUGGUGUUCUAAUCGGUCUAGCGGUGGCAUGCAUGUUAGGACAACCACAUCUCUAGUGCACUCUUCUCUCUCUCCCUCUAGUUUGCUGCGCCAAAAUUGGCUAUUAGGGUUUUUUUGGUUAGGCUUAGGCCUUAUGCUUUAUUGAUGUAUAUUUUUGAGCCUUGGACCCUUUAUGCUAUAACUGGUCUUUUUUUAAUGAAUGUUUUGAAUAAAAAAUGUAAUAUUUUGCAUAAAACUGUUAUACAUUUUGAUCUAUUAAUUAUAGUUUAAAUAUUAGUCAAUAUCUUUUUUUAACUUAAAUUAAUCGGAGAAAAUACAAUAAAAAUUUAAAAUUAAGAAAGGGGUAAAAGACACUUACCCCUUAGGUUUAGAGUAAAAUAUACCUACCCGUUUGGAAAAUGCCCACUUACCCCAUUGAUAUUAUUUAUUUAUGUAUUUUCUAUUUCGUUUAUUCACUUUUUCAGUUUUAAUUACAAAAUAAUGGAAAUUUAAUUACAUAUUAAAGUGUUAUAAAAUUAAAUGUAUUUGACUUUUUCAUAAAAAAAUAUAUUUGACUUCAAUUAAAAUUAAGUAUUUUACAUUUAUAUUUAAUUCAGUUAUAUAUUGAAUUUGUGAUAAAUUGAAUUAGAGUGGGUUCAACUCUUACUAUAUUCAUAUUUUUAUUUUUUAAAAUUAAAAAAAUAUAUCCUUAUAUAAUAUAACUUAUUUUAAAUACAAAAAUAUAUUUUAGUAAUUUUCUUAAUUGAGUUGGUGCCUAAUUGACUUGUAAUACCAACUCAAUUGGAGUUUAAACAAUAGUAUAAAUUAAGAAUUUAGGGUGUGAUAUAACAACUAUAAGAAAGUGUAGUAAUCGAGGCAAAGUCAAAAAAAAUUUUGAAUGAGUGAAAUUAAGUUGUAUAUUUUUAUGAUAGUAAAAAUAUAAUUUUAUUACUUUAAUAGUCUAUAUUUUUAUAAUUUUUAAAUGAUUAAAUUAAAAUUUUAUCAUUUGGGGGGAAAAGUACAAAUUUACCAUUGUUAAUUUAAUUUAAAUUUGUACAAAUUAUAAAGAGGUUAAAAAAUAUUUAUUUUAAGGAGGACCAAGACCCUUGUCAGUUCCUUUAAUUUCACCCUUGGUAGUGAUUACACCCUCUUUUUAGGUAUAUUUAUUUGCGGUUGGUAUAAAAAUAACAGUGGCGGUAAAAUUAAAUAUUAUAAUAAUAUUAUGAAAUGAGACAAAAAGUAAGCUAAACGCACUCUACUACAACCCACCACCCAUCCAAAUCCAUCCUUAAUUUGUUUGAAAUAUACUAACAAAUUAAAAUUUUCAAACAAAAGCAGGCUAUUUUAUCCAUUUGACCCAAAAAACAAUAUUUAUAAAAAUGAUCCUAGUUUAAAAACAUUCACCCAAAUGACCUAAAACGAACAAUAAAAUUAGGUUAUGAAAAAUAGAUAGCCGACACUACUAUUUUUUUCUAUUAAAAAAAUAAUUUUUGGGGUUUUAGACACUAGAUAGCAGACACCCAUAUAUUUUUUUUUUCAAAAAAAAAUUUGGGGGUGCUGCCACACCAAUGGCCGACUUCUCUUUAUCUGAUUAAAAAAAUUUUUUUUUGGGGGGUGUAGUGCCAACCAACAAAUGGCCAAAAUCACCCAACAAAAAAGAUUGGGAAUAUUGUAACAUAAUCACUCAUUGUUUCCCCAUCUUUUUUAUUUCCCAAGUUUAAUUACAUAUUUUAUAUUUUAAAACAUUAUUGAACUACUUAUCAUGUUUUUUAAUUAUUAUUGCAUCACACACAUUAUUAUUAAAUUUAAAAAUUAAUUUAAAAUAUAUUGAACUACAUAUUUUAUAAUUUUUUUUAAAAUAAAAACAAUAAUUUAGCUAUCCAAAUAUAAUAUAAAUGUACGUAGUUGAAUAUAUUUUAAAUUAAUUUUUAAAUUUAAUAGAUAUAUAAAUAUCCAAAUAUAAUAAAAAUGUAUAAUUAAGAGAAUUACAUCAAAUCCAAUUAUUAAAUUGUGUCUCAAUUAUUUCAAUUAUUUAAUUUUAAAAUAUGGAUAUUUUAAUUUAUAUGUAGUAAAGAGGGUUUUUUACCCAACUGGGUUAAAAAAAAAUUUAAAACACCAAAAUAGGGUGUCAGAUACAUUAUUUACGAAAAUGGGUUUUUUUUGGGUCGAGUUUACCUGACAGGUGCGACCCAUUUUUUUAAUAAUAUAUAUAUAUUAAAUAUUAUUAUUUUAUUAUAUUUUAAUAAUUUUUAAAUUUUUAAAAUCCAAUCGGGUCAAAACCGGGUCGUGCCAAACCCGGAGGCGCGACCAUUCUCGCCUUCUGCAGGGGCGCGAUUGCCCUGCAGCCUGCCACGUGUCCCUACCCCCCUAUGCCACCUGUAGAGACUUGGAAAGAGAGAAAAAAUAAAUAAAUUUUGAAAUGGGGGACCAUAUAAGCACCGGUCCCCCAAUUUUGUGAAGGCAGCAGCAAAGAGAGAAAAGAAGAAUAAGAAGAAGAAGAAGAAGAAGAAGAAGAAGAAGAAGGAGAAGGAGGAAGAAGAAAAAAAUGUUAGUAUUUUUUUAUAAUUAUUUUAAGAUUAAAAUGUUAGUAGUUUAGUGUUAUGUGAUAAUUUUUAGUGUUUGUAAUUAUUUUAAAAUUAAAAAAAAGUACAUUUCUAAAAAAAUAAAAUAUUAGUAAUUUAAGAGUGUUAUGUAAUUAUUGUGCUUGAAUAUAGUUUAUUAUUUGCUAAUUUUUGUUUUUGUUUUUAAUACUACUUGUCAAGUCUUGCUUUAUUUGUUUUUUAAUUUAAACUUUUUUUUUGUUGAAUUUUCAAGUCCAUGAUUUUUGUUUUACUUUGUAUCUAACACCCUAUUUUGGUGUUUAAAUUUUUUUUUAACCUAGUUGGGUAAAAAACCCCAUUAUUUUGCCAUUGAUGCUCGAUUUUGAUAGCUUUAUGGCAGCCUCCCUUUUAAAUAAAUAUAUAAAAAAAUAUCAAUAUUUUGCCAGUUGUUGUCCAUUUCCGGAUUUACUUGGAAUCAAUGUUUUUUGUAUUUUAUUUUAAAAAAACUUUACUAGCAUUCACUUCAUUGUUAACAAAAAGUGAGAAAUACAGUGACUAAUACAUUCUAAAAAAUAAAAUAAAAAUUUAUACUUAUGUAAAAUGUAUAAACUUGAAGUUAUUCCUUUCAAAUAUUCUUAAAUUAUAAUUUAAUUUAAUUUCAAACUUUUAAAAUUAAUUAAAUUUACCUAUGUAACGUGUUAAAAAAAUAAUUCUUUUAAAUUUUAUAAAAAUUUAAUCAAAACUUAAGGAAAAAAUAAAAUAUUUUAAAGAGUAAAAUAGACUAUUAAUAAAUUAUGCUUAUAUUUUAACUUGUAUAAAACACAUAACAAGGGAAUUAAUAUAUAUUAAAGAAUUAAACACAUUAAUAUAAAUGAUAUGUUAAAAUGCAUUUGGCUUUAUGAUUGGAAGUAAUGUAGUACUUUGCGGUUGAAUAGAUGCAUAAUUGACUAGUUGAAAGUGAGUAUAUGAGAAAUAAGUUGCUUUGAAUAUGAAAAGAUGUUGAAUAAACAAUCUAAAGAGAGUAAGAAAUAGAAUUAAAUAAUUCUAAAGAGAGUAAGAAAUUUUAAUGUAAUUUUGAUAUAAUGUAAUUUUAUAAUUUUUAUUUAUUUGAUAAUUUUAAUUGCAGAUUUGCAGCAAAUGGGUUCGUUGAUUGAUAAUGAAAAUAAAGGUCACAUAUCGAGUAACAUUAAUGAGAUGGUAAUGAAAAUUUUAUUUGAUAGUCACAUUAUUUGUUGAAUGAAAUUAUAUUGUAUUAACCAUUUCGUAAAUAUAAUAAUGUCAGGUCGAGUACCGCGUAUUGAGGGGUCGUAUUUAUAGUGUAGGGUUUCAGCCGGAUGAACGCAUAAUACCGUUCUUAGAGUUAGCGGGGUUCAGAUCAGCAGCAUUGAUUCGGACUUUUGAUCUGCGAUAUGACUUAAUUUCUGCCUUAGUCGAGCGAUGGCAUCCGGAGACGCACACAUUUCAUUUGUCGUGCGAGGAGUGUACCAUCACUUUAGAGGACGUUGCAGUACAACUGGGCUCCCCAUCGACGGGAACUUGGUCACGGGCGUAAGUUCGAUCUCGAGGCCGGCUCGCCUUUGCUAUGAGUUACUUGGACGCUCCCCAAGUGAGGGGAAAUUUGCCACCUUGCUGUUUUCAUGGCUAAAAGCCAAUUUUGAGCAUUUGCCCAAUACUGCCACUGAAUUAGAGGUUAUGCAGGCCGCUCGAGGUUACAUUAUGCACCUUAUAGGAGGUGUACUCGUGCUGGAUUCACACGGCAGUGAGGUCAGUUUGAUGUACCUACCGCUACUGUCUAAUUUGCAUAACACGCGUUCAUACAAUUGGGGGUUCGCAGUGUUAGCCACGUUGUACCGCGAACUUUGUCGGACGACAGAUCCUUCUACGGUGAACAUUGGCGGAUGCCUCAUACUGCUGCAGUCGUGGGCACUUUAUCAGAUGCCAUUCUUGGCAUCCAUUAGUCACUAGCCAUAUAUAUUUCCACUUGUUAAUAGGUGAUGAAUCUUUACGCGUUAUAGCAAUUAAUUGAAUUUGUUGGGUUAUAUUGUUCUAACAAUUUGUUUCCGUGGAUGGAGCACAAAUCCGGGUAUCGAGAGGUCAUACACGGUUCCGAUAUACCGUCUGAUGAUCGAGAAUCAUUCUGGGGAGGAGGUAGGUUUUUCCAAUAUCAAUUUAAUUUUAUUAUUUUUAUCUCACUCAACUCGCGUUAAUAUGAAAAUGUUAUUAACUGUGCAGUUCAUUUGGAUGUCGUAUUCUGUUCCUAAGAUUAUGACCGUUAUUCCCUCGCAUGCCUACGUCCACUCAAACUUAUUAUGCAUUAGCGCACCCCUUAUCCAUUUUCAAACGGUGGAGUGGUAUCAUGGCGAUCGAGUACUCCGACAGUACGGUUGUGUACAAUAUAUCCCAACACAACCAGUACGAUUGCCUACAAAGCUCCAUGGCAUGACUAGGAGGAGGAUGCAUUGGGCAGAUUAGGGAGAUGUGCAUGAAGAGUAUGUUACGAUGUGGAACAACCGGUUUGGCAGGAUACCUCCGAUGGAUCGUUGUUUGGAUCUGCGACCCUUGACACAGUACCUACAGUGGUACUAUGAGAAGGGGAAACCAUUUUUAUUUGGUGGGCGGUCGAUGGUAGUCCCCCCUCAUACGACACGGAUUGGGCAAUAUUUUCCAGAUCCGCAUCAUGCACCAGCUCCGGAUCCAGACCUAGAGCCGGAGCCAGAGGCAGUGCCGGACCUAGAAUGGGGGCCAGAGCAGGAGCUACACUCCGGGAGUAGUUCUUAUCAUCCAGAUUUGGGGGCCGAUGACUAUUUCCCGGGCUCUUCAGCCCAGGGAUAUUAUUCAGAUUUUGAUAUCUUCAGCCCACUGCCACAUCUGUACUCUACUCCUUCCAGCUCAUAUCCACCACCAUACUCUACUCCUCCCGGCCCAUAUCCAGCGCCGUUCUCUACUCCACCCGGCUCGAGUUCAUCAGUGGCAUGUGAGACGUUCUCUACACCCCUACCUAUGGAUGAAGAGAACGUUGAUCGUCGUAGUCGCCCACAACGUGAACGUCGAGCUCCACAAAGAUAUAUCCCUAGAACCACACCAUCAAACCAUCAAUUUUAAGGGGUUUUGUAAUAUAUUGAAAGGAUAAGGUUAUUUUUUACCCAUUUUCACAACUUGUCGUUUCCAAUCUGUGUUCUUAUAAUCUCGAUGUAUACAGUAAACGGAUCUCCAUGGCACACCAGAACGCCUAAUGGCGCAACUCGUAUUUUUUCCAAUAAAAAUUUAUUAAAUUAAUAAUACUAAAAAAUUAUUAGACUUAAUUUUAAAAAUAUUAAAAAAUCUAAGCAUAAAAAAUAAUAAAUUAUCAAAAUUAUUAAAAUAAUAAUAUUAAAAAUUAUAAAACUUAAUUUCAAAAUUAUUAAAAAAUUUAAGCAUAAAAAAUAAUAAAUUAAUAACAUUAUUAAAAUAAUAAUAUUAAAAAAUUAUUAAACAUAAUUUCAGAAUUAUUCAAAUAAUAAUAUUAAAAAAUUAUGAAACUUAAUUUCAAAAUUUAUUAAAAAUUUUAAGUAUAAAAAAUAAUAAAUUAAUAACAUUAUUAAAAUAAUAAUAUUAAAAAAUUAUUAAACUUAAUAAAAUUUUUUUCUUCUCUCUUUGCAGGUGGUAUGGGAAAGUGCAGGGCCGGGCGGUGGGGGGCAGGGACACGUGGCAAGCUGCAGGGCAGUCGCGCCCGUGCAGCAGGAGUGAAUGGUCGCGCCUCUAGGUCUGGCUCAACCCAGUUUUGACCCGAUUGAAUUUUAAAAAUUUAAAAAUUAUUAAAAUAUAAUAAAAUUAUAAUAUUUAAAUAUAUAUAUUAUUAAAAAAAUGAGUCGCGCCUGUCAGGUAGACUCAACCCAAUAAAUAACCUAUUUUCGUAAAUAGUAUAUCUGAUACCCUAUUUUAGUGUUUUAAAUUUUUUUUAACCCAGUUGGGUAAAAAACCCUAGUAAAGAAGUUUACCGAAAAUAGAAACAAACUAAAACUAAAAGAAGGUUAAUGAGGAGCCACGUGUCAUGCAAUGUAUGAAGGGGUUGGUGGGCGUAAAUUAGCAGCCCCUAGUCCCAAAAUCGAAUUCUAGAUUUCUAAUAUAUUGGUACCAAAAUCAGAACUUUUUGGGGGGUCAUAAAAAUCACAGCCAUUAAUGCGCCCUCCUUCUUUUCUUAUAUAAAUAUCCUCUCAAAACUCUCAAAAGACUCAAUAGCCUGUCUCUUCUUUUUCCUAACCCCGCAAAUUCCCUUCCUUUUUCACCAAUUCUGCAACACCCGGAACUUAUUUGUCUUUUUGUUCUUUAUUUUUUUAGAUUCAAGACGAAUUUUUGUGAAUGGUGGAAACAAUUCGGAUUUCUAGUAAUUUCAUGCUCUCCCUUUGUAAAUCGAGGGCGAGCACCCUUUUCUCCGUUUCUGCAGUCUCUGUUUUCGCAUUUGGUUCUUGUAAAGCUGGCUGGUAUUACCGCUGCCUUGGCCUUGACCCACAAAUCCCUUGCAAUCUCCGCCCAUAACCCAGAUUUCUUUAAAAUCUAAGAAAAACAAAAUAAACCCAUUGUUUCUGUUUUUCUUUUUUGUUUUUUUUUUCAAAUCUCGGUUUUUUGGUGAAAUAUUCGCUCAUUUGAUUGUUUUAUUUUGAUUAAAAAAAUGGUGCUUUACAAGCAGAAGAAGAGCCAGGGUCCUAAGGGCAACAGGCUGUUGGUUAGCAUCACUGUUUUGGGAAGUGCUGGGCCGAUCCGUUUCGUUGUUAACGAAGAAGAGCUGGUUUCUUCUGUUAUCGAUACUGCUUUGAAAGCCUAUGCUCGUGAAGGUCGGCGCCCGGUUCUGGGAUCCGCUAUCAGUGAUUUCUUCCUUUAUUGCCCCAGUGCUGGAUCAGAUGGUAAGUCGAUUGAGAUCCCUCUUGAUCUAUCUCAUGAAAUUUCGUCAUUAAUUUCACUUCAAUCAUACGAAUGAAAGUUUCCCUCUAUUUUUUUGGUGAAGUUGUACAAGUCAAAAUCACCGGGUUUCUAAUUAAUAUAACUCAUGUUGUUGGGUUAUUGUAUUGUAAUUGCAGCACUGAAUCCAUGGGAGACAAUUGGAUCACAAGGGGCAAGGAAUUUCAUUUUGUGCAGGAAGCCAAGCGAUGAGAAAAUGGAAGAUGAUGGAAGAUCAGCAAGCUCAAUUACUGGGAAAGGAAGUGGGAAUUGGAAGGCAUGGAUCAACAAAUCACUCAAUCUUAAGAUUUCUUCCCAUUAUUAGAUAAUUCUCAUACCCUUUAUCAUCGUGUGGUUCUUGGGCUAGCUUUACUUUCAAGCUAAGGACCUGUACAAUGGAUAUGACCAUGUUAGAAUCUUGGUUAUCAUCCAUGGGAUGUUUAUUCAGGAAUAAAAUCAAGCUGUUAUUCGGUGUUUUUUGCUUUGAAAAGUGUUGCAUUCUGUUUGAAACCAAUAUUCCAAUUUUUGAGUUGAGUUGUUUACUCGUUGAUUACGAUUUGAGAUUUGAGAUAGAGGUUUCAGCAAGGAAGAUCAAUCUAUUUCAAAUUCUUAUCUAAUCAUAUAAAAUACAUAUUCAAUAUUCAAAUCCAAUUAGGGGUAAUCAAUGGUGGGUUCUGUAACAGUCUGAUCUAGACCCUAAUCGGAACGGUAAUUUCAAUACUACGAAUUCGAGUCAAAAAAAUAUUUAAAUAUUAUUUUUCGUGUUUAUUAUAUAUGAAUCUGCAUGUGUGAAAAUUUCGUACAAAAAUUUGAUUGUUUGUGUGCUUAAUUUAAUAAAAAGACUUAAUUGUAUAAGUUGAAAAUUCGAUAGUCUAAAUUAUAAAGGUUGAAUUGAUAAUGACUUUUUAAGACGGAGUGUUUAUGUUGCAAAUAAUCCUUUAUUUUAGUUAUGGUCGAAUAUACCCAUAAUGUAUGUGUUUAUGAUAUUAUUUUAUUAAGGUUAAAUAAGUAAAAUAUGUUAAAUGUUAACAUAUAAUACUAAUACUAAUAAUAAUAAUAAUAAUAGAAAGCCAUGCAUAUUACUUUGUUCUUGCCGAAACUUGAGAAAGAAAGAACGAAAAUAUAGCUUAGGGUAUUCGGCACUUUGGAAGUUUAAUUCAAGGUUAGUUUUUGUUCGGUUUUUAAUGAUUUUUACGUUUUUGAGAUCGUUGUUUCGAAUACUACUCGAUCCAUGUUUGAAUUUUUUAUUUUGGUGAAUAUUUUGUGUUAUGACAUUAAUGAAUAUUUGUGUUUUGUGAUGUUUGAUGAUGAAAUAUUAAAAAUAUAUUUUAAAUUAACAUACUUUGUAUUGAAGUUUUUGAUGACUUUGAGUUAUUAGGAUAAAAUUGCAAAAAUAAUAAAUUUAGGGACUAAAAUAUGAAAUAUAUGGACUAGUACGAGUAUGUUGAAAAUUCGGCUCAAUUAUGUUUUUGUGAGUUUUGGUGUAUUUUGUGUUUUGUGCAAUUCGGACUAAAUAGUAAAAAUAUGAAAUAUCAGGGGUAAAAUGAUAAUUUGACCAUUUAUGUGUUGUUGGAUUAAAUUGAAUGAAAUUGUGUUUAAAUGAGGUUAAUUUGAAAUUAUAUAGAUCAAGAACAAAGGAAAUCGGACUUGGAUCGGGGAAAAACAAAAAUAGUUGAAUAGUCGAUUCCUAACGCCCGUCGAUAUCCAAGGUAAGUCUUUAAGUAAUUAAGCAUGGUUUAUUUUGAACAUAGAAUGAUUUACUAUGAUGAUACGAAUUUUAUAAUGUAUUAGUUUGAUAGCUGAAUGAGAUAUGUCAAUGAAUUAAUGUGAUUAAGUUGUAUUUGAAUGAUAUCAAAACUUUAGAAAAUGUGUAUGUGAUGCAUGAAAUAUUAUACAAUACGAUAUAUGUGAAAUGUUGUGGAAUGAUUAUAUGUUUGUGAUGUUCGGGUUUUGAGCCUAGCAAGCCUUGUGCUGGUGACUUUGUUCGGGCUUCGUGCCUAGUAGGCUUAGUGCCGGUGAAUGAAUUUCAGACCUUGGGUCUAGCAGGCCUUGUGCCGGUGUUGAAUCAGGCUUAUGCCUAGCAGGUUUUAUACCGGUGAAUUGUUCUCAAGUUUAUGAUUACAAGAGUUUAAGAUAUAGUGGAUAUUGAACAAGUGAAAUUAAGCUAUAAAACAUUGUAUAUGUUCUACCAAACAGGUAAGUACAAGUAAGCUUAUAUCAAACUUGAGUAUUCGGUUACAUGUGAAUUUAUAUUGAACAUGUGUAUUUGGUUGCAUGUGAGUUUAUAUUGAGCUUAUAUAUAUACAUUUAAUACAUGUGAGGUUAUAUCACUCCAGGGAAAUAAGGCGUUUAAUUAAAAACGCCGCAAAAAACUGAACAAAAGUAGCGUUUUUGGCCAAAACGCCACUAAAACUUAUCAAUAGUCGCGUUUUUAGCCCAAACGCCACUAAAAACUGAUCAAUAGCGGCGUUUUUGGCCAAGCGCCACUAAAAACUGAUCAAUUGCGGCGUUUUUAGCCCAAACGCCACUAAAAACUUAUGAAUAGCAGCGUUUUUGUCCAAACGCCACUAAAAACUGAUCAAUAGCGGCGUUUUUGGCCCAAACGCCACUAAAAACUGAUCAAUAGCUGCAUUUUUUGCCUAAACGCCACUAAAAACUGAUCAAUAGCAGCGUUUUUACAUAAAAUGCCACUAAAAACUGAGCAACAGCAGCGUUUUUGGUCCAAACACCACUAAAACUGAUCAAUAGCGGCGUUUUUGGUCCAAACGCCGCAAAAAGUUGAGCAGCCAUUUUUGAGUAGGGUAACCGACACUCGUUUUAAUUUGAUCUGAUUUAAUUUUCAUAUUAUUUUCUUAUUUUUGUUUUGAAUUCGAUUUAAUUAUUUUGGUAUUUGAAACUAACUUUAUAAAAAAUAUAAACUACACUAUUAUCACUUAGCUAUGAGAAAGUUUCAUUUUAGUUUCUUAAUUAUGAAAAGUUACAAAUUGAUAACUAAACUAUUUAGAAGUUUUCAUUUAAGUUACCAAGCUGUUAAAAUCAACGUUGUAUGGCUUUCUGUAAACCUUUAAAUCUUAAACAUUAAACCCUAAACCCUAAAUUCUAAAACAUAAACCAUAAACACUAAUCCAUAAACUCUAAAACCUUAAACCCUCUAAAAAAUCAUAUGGAUGUUGAUGUGUAUAUACAUAGAUAUUAAUGUAAAAGCUUAUGUUUAUAAUAUAUUGUGGAAGCAGUACUUAAUAUUGAUUAAAUUUAUUUUUGGGUUUAGGGUUUAAUAUUUAAUGUUUAAGGCCUAUGGUUUAGGGUUUAAUGGUAGAAUAUAUUUUAAGUUUAUGGUUUAGGGUUCAAUGGUAUAGUAUGUUAAGUUUAUGGUGUGGGCCGAGUUUGUUAUCUUGGGUUUAGGGUAUAGUGUUUUAAAUUAGUUUGUUAUUUGGGGUUUGGUAUUGUUUUAAAGUGUUUAGGGUUUAGGGUCUUAAUGUUCAAGGUUUUAAGGGUUAGUGUUAGGGUUUAAUGGUUAAUUGAUUAAAUGAUGUUCUGGUUGAAUCUAGGUUUUGGAGUCCUCGGAGUGUGGUUUAAUUAAAUACUUGAUCUCAUGUUUAUACAUAUAUUUAUGAUGUAUAUAUGUUUAUAUUCCCAGAUAAUUACGCAAGAUUUAGUAUUAUACGAAAUUUGAUGAGGUGGUUCAUAAAAUUAUUGAAUACGAAAUGUUAACAUGAAAUUCUUAAACUUGAAUCAAUUUUAAAAAUAAAAUAAAAUAAAAUUAGUAUUUUUAUUUUUUAAAUUAAAUUCUAAUUAUAAAAUUCGUGCACACUUUAAAAUUUAUAGCCUCAUGAUUAAAUAUUGAAUUUGAAUUUAUAAUUUCAAAAUCUAAAAAAUAAUAUGUGUUUAAUAAGGUAUCAAUUUCCGAGUAUUACAAGAUGCUAUAACUUUCUUUGCAUGUAAUGGACUCUCGAAAUUAAACUCGUCUUACUUUAAUUUUAAGAUGCAGAUAAUAAUGAUCUCUUAAAAGAAUUUUUUUAAAAUUUUAUUUUAUGAAAGGUAAUUUUAUAAGUAUUGGCCACACCAAGUUAAAAAUAUUUUUAAUAAAAACCCAAUGUUUUAAAAAUUGUCAUUUUUUCUCAAGGUUGUUAAGUUCAUUUUUAUCAAAAAUGGUUUUGAAUAUAUAUAUUUUUAUUUCAAUUCAUUUCAUGUUUUAAAUAAUUAUUAGAAAUUAUUUUAAAUUGAUUUACCUGAAAUUUAAAUAUUAAAUAUUUAAAUAAUAAUUAUUCAAUAUAAUUAAAUUUUUUUCAAAUUAGAUAUAUUGUUUGAAAGAAAACAAAAUUAGUUUAAAAGGAAUUUAAGAAAUAAUGAAACUAUUAAAAUUCAUUGCUAUCAAAUGCAUUAGUGGCGUUUUUGUCAAAAACGCCGCAAAAAAAUUUCAAUUAAGCCAAAACGUCGUUGCUUUAUGAUGUGUCUCCAGAUGCUAAAGAUAGAGAAUUAGCGGCGCUUUUGUAAAAACGCCGUAAAAGAUUAAGAUUUAGCGACGCUUUUGUAAAACACCACUAAAUGUUUAAUUAAAACUACGUCGUUUCAAGUGUGAUUUAGUGACGUCAUUAUCUUUAGCAUAACGGCGUCGUUUUUGUUUCAUCCUUUUCAUCCCCAAUGCAUACCCGAAACCCCUAAAUUUCCCCAAAUCAAAAUUUCCUUCUCCCCUAAAUCAAAAUUGCCCCUAAACCCUAAAUUUCCCCUAAAUCAAACCCAUUUGUCAUCUCCCUUUCUGUUUUCGUUCCAUAGGUUUCAUUUCAUUUCGGUUUCAAAUCAAACCCAAAGCUCCUUGUUUCAUUUUGCUUUCAUUUCUAUUAUUUUUAUGUUACUAAAGAACAGGGCUUUAAUGUUAUAGAAACCACUUCCAAAUUUCAUUUGUUUGCUUUACCCUCUUUCUAUCACAUUGUUGUUUGGUUUGGUGUAUUUGCUUGUUUUGAGAGUGCUCAUGGCUGAUGUUAAUCACCAUAAACAUGGUACUUUAAGGUAUGUAUUCGUUAAUCUUCAUGUUAUCUCAUUUGGGUUUUUCUUUUUUUAUUUGAUUGGUGGCAGAUGAGUUCUUUGUUUUCCACUUCAUGUUAAAUCAUUUGGGUUUUUUGUGCUUUUUUUCUAAACUUUUUUUCAUUUUCCUGAUGUUUACUGAAAUCUAGCGUCUUGUUUGUUUUUUUUUUCUUCAUGUUGUUUCAUAUGGGUAUGUUAUUUCAUAUGGGUAUGUUAUAGAGAAGAUUGUUCCAUAACCCGAGUUCCUGCUACUAUUUUUUAAGAGAAGCGUAUUUGUUUAGAGACUUUAUGCGAUUGGCUUGUAUGUAAUCUGGGUUGUAUGUAUUACUUAACUUAUUGGGAAGUGUUGGAUCUGCAAAUUUGAUAUGUAAAUAGAAACUGCAUUUUAUAGACAUCACUUUGUUUUGGGCAUGCAGGUUAGUUGAUAAACAUGGAAGCCAUGUCAUUCAUUUUUAAUGAAAGAAAAUAUAUACAUCUACAGAUAAUCUCUUCCCUAACUCAUUUUGCUUUGUUAAAUUAUUUAAAAGAUAAACAGUCAAAAUUAGCAAAGAUGAUUCAUUUCCUCUUGCAACUUAAUUAAGUUUUUAAAUAAUUUAAUUAAAGUUAAAUUGAGUUAAGGAAUGGAUUGUCUAUGAAUGUGUAUUUUAAUAUUUUUAUCUCUUUAAAAAUAGAUGACAUAAUUUUUAUUUUGUCACUUGUGGGUUUCAGCUUACCAAUUUUAUGGAUUUUCUUUGUCCUUUCUCUUUUGGAUUAAAUCUGGUUUAGAGCUACUCUCCUUCGAGCUUUAGUAGUUGUCAUAGGUAUGAUGAUGGUUUCCAUGUUGGCUUGUAUUUUAUUUUGUGUCAUCCUAAGGAAUUAAUUUUAAGCAUCAGUAAUAAGAAAAUGAAAAUUUUGUUCCCAAAACUGACAAAAGCAUGAAGCUCAAUAUUAUAAAUUAUACUAAAUUAUAGAUAGGAUCAAUAAUGGCUUUCGCACCUGUUUCCUACUAUAUUGUAGGAAGUCUCGUCUAGUCAAAAAGUUGGACGCCUUCAGUUUUUUGAGAUUACGCAUAGGAAGAAAGAUGGAUCUCCUAUGAUAUCCGAAGCUGGAGAAUUUAUGGUAUAUUUACUUAAUAAAAUUUGAUUUAUUAUAAAUAUUUAUAAUGUUUAAUUAUAAUGGUUUAAUUCGUCAUUAGUAGUUUUAAAUAAUGUUAAGUUAUGUUGUAUUCCUUUUUAUUAUAUAUUCCGUUUCUAACUCUUUAAUUGAUUUUUUAGGAGAAACUAAAGGAAAAGAAGGCGGAGUAUGAAGCGAUUGCUUCGACUGAUAGUUCUGUUAAUCUUGAGAACAUUGAUAACAGAAUUAUCACUGAAGUUUUGGGUCCUGAAAGGUACGGUCGGGUUCAAUUUCAAGGAUCUGGUGUUACCCCGACCCAAUAUUUUGGAUCCAGCUCCCAGCAAUACAUGCCUUCCGGGAGUCAAGCUCAAGCUGAAGUUCAGAGGUUAAGAGACCAGAUAGCUCAGACGCAAGCGAACACGGUUGAGCAAAUUGUCGAGGCUCAAAAAAAAUAUGAAGAACUCCAGCAAAAACUUAGAGCAGAGGCAGCAGAGAGGGAGGCAGCGGCAGCAGCGAUGGCAACAGAGCAGAGUAGAAAGUACGAUGAGCUGCAGCUACAGCUUCAGCAUAUGAUGCAGUUGUUUUAGCAGUCGCAAAAGCCGCUAUCUUAGACAUUAGUUUUCUCGUUGUAAGAAUGUUUUUAACAUUGUUAUAUUUAACAUUAUUGUAAUAAUAUUUUGAGUUAUACUUUAUUUAUUUAUUACAUUAUAUAUCUUUCGUUAAAUUUAAAGUAUCAUUUAGAAUUAAUAUUUUUGGUUGUAUUUUUUAUGUUAAAUUUGCUAUUUUUGGUUGGAUUUAAUGCAGGAAGGGCUGGUACUGGUGAAGAACAGGCAUUGCAAAUCUGCCAAAAUUAGCAGCGUUUGUGAUAAAGGCGCCGCUAAAAACCAUCACUUUUAGCGACGCUUUUCCCACAAACGCCGCAAAUUUUUGCAGCCUUUCCUAUAGCGGCUGUAACUGGCCCAAUUUACCGGCCCGUUAUAAACCAAAAAAAUCAUGAUAAAACCAAAUAAAAUAUAAAGUCCAAUUUUAAACAAUCCCUUAACAGCUCAGUUACAAAACCCAAUUACGUUGACCCAAUACGGCCUAAAAAAAAAACCUAAAACCUAGCCCAAAAUUACACGGCCCGACAAGCCCAAAAAGUUAAACACUCAGAACCCUAGGGCUUCUGCUAGGCGCCGCAGUAGCCACCAAGCAGCCCUUCGUCCUCACCGCCAGCGCAGCACCGUACGACCACCUAGUGCCUCCGUACCUGCGAACCAAUGCAAACACAACAACAAAAAAAGAAAAAUAGGACAAAAAAGAUUGUAUUUUUCUUUAUUGUAUUUUUCUUAUUUGGCUAUAAAGCCAUUUUUCAUUUUCGAUUGUAAGGGGGAUUACAGAUGCAUAUUGGAAUACAAAAAAUCAAUUAAAAUUAGCAGAAGGUUGCGUUUUUUUUUAGUUUAUCUUGCUUUCGUUUGAUUUCAAGGGUGGAUUUACUUUGUUUGAUUUCAAGGGUGGAUUUACUUUGUGAUUGCAAAAAAAAUAUAAACGGAGGUAUUGAAACGCUUUUCGUUUUCAUAGAUCGAUCCCUCUUAUUUUCUAAAAUAGAUUUCAAAUGAUUUUCAUCUAGAUCUUUUUUAUCUUCUUCUAUUUUUGUUAAUGUAUAAAAAUAGAGAGAGGAGGGAAAGGGAAUACGCUUACCAGGCCUGCGUACGCGCUGUAAGCCACCAGAAGUGGAGAUGGUCCGGCGGCAACAUGAGGUUUGGGUGAAACCCUAGCAGAGAAGGUUAAGAAGUUAAAGUUUUUUUUUUAAAACAAAAGGUUUUGUUAUGAAAAAAAUUAAAUAAUAAGGAAAGAUUAAGGAAAAUUUGAAGCGCCACCAUGGGGGAAAGAGCCUGCGCAUUGACCCAGUGCGCAUUUCCACCCUAAAUGGGUAAUUUUGCAUGGCCAGUCCCUAUUAUUUGCGCAACCUUUAAUUUAACCCUAUUCUGUUUCUUUUAUUUUUUCCUUGAAAUUUGCGCACCACUUCACUUUAGUCCACUCUUGGGUGCUGUUUUUUUGGGUUAGGAACAUUUCGUUUUUAGUACUCGCACAUUCACGCGCAUUGCACUUUGGUCUUUAUUUCUAUUUUACUAGUUUAUUUUAUUUAUUAAUUAUCCCUUUAGUCUGAUUUUAUUUCAAUUGAGUUUUUUUUUCCUUUCACUUAAAUUUGUAUAGUUCAUUAUUUUUUAAUUCAUUUAGCAUUCAUCUUUUAAUUUUUUUAUAUAUAUACAUUUUAAAUUACUUUGAUAAUUUACUUUGUUUUUUAUUUUUGUUUAAAUUAUAAAACUAUUAUUUUAAAAUUACCUUGUAAAUCAUAUUGCUUCUAAAAUUUUGUAUAAUAUUUAAUUUAAAUUAAUCUUAUAUUAAUACAUAUAUGAUUUAUGACAAAAUUCACUUAUUUUAUAUACAUUAUUAGUUCCAUGUUAUUUUACAUAUAUAAUUUCUUUUAAAUUUAUUUAUUUGUAUUUCCUUUCAAAUUUAUUACGUAUAUAGUUUAUUCUUUAAAAAAUAUGUUUUAUUAUUUCUUUGUUAUUUAAGAUUAUUUCAUGUAUAUAUUGUUUUAUUAUAUAUUGAUUUGUUAUUUUGUCAUGUAUAUUCUUUAUUCUUUAUUUUUAUUAUAUCUUCAUUAUAUAUUGUUUACAUUGAUUUUUAUUAUUGUAUGUAUAUCAUCACCUUUAAAUAGAUAUGUUUUGUUUUUAAAAUAUUUUGUAUGUUAUUUGCUCCAAAUUUCUUCUUCUACAAUAUUUAUUUUAAUCUUCAUUUACAUAUUCUUAGUUUUGUUUUAUAUAUGUAAAUCAUUUCAAAUCCUAGCAUGCAUGAUUCAUUUGUAAGUUUUUCAUAUAGUUUUUAAAUUGUUUUGCAGCUCUUAGUGUCUAUAUUUACUUUGUAUAUUAUGUGUGGCGUUUUAUCUUUCAUAUUAUUUUUCUAUAUUAUUAUCGUAUAUUGUUUAUUCAUUUUUUUGUAUUAUUAAAUCAAUUGUUGUUCACCCAUGCUUGUAAAUUUUGUUGUUUUAAAUUAAUUGUUUGUUUGAUUUGAUUGAUUAAAUAAGGUUAUGUUAUCUGCCCUAAUCAAAUAUUGUACGUUAUUCAUGCAUAUUAACCCAUAUUCAUUACUUCUUUUCCUCUUGAUUUACAAAAUGUUGUUUCGUGGUUUUUAACUCUUUGAAAUCAAUUAUUCCAUUUUAUUUCCAAUAAGAUCAAUGUGUUUCGAAAUAAUUUACAACCGUUUAUUUAAAUUCCUUGUUAAAAGCAAGGCAAUAUGCAAUAUUUGGAAAUUCGAGAAAUCGUGCCCUAUCGUGCUGGGUUUUGAUUUUUUUUUUGGACUAAAUAUCUGGAUAUCCUUUUAUAAUUUUUAACCUAAAAGCUUUUGGAAGUCAAGAAUUAAUCGUGGUUUCAAAGGUAUAUAGGAUCGUGUCCUAUCUUGCUGGAUGUGAUGUUGAAUUCUUUUGAAUCAAGAGAAUCUUGACGUCCAAUUUGAGUCAUUCAAAUGUUUUAAAAGAAAUCGUGUUUCAAAACAUUUUUAAAGACAUAAGGACAUUAUUUAAUCAAUAUGGUACUGAUUUUGGGCGUAGCGGGGGUGCUAAUCCUUCCUCGUACGUAACUGACUCCCGAACCCUUUUUCUCUAAUUUCGUAGGUCAAAAUUGAUUUUGUAAUACAAUAAAAUGUUUUAUUAGGUGACCGGAUUACACCUAAAUAAAAAAGGAUUGGUGGCGACUCCACAUUUCGUUUUAAAAGUCGAUCCCGUUUUUUCUUCAAAUCAAAAAAUGAUUUCGAUAGCGGCGUUUUUUGUGGCGCUUGUGAAAACGCCGCAAAUAGCUAAAGAAAGCACCGCUAAAAGUCUAUUUUCUUGUAGUGUAUUGAAUUCGUAAAUUCGAUCAUAUGUGUUGAUUUAUGGAGUUUAAAUAUUAGGUUAUUGUGAUAAUAUAAUGUAUCUUUCGAAUUUGGAUAUAUAGGUAAGUAUUUAUGUGGUAUUAUAUUUGAUCUUGAAUAUUCGGCCAAGGUAAAUUAUUUGAGUUAAAGUAUAUCUUUGAUGGUACAUUUCGGCUUGUAUAAAAUGUUUUGAUCAUUCAUUUAAGCUAUUUAAUUUACUUAAAGCUUACUAAACUAAGUUAGCUUACUCUGUAUGUUUCGUUAUUCUGUUUUAUAGAUUUUGGUUGUAAGUUAUGAGCUCGGGGAUCGUGAUCGAAGUCAUCCACACUAUCGUCAACUUUCGGUAUUUUUAAAAGUUCAUCUUCGAACUUUUGGCAUGUAUAGGCUAAUUUGUAUUUUGUUCGACCUUGAAUAUGUAUAACUUUAGCCAUGCGAAAAUGGUUUAAUUUCUAUGAUAAAUUCGUUCAUACUUGGAUAUAGUUUGAGCUUACUUUUAGUUAAUAUGUUAUAUAUUAUAUGUGAAUGAAAUAUGUGAUAUAUGUGGUAUGUUUGAAAAUGGUUUAUUGAUGUUAGAUUUGAAAGUGGGUUGAUGUAAAGAUCAUAUAUAUAUAAAUUUCAUUAUAUAAUUAUUUGUUUCGGUUUAGGUUUUUGGUUUGGAUAAAAAAUAUUUGAAUGAUGAGUUUAGAAUAUGUAACUUAUAAGAGGUUUAUACAUGAUUUCAUGUGAGAAUGUAUAUUUGUUUGUGAUGUAAUAAAGUUGAAAGGAAUAUGAUGAUAAGGAUUUGCCUAUUCGGUUAAUGAGAUGAAAAUUUACCAAAUGAAUAGUGUUUUGUAUAAUAAUAUGUUUGGUAAUGGUUUAUUUUGUUUUGAUUAUAAUGUUAAGCAUGUUUAAUGUAAAAUUGAUAAUGCAUAGUAUAAGACACGCAUAUAUUCGAAUAUGCAUAGGUUAUUUUAGUUCGGUUUGCAUGGAAAAUGUAUGAGUUUUAUAUUUGGUUAUGAGGUUAAAUAAUGAUUAAUUAUUAAGAUUGUUUUGUUUAAUAAGGCUUGUAAAUGAAACAUUGAUAAAUGACCAUUUGAAUAGUGAUUUUAUGUAAUAGUUCACCAUGGAAACUAUAUGCAUUUUUGCAAAAAUGAUAAUUAUGUGUACAUAUAUAUAUAUGUAUGUUUGUGAAUUUGAAUGAUGAUUUGAAUAUAUAUAAAGAAAGUAUUUGUGUAUGUAAAUAUAUAUUUGCUAAUGAAUAAAUGAUUCAUGAUAAUACUCUAUGUUUAAAUUUGUAAAAGUUCAAGAUUAUGUUUUUGUACUGUAAUGCCACGUAACCCUAGUUCGGCGACGGAUACGGGUUAGGGGUUUUACAGGUUCAUUAUUAAUUGAAAUAAAAUUAUUUAAAAAAAAUUCAAAAACAGACUAUAAAAAAUUAAUUUAUUUUAUUUUAUUAAAAAAUUGAAAUAAAAUUAUUUAAAAAUAUACUAAUUAACAUAUUUAUUAUUAAGAAGAUUAAAUUAAAAAAAAUAAAUCAUUUUUUUAAAAUCAAUUAUUAUAUUUGGUACUUAAAUCUACUAAUUUAUUAUAAAUUUAAUAUUUAUAAAAUUUAUCAGUGAAAGUUUAAUAUUUAAUUUUUCAACACUUUUAAGUUUCAGUUCAUCAAAUACAUCUUAAUUUAUAAAUAUUUAUGUAUAUUUAAUGACUUGCGUUUUAUCUAUGACCAACUAAUACGAUUUCGUAUUGGGUUAAUUAUUUUUUGACUAAAUUUUCAUAAAACCUCUAAAAUUUUAAAAAAUCUCAUUAAAAGGUCUAAAGUUGUUUAAAAUAAUAGUUGGUGUUCCCACUCCAAAGUAUUAGAAUAAAAGUUGAAGUAAAAAGAACUUUAAAGAUUUAAAGAUUGCUUUAUUUAAUGGUUAUGUUUAUUAUGUUAUUUGAAAAAAAAUCAAUUAAGAAUGGAAAUAUGUUGAAGAGUAAGUACAUGCUUUUUGUUAGACUUUCUAUAUUUUUAAACUAUCCUUUAUUUUUCAGGGUUAUAUCUUUUUAGUGGUUUUGGGCGUCGAAAGAGGGAGAGACCGCACACCUCUUUUAUCUUUUAGAUUACACAUAUACACACAUUACUUUAGGCGCCCAUUAUCGUUGUUUUAGUUUCUUCUUUUUUACCUUUUUCUUUGGAACAAAAUUUUCUUCCAUUAUUCUUUGAUUAUUUUGGUGUUAAAUUGUGAGAUCGGAACCACAUUUUAAACUUUUAUCAUCUCAAUAUUUACUCUUUUUUUCAGAUUACAAUAAAAAUAGGAUCGUCUCUUAUCAUAGUUUUUGGCAUUGCUUUAAGAAGGAUUUUUGUUCAAUGUUUUAAACAAUACACUAUUGAUAUUUUACCAAAAAAUAAAUUUGUAUGGUUUCUGUCGAAACUAUUUUUUUUGAAAAACGAGGAUCGACUUUUUGAAAACAAAACAUGGAGUCGCCACCAAUCUUUUUUGUUUAGGUGUGAUCGGACCACCUACAAAUUUGAUUGUUUUAAUAAAACAUUCUGGUUUACUAAAACAAUGAUUUUGGUCUACGAAAUUUUGAGAAAACAGGCUCGGGAGUCAGUUAUGUAUGAGGAAGGAUUAGCACCCUCAUUAUGCCCCAAAAUUGGUACCAAAUCGAUUAAAUAAUUGUCCUUGUGCCUAAGAUUUAAAAUGUUUUUGAAAUGAGGUUCCUUUUGAUCCCUUUUGAAUAACCCGAAUUGGUCGUCAAAAUCUUCUUGUUUCAGAGGAAUAUAGCACCACAUCCAGCACGGUAGGAUGCGAUCCUUUAUACCCUCGAAAACACGAUAGAUUUCGACUUCCAAAAAAUUAUAAUUUGGAAAUUUCAAAAGGAUGCUCAAUGUAACGGCCUAAUUUUCAGUGGUGUCGAAAAUGGUGAUUUGAGAUCACUAAAUUUGACAAAUAAGAUUGAACAAGAUAGUAAUUUAAUAUUUAUGAGUCAAGUAAGAAUUUAGAAGAAUUUGUGAAAUGGUGAAAUUAGUGAAUUAAAAGAAUUUAUUAGGUCAAAUAGGUCAAAAAUGAGGUAUCGAGACCUCAAAAUUGAAAAUCGAGCUAUAAAUAUUUUUAUAAAUAUUUAUGGAGUGUCAUUGAGUUGGUAUUAAAGUUUCGUUAGAAAAUUUUAACGUUUGGAUGGCUAAUUAAUUAAAAAGGACUAAAUUGAAAAUAGCGCAAAAUUUGUUAAAUUGUGAGUGAAUAGCUUAAGUAUUUAAAAAGAUGGAUUUAAAGAGAAAUUAGACCCAAAGGUUAAUGACUGGACGGUUUGGUAUGAAAUAAGCAAGAAAACAAUGUGAACAAGGGGUAAAAUUUGAAAUAGUAUAAAAGUUAAUAGUUAAAUAAUGAUGUAAUUGAAAAAUCUAGACAUUUCUUCAUAUUUUCUCAGCCAAAAUGCCAUAGAAGGUCUGGAUAAAGCUGGUUUUUCAUAUUUUUACAUCAUGUGAGUUUAAUUCUUGCUUUUUCUUGAUAAUUUUUAUGUUUUUAUGACUUUUACAAUUAGGUCCACUUAUAGAAUUCAUUAGUUUUUGAUUUUAUGGGUGAAAUUGGAAGUUUACCUGGAUGGAUAAGGGAAGUUUAUGAUGAAUUAUUAUGAAAUUUAAGUUCUAAUUUCAUAUUAAGGUGGUUUUAUUAAGUGAUUUUGAUAGGAACUGAAAUUUAGGACCUAAUUGUGAAAAAGUUGUGAAUUGAAGGUUUCUGUUGAAAUUAAUAAUAUAAAAGGUUUUGAAAUAGUUUAUAAUGAUAAAAUAAAGUGUUAAUUGAGAAAAAAUAGUUCAAUUGAUGGGUGAAUUGAGUAGGGACUAAAUUGUGAAAAUUGUAAAUUUUGGGGGUAAAAGUGCAAUUUCAAAAUUUGAACAGAAUAAAUUGUGAAGUGAAAUAGAAAUCAAAUAAAUGCUAAUGAGUAGAAAUAUUUUAUAUUAUAGAUCAAGAAUUCAAAGAAGAACGAGGAAAAGAAAAAGUUGCGGAAUAGUCCCUAAAUUUCAAUAUCUUCUACAAAUUAGCCGGGUAAGUUCAUAUGGUUGAAUUUAGAUGUUUAUUUGUGAAUGAUUGAAGUAUAUAAUGUGUUAUUAUAUAUGAAUUUGUUGUGGGAUUGUGUAGAUUUUGUUAAUGAAAGAAUAAAUGUGGAAAUGCAAAUUAGGAAAAACGCAGGAUUGAGUACGUUCGUAUCGUGACGUGUAAUGAAUUGACGGAUAAGACCAUGGUUGUUCCAUGGAAAAGUGUGAAAUGUAGUUAUGGUAUCAUCCAUACUGAGUUGUGAAAUGUAGGUAUGGUAUUAUCCAUACUGAGCUGUGAAAUGUAGGUAUGGUAUUAUCAAAUCCAUACUGAGUUAAGAAAUGUAGGUAUGGCAUUUCCCAUACCGAGUUGAAAAAUGUAGGUAUGGUAUUUCAAUGAGGAAAACCAUACUGAGUUGUGAAUCGUGGCAUUGAGCAACGACGUACUCAAUUUCGUAAGCCGUUUCCUAAUUUGAUUAUAAGAAAUAAAAGAGAAGUGAUCCAAAUGAAAGAGAUUGAGUAGUUGUUACUGUUGAGCUCAACUAUGUGAAUUAUUAUAACAAUGGUUGUGAAUCGCAGGAAACUUUAGUAAAUGUUUUGGUAUUGUUUGGAAAUAUUAUGUUUGGUAAGCAUUACUUUUAAACCUAUGAACUUACUAAGCUUCAAUAAGCUUACUUGUGUGUGUUUAAUAUUUUUAUGUAGAUUGACUUGAAGUGAAGUGGGUAGAUCGGAUCAACACAACAAAGCACACUAUCCAGAUCAAUUCCGAUAGCUUUUGUUUUAUGUUUGAAGAUUUACAUGGCAUGUAUAGAGUUUAAAUGAAAUGAAGUAAAGAUGUUAUAAACUAGUUAACAACAUUUUGUACUAAAACAGUUUUUGGUUAGUAGCAGUAGUUUGAGUUUGAAAAUUUACCAUAAAUCAUGAAAAUCUAAUUAGAGGUUUAAUAAAAUAUGAAAUUAAAUCUUAUUGAAUCUAGUUUCACAUAGAAGAAACGGUGUAAGCAAAAGGCUUUCAUAUCAGGAGAUAUUUGAAUUUUUGUGAGACAAGGUCAGAGUGAUUUUGAACUCCCCUGUUCUGAUUUGUAAAAAUCAUUAAAAAUUGUAAAAAAUUAAUUAGGAGUCAUACUAUAUAUGUAUGGAUUCCUUAUUGAGUCUAUUUUUAAGAGAAAUAAACGGAUUGGUUAUUUGAAUUCUGUACAUGGAGAAAUUUGGUUCGUAGUGCACAGGGGUCAGAGCAGCCGAACCCUGAAACAGGGGCGACUUCAACUAAUAAACUGUACUAAUUGGCCCAACCAAAAAUUCUAGAAAAAAAAAUUAGUAAGUAGAUAUAUGAGCCUAGAUUCGGGGAAAAUUUACGGAUUUGGAUUUCAAGUUUUUUAACUCGAGAUAUGAUUUUUUUUUACGUCUGUAACGCAGUUGGACAGCUUGUCUGCAAAGUGUGAUAUAAAUUGUUUGAAUUUGUUUAAGUGCUCAAAUAAGUUUAGUAAUGCCUCGUGCUAGACUCCGGCGACGGUCUCGGGUAAAGGGGGUGUUACACUCAACUAUUUAGUCCAAUGAGAAAUCGAAACCCAAUACAAUAGGGCACGAUUCCUCGAAUUUCCAAACGUUGAACAUUGCCUCGCCUUUAGAAAACACGGAUGAAAUUCCAAAGGGAUAUUCGAUUAUUUUGAACAAAUGGGUGAUUGCAACCCAGCACGAUAGGGCACUAUUCCCCGAAUUGCUAAACAUCGAACAUUUCCUUCGUUUUAAAAAGUUUUUAGAAAACACAAAUGAAAUUCUAAAGAGACAUUCAAUUAUUUUGGGCAACAGAGAAAUUGCAACCCAGCACGGUAGGGCACGAUUCCCCGAAUUGCCAAACAUCGAACAUCGCCUCCAUUUUAAGGAAUUUUUAAACAAAUAAUUAUAAAACCAGCUUGAAAUACACUAAUUUAACUUGAAAUAAAAGGGAAUAUUUAGUUUUAAAGAAUUAGAAAUUAUAAAGUGACAUUUGUAAAUCGGAAAUAAAAAAACACGGGAUAAUGUACAUGUAUGAAAUAUUAUGAUGAAUGAAUGGAGAUAAUAUAAUUCGUUUAAUCAAAUAACAAGAUAACAAUCAAAUUCUACCAAUCUAAAAGUAUUAUCAAUUUCCUAAUCAUUGAUGAAGAAUAAUCUAUCGUGAUACAAGAUGAAAAUAGUAUACCACAAUAACAUAUAUGACCUAAUACGACACAUUCAAAUGCAAAACAAAAUGAAAGUUAAAGAAAAAUAUGUAUAUGUCUAUAAGACAGUUUUGAAAGGGUGAACACAUAAUAUAUAUACUACAUGAAUUGUUAAACUAGGAACUUUUUACAGAGACAAAAUAAAGGUAUACGUAUAACCAUUAAAAUAUAAUUCAAUAUUUAAAUUGAAUGAUAUACAAAGUGUUAAAGGAUAUCGAUUUAAAUUUGACAACUUAUAUAUAAUAAGCGACAAUAAAAAUUAUGUAUAAAAUAUGCAAAGAUAGUAAAAAUAUAUAUAAUGAAAUUUAAUUUGAAGAACAUAUUAGAUUUCCAAAUCAUAUAUAUGUGUAAAUAAAUUUAGGAUAAAAUAGAAGGGAAAUGUAUACAAGAUUAAAUUAGUUUUAUCACAAAUUAUAUAAUAGAUUUAGAAACAUGUUUAUAUAUAUAUACAAAGAAAACUACAGGUAAAACACAUGAUUAUAUAGAUUCAAUAUAUGUACCAAGGCUUUCAUGUACGUAUGAUAAUAAUGUAAAUAAUGUAUAAAACAAUUGAUUUCGUUUUAAUCAACAAAUAUAUUUAUAUUAAUACAUGUUAAAAACAAUUAUACGUAUGAAAUAAUAUAGGGCUAAUAAUAUAUGUAGAAUAAAGUUAAUUUUAUUUUUAAGUAUAUACAUAGUAGUGCCUAAAAUAUAAACAUAAAUAUUAUGCAAAAUGUGAAAUUACAAAUACUCAAAUUAUAACGAAUAAAUAAACGAACGAUACAUAUAAAAGUUUCAAGAUUUGAAAUGAAUACUACGUAAAAUAGUAAAAAAUAUUUUUAUUUUGCAUUGAUAAUGAUUUGAAAAACACUAUAUGUACAAAAAUGAUUAAAAUGAUUAAUAAUGAUAAUGAUAAUGUAAAUAAUUAACCAAAAGAAAGAGCAAAAUAACCACAUAACAUGACAUAAUUAAUAUAAAAUAAAUUAGCUUAAUAGUAUGGUAAUAACAAUAAUAACAAUAUAAUAAUAAUGAAGUAGCAUGAUAACAACGUAUUGAUAAGAAUAAUAAUAGCACAGUAGUAAUGACAACAACGGAAAUGAUGAUAAAAUGAUAAUAAUAAACUAUGGGAUAAUAAUAUUAACAAUGAUAUAAAAGCAAUACAAAUUCACAAGGGAUAUGGCAACAAGAAUAAUAAAAGAACAAAUGUAAUAAUAAUAAUAUAAAAAUAAAAUAUAGUUAUAGUAAUGAUAAUAUUAAAUUAAUUAAUAAAAUAAUAAAAAGUGAAAGGGGAUCAAUUUGAACUCAAAAUAGGAAUUUGAGGCAAAAUCAGAACUAAAAACAAUAAAAGUGGACCUAUUCGAACAUGCAAUCAACGGGGGAGGACCGGAAGGGUAAUAAACCCGCUCCCUAAAAACGCACCGUUCGAUCAGGGACCAAGAUGAAACAAAAAAUAAAUUCCUGGGGUGAAAUUGAAAAAAUAAAAAAGGAAUGGGACCACAUCGAAACUGGCCUAAAAAACGGAGGGACUGAGGGCGCAAAUAGACCCUCAGUCCAGAAACCGCGGAUCCUAGGUGGUUUUCGGGUCGGAACGCGAGUCAGGUGAUUAAACGACGCCGUUUUGGGUAUUAAAUGCUUGCCCCAAAACGACGUCGUACCAAGGGGCUAUAAAAGCAAUUUUUUUUUUGCAAUCAUCAUUCUAUCAGUGCGGAGAAAAAAAAAAAAGGGGGGGAGAUGAGUGUCUCUGGCCUGGGCGAUUUCUGGCAGCUGGACCAGUGCCCGUUCGUUGUCGGCAUCCGCCGUGCACGGCGGUCGAGAGUACAAAAAGACCCUGAAUCAGUCCCUCUCGUUCCCUUCACUCCAUAUUCGAAUUCUAAGCAAGCAAAAGGAGACCUAAGAGACCGGAUCGAGCCACGGGAACCGUUCGGUUCUGACUUCUCCGAUCUCCGAAAAGGUAAUGGUACCCUUUCCUUUUUCUUUAAAUGUAUGCGUAUAUAUUGUGUGUGUAAGGGUUGAAGCAAUUUGCAAAAUAAAGAACAGGUCAAUUGAAAUGAAGAAACAACCUUCUUUUUCCUUUAAAAUCUUUCAAUUCCUGCUUUUUAUUUCUUUCUAAUAUCUGUGUCCGUGUGUCCAAAGUUACAUUUUCUCUUUGGCUAUAUAUAGCCGAAUACAUGAUAUUAUCCCCUUUUGGUCUUUGUUAUCUGCCAUUUGCAUGUUAUUGUUUCCAUUCUCUCCCUUUUUCUUUGAUCUGUUUGCAGGCUAAGGGUCAACGGCGGUGACAGAGGGGUUGGUGGAGGCAGACAGUAUGGGGUGAUGGGACAAGUGCGGCGCUAAAGGGAAAUAGGGGCUAGGUUUUUUUGUUUUAAGAAAAUGUUGGGAAUGGGCUAGGGUUUAUUUUUUGCGCUUGUAAACGGGUGGUGGGCUUGUUUUAAUUUAGUUUGGUUUUGGGUGUUGGGUUUAGGGGCUGUAAACGGGAUUGGGUUUAGGGGUUGUAAACGGGCCGGGCAAAUUGGGCUUGUAACAGUUUCAUUGGGUGUGUAGUUGGGUGACACCAUGGGAUUAAACGAUUUAAUUUAAAUGAUCCGUGUUGUUGAGAUCAUUAAUUAAAGUCAGGUUCUUCUCAUUUCGCAAGUAGUCAAGGAAUUAAAUUGUGAGAGCUGUUCUUAAGGUUGUUCAAUAGACAAGGAUUAAUUGUCGGUGAUAAAGGUAGCGUAACAUUAUCGAAUUAAGUUGUUGAGCACGAGAAGACCAAACCAGAAUUUGGAAAAGAAGAACUAAACAUAUUAGAAACCGUGCAAGAACAUAAGAAAAUAAAGCGCAAACACAAGAAAAGUUAUCAAUUUUGAGAAUAAAGAAAGAUCUCAUCAAAAUAUGCAAUUUUGAGGGCAAUACAAUCAAUUCAAGUUCUUGAUAGUUUCUUGAUUUGAAAAAAGGAACAACAAAAAUACAUUAGAACUAGAAAAACUGAAAUUAACAAGAAAAGAAAAUAUAUAAAGAUAUGUCUUAUGAAGCCUUUUGAAGAAGAACUCCAACAAAAAUCAUCAAUGACUCUAAUCUACCCUUUAAGGGUCAAACCCUUGAAGAAAUCAACUUAAAGAAUUGUAUUAAAUCAAAUAGUUUUAGUGGAACUAAAUUUUCUUAUUGACUAAGAAAUAUAAAACUUCUAAAUAACUUAACAUAUUUAAAAAUAUCUUAAAAUUAGAAAUAAAAAAUAAUAAAAAAUUAAAUUUUAAUAAAUAUAAUUUUGGGCUCAUAUAUAAUCAAAAUUAAACCUUAAAAUCGAACUCAAUAUGAUUUAAACUCCAAAUAAAGCUCGAAACUCAUAAUUUCCCGUAAUAAUCUCGUCAAGAAAUUCUAAUCGCCAAGUCUUCACUAAAACAGUCAUAACUUGAGCUCCUGAACUCACAAUCUAAAUCAAGCGAUUUAAAGUGCGUUUCAAAGGUAAUAGAUAGAACUUCAGUCGAUACCAGAUAUCUCAACCUAAAAAUGCCUCAGUUCAAGUCGAGUGAUCUUUUGAGCUUGAAAAAUAACUUUUAUGAAUUUAAGUUAAAAUUUACCUAUCCAUGCAUGUAUCACAUCCAAAUUUGGGCUUCAAUUUUUGUUAUCUAUUGGGCUUAUCAAAUUGGGCCUUGUAAAAGGUUAAACCAACAUGUUCGUGGGCUAAAAUUGGGGUCCCCGUACUCAUACUGUAACAGCCUAAUUUUCAGUGGUGUCGGAACAGUGAUUCGAGAUCACUAAAUCUGACAAAUGAGUAGGAAAUAUUAUUAAUUUAGUGAUUAUAAGUUAAAUGUGAAGUUAGGAAAAAUUUUGAAAUAGUGAAUAGUGUACUAAAAAUAAAUAUUAAAAUAAUUAGAAUCGAAAACGAGGUAUCAAGAACUCGAGAAUUUUAAAUGGAGCCAUAAAUAUUUUUAUAAAUAUUUAUGGAGUGUUAAUAAGUUAGUAUUAAAGUUUCGUCAAAAAAUUUUAAAGUUCUGAUAUUGAACAAAAAGGACUAAAUUAUAUCAAAUGCAAAAUUGUGGGAAAUGAUUUAAUAGCUUAAAUGAUAAAAGAAAGAGGGUUUAAAAGGAAAAUAGACCCAAGGUCUUUGGGCUGGAUGGCAAGGGCAUGAAAUCAGCAAGAAAAUAAGGAGAAUUAAGGGCAAAAUUGGAAAAUUCCAAAAUUUACUUAAUAAAGCUAGGACUAAAGUGGAAUUAUCUAGAUUUCUCUUUAUUUUUCUACAUUCUCAUCAGCAAAAACGCCAUGGAAGAGUUCCCUUAAGCUAGUUUUUCAUAUUUUUACUUCAAGUAAGUUCAAUUCUUGAUUAUUUCUUAAAUUUUUUAUGUUUUUGUGACUUUUACAACUAGGUCCACUUGUUGAAUUCAUUAGUUUUUUAUUCUAUGAAAGAAAUUUAAAGUUGCUAUGAAUAUGUGCUGGAAGUAUAUGAUGAUUUUGCAUGGAAAUUAGAGAUUUAAAUUGUUUAUAUGCUGAUUUUAUUGAAAGAAUUGAAUAGAAAGUGAAUGUUUGGGACCUAAUUGUAAAAGAGUUUGAAGUUAGAGUUUUAUGUGGAAAUGCUGAAUUUCAAUAGUUAUGAAAUAACUUAUAAUGUCUAGUAAAAGUAUUGAUUGAGAAAAUUAUCUUAAUUGAGGGGUUAAUUGAGUAAGGACUGAAUUGUAUGAAUUGUAUGAAUUGUGAAGUUUGGGGCAAAAUGGAAAUCAACAUUUUGCACUAAAACUGUUUUGGACAGAAGCAGUAGUCUAACUUUGAAAAAUCACUAAAAAUUGUAGAAAUGGAAUUAAAGGAUGAAUAAAAUAUGAAAUUUAAAGCUUAUUGAGUCUAGUUUCUUAUAGAAGAAAUGAUGUAAGUAAUGGAAUCAUAAAUCAAGAGAUAUGAUAAAUUUUGUGAGACAAGGUCAGAAUGAUUUCGGGUUCACGUGUUUUGACUUUGUAAAAUCAUCAAAAAUUUUAUAAAAACAAUUAGGGGUUUAAAUUUAUAUUUUUAGAAUCCUGAAUGAGCCUAUUUUCAAGAGAAACAAACGGAAACAUCAUUCGAAUCCUUUACGAGGAGCUAAUUAAUUUUUAGUGAAGAAGGGUCGGAACUGUCAGAUAGCAGAACAGGGGAGAAUUCAAUGAAUAAACUGUAUUAAUUGGACCAACCAAAAAUUAUGAAAUUUUUAUGGUAAGAAGAUAUGUGAGUCUAGUUUCAGGGAAAAUUAGCUGAUCUUAAUUUGGAGUUCUUAGCUUUAGAUAUAAAUAAUUUAGUGACUAUGGAUAAGGUUACUUACAAGUGUGUUAUUUAUACCAAGGAUGUGGAUAGAGAGGAGGAGGAGGAAAAAAUAUAUGAAUGAAUUGUGUAUAAAUUGAUCACAUGCCCAAUUAUAAUCGAUAAGUGUUGGAUUAGAAAUGAUAUAAUGUUUUAUUCGGAACAUUUAUUAUGAAAUUAUGAUUAUCGUUAUAAUACAAAAAUUGAACUUGUGAGUUUAUAUGUCUAAAUUUUAGUGAUUAUUUGUUAAUUUUAUGAAUUUCAUGAUGUGUUAUUUCAUAUGUAUUGAUGAUUAAAAUAGUGAAUAAUGUAAAAGCAUAAAAAUUGAAUAAAUGAUCAAAUUGAGCAUUUCAGUUCAAUGACAAGAUGAAUUGAAGGAAAAGACCAUGGUUGGACCAUGGCAACAAGUGAUAAGUGAUAGCUUCGGCUACAGUUAUCUGAUCAAGGACAAAUGAAAGUGAUAAGUAAUAGCUUCGGCUACACUUAUCUAAUCAAGGACAAGUGAAAGUGAUAAGUGAUAGCUUCGGCUACACUUAUCUGAUCAAGGACAAAUGACAAGUGAAAAGUGGUGGCUUCGGCUACCUGAUCAGUGAAAAGUGGUAGCUUCUGCUACCUGAUCAGUGAAAAGUGGUAGCUCCGACUACCUAAUCAGUGAAAAAUGGUAGCUCCGGCUACCUGAUCAGUGAAUAGUGGUAGCUUCGGCUACAAGUGACAAGUGAUUUCCGUAUAAGACCAUAUCUGGGAUAUGGCAUCAAUGUGAUAUAUGCUACUGUAUAAGACCAUAUUUGAGAUAUGACAUCAGUGAGAUAUGUGAUUCGUGUAAGACCAUAGCUGGGCUAUGUCAUCGAUAUGUGAUAUGUGAUUAUGUGUAAGACCAUAGUUGGGCUAUGGCAUCGAUAUAUGAAUAUGUGUAAGACCAUAGCUGGGCUAUGGCAUCAUUAUGUAAAGAUGUGUAAGGCCAUAGUUGAACUAUGGCAUCGAGAAAACGAAGUACUCAAUUCCGUAAGACGUUCACUAAUUUGACAAAGUUUGGUAAGUGUUACAUGGAAUUAUGUGAUACAAGGAAGUACGAGUUGAUAAGAUAUGAGUAUAGAACUUGGUUGAUAAAUGAAUUCAUUUGUGAUUAUAUAAUUGUUCAUCUUGAAUGUACUGUCCAUAUGUGUUGAUAAUUCAAAUGUUUUAAUGAAUAAAGUUCCGACAUGGAAUAAAUUGAACACGAGACAAAUAAUUAUGAAAUUGAACUCAAAAUUCAUGGAAAUGACUGUUAUUGAUAUAUGGAGACAUGAGACAUUGAUAUAUGAAUAUGGAAAAUGUUUGAUAAAUGUGUUUAUUCAUAAUUAUGGAAUUAUAUACCUCAUGUGUACUAUUUGCAUAAAGAUGAUAUUUCAAAUACUUUGGUUAUUUAAGCUUAAAUAUGAAAUAGUAUGAAAUCAAAAUAAGUUGUUAUGAAAAUAUAUUUAGAUUACAGAGAUAUAGCUGAUAUAUGUUGUAUGAUUACAUAACGUGAAAUUGUGUAUAUAUGAGAAAUUUAAUGAGAAUUGAGCCCAUACACGUUUCUUGUUAUUUAUAUGAAGUGUACGACUGACAAGGGUGAUGAAGUUAUAAACAGAGAGUUACACGGGUUGAAAACACGGGCGUGUGACUCUCCAAAGUGUGAAAAUUUUCUAAGUGUUGCAAAAGUUUCAUAUGUUUACGGUUUGGUCCCGAACCAUCCUGAAUGUAUGUUUUGGGCCCCGUAGGCCCAUAUAAGGGACGUAAACAUAUGUAUGAAAGUUUUUAAUUUAGAAGAAAUUUUAUGGCUGAUUUUUACAUGAUUGAUCAUAUUAAGUUCGGUAAUGCCUUGUACCCUAUUCUAGGCUCGGAAUACGGGUAGGAGGUGUUACAUAUACCAUUCUCCUUUCCUUAAAAAGAUUUGUCCUUGAAUCGUGUGUGUCAUUAAUAACGUAGAAAUUAGAUCCGGAAUGUAGUAUAUGUUAGGUACAAACUUGUGGUAGGAUUCAAAGUAGUAAACUAGUCCAUAGGCAUAGUCGCGUGUGAACUUUUCUUACUGACACUACCUCAUUGGUUGUUGAAUUCAUCAUAAAAAAUUUCUUUGUCACUAGAGGAGAUCUCAACAAUAGGCGUAUUAUCACGUAGAAUUUCUUCACAAAUAACAACAUUAGAAGCUUCUUGCUCAAACAUAUCUUCAUCUUCAAUUGUAACACUAGGAGAAAACUUCUCAAUAGGCUUAGUGUCAUACUUACAGUCCUCGAUUUGAAAAGAUAAGAAGUUGAAUGAAAAUGUUGGACAUGUAAUGGCUUGGUGGCCUUUCUCACCACAAAGGAUGCAAGUAGGUGUUGGACACGUAAAUAGUAGACACUUAGAGUUUUGGUGAUCUUUCUCAUCACAAUGCAUGCAUUUGCUAGUUCGUUCUCUUUGUUCUGUGAUGAGUCAUUUAAGUGUGUGUAUCUUGCUAUGACUUUUGUUCAAAUAUCUUUCCUGACAAAUCCAUCAAAAUAGAAUAUGUUUGGGAAUUGGAAAUAACAUGUUCAUGCGAGCUUGGAACACAUACAAUAUAUAUGCUUUGUUGUAAGUUUGUUAUUCUCCUAUUCAAUACUACAUGUACGCACCAUAUCUAAAAGCACAAACACUCAAAAUAAAAACUUGUCCAGAUAAACAAACCUCACCUUUAUACAUUUACAAAGGAAAACAACUCCAAGAGACAAAUAAAGUAAAGAUAAUAGUCUCGCUUGUAGGUUUUAAAGUGUAAUCACACUUAGAAUUCUAAAUGAAUGUGUGGGAAUACUCUCUAACAAGAACUAACUUAGGGUUUUAAGGACUAGUUUAGCAUUACUUUUGAGGAGUGCUUUUAAAAAGUCAUGUGAAAAAGUGAUUUUGAGAAGUACUUUUGAAAAGUUUGGUUUAAGAUUUAAGUGUUUAGUAUUGUCGUCGAAAAGUAAUUUUGAGAAAUAAAAUGUUCAUUUCAAACAAGAUAUUACAAAGUAACAAAUAUGCAUUUAAAUAAUGUUUAAAUUAGUUAAUAUUAUGAUAUUUUAGUAAGAAUAUAAAAAAUAAUUUAUUAUAAUUUAUUGUUAAUAUUUUAAUAUAUGAAAUAUAAAUUUUAAAUAUUUUUAAACAAUUAAUAUUAAUUAUUUAUAAAAUUUAAUUUGAAUAAAUAAACUAUAUUUUAAAUAUUAAAAUAUAACCAAUACAAAUUUAAUAUAUAAUAUUAUAUAUUUAAAAUAAAUUUCAAUAAGAAAGUAAUUACAUAACAAAUAUAAAUAUUAUAUAAAAUACUUUAUAAAGGUUAAAAUUGUUCUUUGUUCUUAAAAGCUUUUUUGCCAAAAAGCAAAAGCUAGAAAAAAUUAUUUUUGCUUUUGGGCUUAAAAGUGCUUUUUAUAAGCACUUCUUACUCCAAAAAUUAUCUGUUUAUUAUUUCUUAUGGCUCCAAAAACAUUUUUGACCUAAAAAGUACUUUUGAGAAACAAUGCUAAACUAACUUGGACUUUUGGUAUGCACAAUUGAGAUCAUUAAUUAGUAUUGAGUUCUUCACGUUUCACAAGACUGUAAAGAAAUUAAAUUGUCAGGAUGUUCCUGUAGUUAAUUUACAACUAAAGAAGGAUUGAUACAAUAUGUAAAAUAUGAGAACUAAAUUUAUCAUUAUACCAAUUUGGUAUUGUCACCACACCCACUUGUAAAACAUUUAACAAGACUUAGCAGAAAAAAAAAAAAAAACUCAAAUAGUUGAAGGGUGAUUUUGAAAGUUUUGAAAGUGUGAUGACAAAAAAAAAAACAAACCUAUGGUGCAAUUUAACUAUAGUUUUAAUAAAAGUAUCGGUCCACCUCAGUUGUACUCAAGUAUCAUCAGGCACCCCACCCUUUGCUGUAAAUUCUCCCUUGUGAUCUCCUCUACAUGGCCUUUUCUGAUUCGUCAUAGUAAAUCUGAAACCCCGCUCUCCUACCCUUCCUUUCCUUUUUUUGUGUUACUUUUGCGCAGCCGGUGGUACACCUUCGACGCAUCAAAACAGAAAAAACCUUAAUUUAUUGUUGUAACUGAUGUGAUGAAUUCAAAGCAGAAAAGGAAUUUAUUAAUCCGAAUCCACGUCAUCAAUCCUCGUAGUGUCGCAUGAAAUAAAUGGACACCGUUGGAUAAACCCCUCCAAUAAGCUAUCCCUAGCCGUUGGAUUAUAGCUCCUACCAUUGUUCUUCUCCCUUUCCUCCCAUCUCACAGCCAAGUUUUCCCUUUUAAAUCCUAAAGCCUUCUCAACAAAAUCAACAAUUAACAGUUCACUACAUCGUCUUCCUCUCACUCUCUUCUUCGCUUUCUCUUAAAUAAUACGAAAGCUAAAAGAAAAAGCUCUAAAUUUCAAUGGCGACGGAAGAAAUUAGUCGAACUCAAGGCCUCAAUCCUUCACAACAAUCUUCUUCACUUCCAGACUACCCUCAGGUAGUUUGUAUUUCUUUGUUUUGUUGGGCUUUUCCAGAUCAUUUCAUUUGAUGUUAACUUUUUUUCUAUUUUUCUGAUUUUACUGGAUAGAUGAUUUUGGAAGCCAUAGAGGCAUUGAAUGAGAAAGAGGGUUCCAGUAUGUCAUCCAUCGCCAAGCACAUCGACUCCACUCACUCCGAUCUCCCAGCGUCUCACUCCACUCUCCUCUCCCACCACCUCAACCAGAUGAAACAAAUGGGUCAAAUUGUUAUGUUAAACAACAAUUACUCGAAACCCGACCCCAAUGCCCCACCCAAGCGUGGACGUGGACGUCCACCUAAGCCCAAGGUUCCUCUUCCACCUGGCGUCGUCGUCUCUUCUCCCAGACCUCGUGGUCGUCCGCCUAAGCCGAAGGACUUAUUGGCUCCCCCCAAGCCCAAACCCGUCAGCACCGGAAGGCCACGUGGACGCCCCCCUAAGAAGGCUAAGACUGGUACCGCCACCGCUCCUCCACCUCCUCCCGGUGUGAAGCGAGGCCGCGGUCGACCUCCGAAAGUGUUACCGUCGGUGGGUUUUCAGUAAAGUAGGCAAGUUAAUAAAUCAAAGAGAAUGGAGAAAAUGACUCAUUCCGUCACUACUCCUACCCCUGCCGCGUUAGGUGUAAUAAUUUUUUAACCUUAAUUUUUUAGGUGUCGUUUAGUUAUCUGCUAAUUGACGUUUUAGCUUUUUCGUUUUUUUCUUUUAGUUAACUUUGGGUGGAGUACUGUAAUGAAUUUAGUGUAGGGUUUAGAUUUUACUUGAGUUAAGACUCUUUGUAAUUUCCAUGUAAUUGUUAAGGAUUUUUUUUAAUGAAUUACAGUAUGAUAUUUUAAUGGUGUGACUUACAUGCGACCCGCAAACCCUUAAUUUUGUAAACCUAUUACUGUUUCAACCGGUGAUGGCUCUAAACUUUAAUUUGUUGUGGGAAUUAUGGCAGGUUUGAUGUGACUUUGUCUUUUUUUCUUCCCCCGCUUUUUUUUUUCAAUUCUUAGUUUUUUGCCAUAAUUGGUUGGUUUCAUUUUUUAUAUCUAAUUGUUAAUUAUUUUCCUGGUAAAUGUUUUGAAUUAUAUUUUAUUUUUUAUUUUAAUUGAAGAUAAAUUAAAAGUAAUUUAUUUUAUUAUAUAAAAGAAUUUAUUACCACCUCUCUAGCAUUAUUCUCAAUCAUUAGACAUUAUGUAGGAACUAUGUAUGACCUUCCAAUACUCAGAUUAGUACUCUAUCUAAAAAAAGAAAUUGUUAGAAUAAUAUCAUCCGGAAAAAAAAAUGUCAAAUAAUUGUUAUAAUAAGAAAAAAUUUAUCACCUAUUCACAGUAGAAAUACAUAUGAUUGAUUACUAAUUGAUGCCAAGAAUGGCAUCCAGUAAGGCGCCCAAGACUGCAGUAAUAUGAUGCAUCUGCCUAUGUCCACGGCAGAAGGAUUUAUCGUCGGAAAAAGUUUGCGAUACAACAUAGCUAACACUAUGGAGCCCCAACUAUACAAAUGGAAGUUAUGCAAAUCAGAUAAUAAGAGCAAGUACAUCAAGUGGACCUUGUUAUUAUUUGCAUUUGACAUGAGUACACCUUCUAAAAUGUGUAUAAUGUAAGCUCGAAUGGUGUAACGACCCAAAAUCCGUAGGCAUCGGAAAAGUAUAUUAUCGGGCCUCCGUCUUAGUGAAACGGGUUCGUAAAUAAUUAUUAGGAAUAGUUAUAAGUAUAGUAGUGUGUUUAAUUAGGUUUUAAUUAAGUGAAAUUAGCUCAAUUUAGAGUAAUUAAUAAAAAUAACUAAAUUGAAUAAGGGGUAAAAAUUGAAUUAUAGAGUAAUAGAAAAUAAAAAGGACUAAAAUAAAAAUUAAGCCAUUUAUAUGAAAUGAGGCGGCAUAUAUGCAUUAAAAUCUAAGAUUUUUGUUUUAACUAUAUAUAUUAUAUUAUGUUAUGUUAAUUUAUAGUAUUAUUAAUUUAUAGCUUAAAUAAGUAAAUAAACCAAAACAUGCUAAUUAUAUGGUUAUAAUUAAAUAUAUGUGUAAAAUACAAGAAAAUAUACUUGUAAUAUAUUUGUAUAUAUUUUUUAAAUAAUAAGUAAAAUAUAUCUAUUGAUUAUUAUUAUUUAAUUGAUAUUAUAUGAGUGAAUAAAUUAAUAAGUUGACAAAUGUAGGAUAAUGAGAUGAUACAUGUGUAAUAAUAUGUAUAAUACAAUUGUAAUAAAAAAAGUAUUAUUUAUUAAGUAGAUACUUAUUAUUUAUUAUUAAUAAGUUAAAGAUAUUUAUUAGAUAAAUAAUUAAAAUUAUAAGAUUUUUGGUAUGAAAAACAAAUUAGAUAAUGACAUUUGUAAUAAUAUGAAUAUAUACAUUUGUAUUAUAAUUAUGUAUUUACUUAAAUUUUAGGUUAAAGAUAUUUACUAAUUAAAUAUUGAUAUUAUAAGAUUUUUAUUUGUUAAAUAAAUAAAAGAAAGACAAAUAAAUGGUAAUAAUAGUGUACAAAUGUACAAAGAUACAUGUAUACAAAUGUAUUAAUUAUAUUUUUAUUAAAUAGAUAUUUUAUAAUUAUUAAAUUAAUAAUAAUCUAUAUUAGUUAAAUGAUAAAAUAAUACAAAGAAAAUAAAAUAUAAAAGAAAAACAAAGAAACCAAGGAAACAGAACAGAAGUAUUUCGAAACAGGAGAAGAAAAAGAAAGAAAGAAAAGAAAAAGGAAAAACUAGGGUUUUAAGGUUUAAAGCUUUGAUUAGUAAGUCAAUUAAGCCAUUUUUACUUAAUUUUGAUGUUUUAGAAGCUUUAGAACAAAAUUUUGAAGAAAUUAAGUUGAGGUUUUGGAAGUGUCUAGGUUUUGAACAUAGUUCAUGUUGAAUAAAAUAAUGAAUUAGGGAUUUAAUUGAAUGAAUUUUAAGGUAGAAUUGAUUAAAGGAUUAAAUUGUAAACUAAGCUAUAAGUUUUGAGUUUUAGGGAUUAAAUUGAAAUAAAUUCGAAAUUAUGAAAAUAUGAUAAAAAUUAAAUAGUUAAAUGUGAGUUUGGCAAGAAAUUGAGUAGCAAAAAUGUAUGAAUUGAGAAAGAAAAAUAUAUAGGUUUAGUUAAGAUUAAAUUGGAAUUAAAGUAAAAGUUAGAUAAAAAUUUCAACAAUUAAAUUGUGUUGUGUUAAUGAUUGUGAAAUUAUUUUAAUUGUUUGUAGCUAAUAUCGAGCCUCAAUCAUCGGCCCAAAAAGGAAAAGAAAAGAUCGUCGAAGAUUAAAUCCGAAGAGAAUUCUGGUUUGUAUCACUAUAACUCAAGCUUUAUAAUUAAUAUGUGUUUAAUUUAAUACGUAUGUGUGGUAAGUAUUUUAAGGUAAGUAUUUAAUAAACUGAUAAAAUUUGUGAUUCGGUAUUAAAAUUGAGAUUGAUACUGAACUGAAUUAUGGGAUACUGAAUAUUGUUUUGAAUACCGAAUUGAACUGUGAAAUUACUAAUUAUUGUUAUGUAUACUGCAUCGAACCGUAAAAUUUCUGAAGAAGCGAAUUACUGUAUUACUGUGAAAAAUUGAUCGAAAUAAUAAAUUAUAAUUAAUAUUAAAUCGAAAUGGAAAGUUGUACUAAAAAAAUGAUUUAAAUACCCUAUUAACUAGUCGGACUAGUCGAAUAUAGUUGGCAUGCCAUAGGAUAUGGAAGAGUACGGGUUUUUGUCGGCUUACUGAUCAGGCACUUAUGUGCCGAAUACUGUUACUGUUACCGAUUCGACACUUUGUGUGUCGAAUACUGUUAUUGUUACUAUUACAGAUUCAGCACUUUGUGUGUUGAAUACUAUUACUAUUACUUUUAUCAUUUUUUAUUACUGUUUAGGUACUGUGUACCGUUAAGGCACAAUGUGCCGUACUGGUGUGUUGGUUGGAAUCCGUGUAUCCGCCGAAUCCGAGUUAAGUUAAUAGGGACAAAUGAAAUAAAUUUACUAAUAAAACUAAAUUUGAAUGAUAUGGCAUAUGUGAAAAGGUGAGAAUUGAAAUAAAGAAAUAAGAAUGGUAUAUAUGUAAUCAAAUGAUAACAUAAAAAAAAAUUAAUUGUUCAUUAAGUGAUGAUAAUUGUAAUGUAAAAGUAUGUGUGUGAUUUAAUGUAUUUAAUUAUAAUUUGAAUUAUAGUGAUACCACUGAGUGUAUGCAUACUUAGCGUAUGGUUGUUUCCGUGCGCAGGUUGUAGAAGUUAAGUAUUGAACCAGAAUCCAAAGCCAGACCCGACUUCAGUAAACUUUUGGUGAUGUAUAUUUUCUUUUGGUGAUGUGGCAUGUAUAUAGGAUGUGUAUAAAGGUUAUUAUGUUUUGAAUAUAAAUGGUUAAAAACAUUAGUAAUACAAGUCUAAGAAUUAUAAUGAAAGAAGUUUAUCCAUUUCAAUUUAAUUAGUAUAUAGAUAAAUUUAAUUUGAUAUUAAUUGAUUGAGUUUGAUUAGAAAGUAUUUAGAAUAGAAAAUGAGUAUGUGAAAUGAGUUGGUUGAAUUGAUUAUGUUUGAAAUGGAUACGGUUUUAAUUGCAGGGGGUUUUAUGUAAAAAUAAGCAGAAAUGCUGUCGAAAUUUAUAAAAAAAAAAUUCGGAGUACUUGAAUGAGUUCCGUUUCAUUUUUAAUAUAUGUUUUAGACUUCGAGAGUUCAUUAUAAGGACUUAGUUAUUAAAUUAUACCAUGAAUGUUAUUUUAUUUGUGAGUUAUUCGUAAGUUGUCUGAUAUGUACGGUAGUGCCUAGUAACUCAAUUCCGGCGACGGUUCGGGGUUAGGGGGUGUUACAAAUGGCAUACAUCAUCUCCUAUUCAGUGGCAGUACUCGGUAAAUGCUCAAAAUUGAACUUUAGCCAUGAAAACCCCAAACCUGUAAAUUUCCCCUCACUUAGCAAGAGUCCAAGUAAGUGCAUUCCCAUCGAUAGGGAGCCUGAGUUGUAGUGCAAUAUCCUGCAGAGUGAUUGUGCACUCCUCACACGACAAAUGAAAUGUGUGGGUCUCUAGGCGUCAUCGCUUCACCAAAGUGGAUAUUAAAUCGUAUCUCAAAUCAAAGGUCUGGAUCAAUGUUAUUGAUCCUCAUCUGGCAAAUAGCCUACACCAUUCACACGACCCCUCAAUGCGCGGUAGUAGCCCUGAACAUUAUUAAAUUAGUGAAAUAGUUAAUAUAACCUAAUUUAAUUCCGUAAAUGACGUAACAAAUAACAAUUUUAUUACCAUCUCAUUAAUAUUUUUUUUAUAUGUGACCAUCAUUAUUAAUCAAAGAACUCAUUGGUUGUAAAUCUGCAAUUAAAAAAAAAGAAUUCAAUUAGUUUGUUGCAAAAAAAAACACAGUACGACAGGUAAAUAAUUUGGAUUUGAGCAUUUUUAUCUCAAUAAUAGGAGAAACAAUAUUAAAAUACAAAAGUGAGAUCCUAACAAUUGGUUGACAAUAACAAAUUUCAAUAAUUAAUUUCUAGAGGCUAUAUUUUCAAUAAUUAUCAAAACACAUUAAUAUUAUACAUACAGUAAAUAAUAAGAUAAAUAUAGUACAAUAAUAAUAUAAUUACAAUAAAAAAUCUCAUAAAUUCCAAUAUUUUACCUAUAUAAAAAAAUUUAUGUUAGUUUACAAUAAUAAUAUAAUUAAAAUAAAUAUAAAAAGCAUACUAAUUAACAAAAAAUAAAAUAGAAACAUAAAUGUUUAGCUUCUUUCAAACAACCUAUAGAAUUAUAUAAAAAUAAAUUUAAUCAACAUUUCAAUAAAUCAAAAAAAAAUUCAAAUAAAUCAAAAACAAAUUAAAUUACAUUACAAAAAAAUCACAAUAAACAGUAAACUAAACCCAAACAAUUUGUAGCCUAAUAAUAAAUUACUAACAAAAUAACUUUAAAAAUAAUUUUAAAAAAUUUAGAUUCAUAAAAAAUCAAAAUAAACACUAAACUAAACACAAACAAUUUAUAACAUAAUCAUAAAUUACUAACAAAAUAACUUUAAAUAAUUUUAAAAAAAAUUACAUUCAUAAAAAAAUUACAAUAAAACACUAAAUUAAACACAAACAAUUUAUAAUAAUUACUAACUAAAAAACUUUACAAUAAAUAGAAAAUAACAUAAAAAAAACUAAUCCCUUCUAUUUAAAAAAAUUACUAAUCCCUUCAAAUUUUAAAAAAUAAUUACUAACAAACAUACCUUCUUUUUUCUUUCUUUCUUCUCCUUCCUUUCCUUUCCUUUUCGUUCUUUCUUUUUUUUCUCUGCCUACAGGAUUUUCUCUACAAUGGGGACCAUGGUUAUAAGGUCUCGUAUCUGCUCCUGCCUCUUUCUUUCCGUGCUUCAACGGGACUUAACACUAUAUUUGCAAUGCACUGUGCAGCUAACGGAGGGGACAUGUCGCUAGCACCAGUGUCACCUGUCAAGGAGGUGUGACUGGUGUCAACAGUGCAUGUGGCACUACCUCCUUUUUUUCUUGUGAUACCGCCUACUAAUAAGGUACCACUAAUAUAAAAUUAUUAUUAUUUUUUAAACAUUAAACAAAUAAUUUUCAGAAAAAAAAAAGUGGUGUGGCUUAUACAUCACCUGCCACUGCCUUUAAUAUAUCAUUUUGAUAUAUAAUUUGAUUGUUAGUAUACAAUUUUUUUAUAUAUAUUAUUACUGUAAAAAAGCCAAAAGGGAGUCCCACAAAAUUUUGCAGAGUUCACAAACGCUAUAAGCAAUGGCAACACAAAAUUUUCUCGAACAUUUCUCAUAAGUUAUAAAAAAUAUGAAUUUCAAUCAACUACAUUUUCUAUUCUUUAUUGAAAUUCAAUCAAUCUGCUUCAAUUUUUUUUCAAAACAAUGUCUUCAUGUUUUAAAUAGGGAGAGUGCAACUUGAAAAUAAAUUUUGAUUUAGGAGAGUUAAUUCGGUAAAAAUGACUAAAUCGCGUAAUGCAUAAAAGUUGAGUUCUAUUGUUUAAAGGUAUUAAAUAGCUAUGGUUUAUUAAUAUAGAAGUACUUAUUAUGUUAUUUAACCAUAAUUUAAGUUAGUGGACAUUUAUGUCCAUGAAUUAUAUGAUAUAUUAAGUUUAAUUAUAAGGUUAUAAUGGUAAUUUAUGUAUUAAGUUAAUAAUAAAAAAAACAAAAAUUAAAAUCAUGUUAUUCUAUCCAUGUUCUUGUCAAAAUUUGAGAAAUAAAUAAGGGUUUUUGAGCUUCCAUGGUUUCGACAACUUCAAUUUUGGAUUAAGGUACGAUUUUAGCUCGGUUUUUAAUGAUUUCUACAUUUUUGAGCUCGUUGCAGCUUAAUCUAGCUAGCCCGUACCUUCGUUUUUAAAACUUUUAUAGAUUUUGAGAUAUUCCAUCGUUGAAUACUUGACUAUUUUGAAGUUUCUUGUUAGAUUAUUAAUGGUUGUUACUAGUUAUAGAAGUUUUAUAAAGUGAUUUUUGACAAAAAUGAGAAUUAGGAAUUAAAUUGUGAAAGAUUGAAAAGUUGUGGUUGAAAAUGUGAAUAAAAUAAAAAUAUGGGCUAAUAUGAAUCCCAUUGAAAUUUGGCUACCUUGGGUUAGGGCUUAAUUGUGCAAUUUUGCAUUUUUAUGUGUUAAGGACUAAAUUGCAAAGUAGUAAAAAAUUUAGGAGUAAAAUUGUAAUUUAGCCAAAAUGAAUGUUUUAGGGUAAAUUGAAUUGAAUGAAAGUUUGAAUGAGUUAAUUUGAUAUCAUAUAGAUUAAGAUAAGCAAAUACCGGAAUUAGAUCAGGGUAAACGAAAGAUAGAUGAUUAGACGACGAUUGGACGAUGAUUAUACGAGCAAAUACGAGGUAAGUUCGUAUAAUUAGAAUUGUACUUUUCUAUACUUGUGAUUAUUGAAAAGAAUGUGUAUAAUUGAGAUAUUUAAAGUAUAAAUGUCUUAUUGUUAUAUUGUAUGUGUUACCGAACCCCGUUUAAACUAUUAGAAUUCAUUGGAUACGAGUGACAUGUUACUGGAAUUACUAUAAUGGUCGAGCUCCUGCAUUUGUUGCGGACUCACCAUAGCUCGUAAGAGCUUACUAUUUCAGCUCAUUGGAACUUACCGAUUCAGCUCGAAAGAGCUUACUGUUCAGCUCAAUAGAGCUUACCGUUUUUAGCCCGAUAGAGCUUACUGUUUAUCAGCUCAGUAAGAGCUUACCAACCAUGACUUUAAAAGAGCAUGUAUGAUGAUGAAUUUUCGGAUUACUGAAAUUAUUCACUCGAUUAUCCUUUGAAGUUCUAAUAGGUUCAACGGGCCUAAAUAAUGUUAUACAAACAUAUUACGGUUUAUAAUUGUUACUAAAGUUAUAUAUAUGAUGUAUGAGUUUGGAAGGAUAUGAAGUAUUAUUUUAGUAAAUAGUUUAUGUAUUAGUUAAAUAACUAACAUGUGAUGAUUAUGUGUGAUUAGGUGAUGGUUAAAUUGAAUUGUUGGCAUUUUAUUAUUGCUUUGAUUAUAUUUAAAUGAUAAGUUUAAUUCUAAAUUAUACGGGCUUACUAAGCUAUAAGCUUACUCUGUUUCAUUUUCUACGUUUUAUAGGGUUCGUUAGCUCGCUCGUUUCGGACAAGUCGGAGUUGCACAUCACACUAUCCAAUUUCUGAUUGGUAUUUUGAACUUACGAACUUAUGUAAAUAUGGCAUGUAUAGGCUAGUUUAAUAGUAAUAGUUAUGUUUUGGUAUUAUAGUUUGAGAAUGAAUUUGUAUAUAAGUUAAGCCAUAUGAUUUGGCUUAUUUUGGUAUCAUAUUUGAAUUACAUAUAUGUGCUUAAUGAUGGUAUAUUUUGGUAUGGUAAUAUUUGCAUGAAAUUAUGCAAAAGAAGUCUUGAUAUAUAGAUGUUAAAUGAAUGAGUUGUAUAUGUGGUUAUAUAGGUAUUUUGUUAUGUAAAUGGUAAGUUUGGAUAUAGCUUAUAAUGUGUAUUGAAUUCAUCAAUUUGGUUGCCAAUUGAGUUGCAUAAAUGUGGUCAAAUAUGAAUGUAAAUGCUUAUGUUUUAGGGUGGCAAGUUUGGCUUUUCAAAUGGCCUAUUUUUGUCCACACGGGCAUGGACGACGGCGUAUGUCUCAACCGUGUGCGACACACGGUUAUGUUACACGGCCGUGUGUCCCCUGGGGUAUGUUACGAAUUAAAGUCAGUACACCCUACAGUUUUGACACGGCCUAAACACACGGGCGUGUCUAUCGGUCGUGUGUGGCACACGGGCUGGCACACGGGUGUGUGGUUAGCCGUGUGACCCAAGUCAGUAGCCUCCCUAAUUUUCGCACGUCCUGGCACACGGGCUUGUCUUGUGGCUGUGUUGACAAGUCAGUAUGUAUGCCUUGUUCUGCCAUGACUUAGACACACGGGCGUGUUUAGUGUCGUGUGAGGCACACGGCCUGUUCACACGGGUGUGUGUCACUUGAAAAGUUGAAAAUUUCCUAAGCUUCUGAAAUUUUAUGUGUCCCAAAUGCAUGAUUAAGACUUUUUAUGAUUGAUUUAAGUACAUUUUGAAUGUGAAUAAAUGAUGGUUACUGAAAUGAGAUGAAAUUUGUUAAAUGAAUAUUUUGAAUUGAGUUACAGGUCAAGUAAUGCCUUUUAACCUAUUUCGGCGACGGUUACGGGUUAGAGGUGUUACAUCGUGUGAGGCAUAUGGCCUGUUCACAUGGGCAUGUAAAUUUUGUAACUUAAAAAAAUUGUUAAGUUUUAAAAUUUUUUGAAUGUGCUCGGUUUUGUCCCGACCCCUUCCUAAUGCAAGCUUAAGGUCUCGAUGACCUAGGAAAUGGACUUUAUGUUGAUAUUUUAUUAUGAUAUGAUGACGUAUGACUUUUAUAUUGUGAAAUGAAUUCGUAACGUUCCAAUUGCUUGGUAAUGCCUCUUAACCCUAGUCCGGCGACGGAUACAGGUUAGGGGUGUUACAUUUUAUUAGUAUCAGAGCUACGGUUUAGUCAAUUCUAGAACUAAAGUAGCACGUGAGAGUCUAGCUAUACAUGCCAUAUAUAUGAAUUGCGAUAGUGUGAUGAUUCCUGGCAGUUAAAAUUUGUUUUUCAUAUAGCAAAUAGAUCCCGAACGAGCGAUAGCUGAUGAUGUUGAAAGCAAUGCACCUGCUCCCGCUCAAGGAGCAGUGCUGGUUGAAUCUAGGCCGAUAUCUAGUAGUUGGGGAGGAGAGGCUAAGCAAGCCUUCUUCCAGAUAAUGAACGAGUGGUUUAUGGAAUUCGUUCGAACGAAUCCGGCUACUUAACAGCCUCCACCCCCACCUGUUCCUCAACAAGUCUCGAUUGUACCACAAGUAAUAUAUCCGAUUCGAUUGAGGAAGCCCCCUGUUGAUAAGAUUCGUAAACAUGGAGCUGAAGAGUUUCGGGCUACAGUUGAUGAUGAUGCUGAAAGAGCUGAGUUCUGGCUUGAGAACACUAUCUGAGUAUUCGAUGAAUUCUCCUGUACUCUAGAUGAAUGUAUUAAAUGUGUAGUAUCCUUACUUAGAGAUAAUACAUAUCAAUGGUGGAAAACAUUGACAUCGGUGGUGCCUAGGGAACGGGUUGCCUGGGUAUUCUUUCAGGCUGAGUUCCGGAAAAAGUAUAUAAGCCAGAGACUCCUCAAUCAGGAACAUAAAGAGUUUCUAAAAUUGAAACAAGGCCGAAUGAUAGUUACUGAGUAUGAAAGGGAAUUUGUACGUUUGAGCAAGUAUGUUCGGGAAUACGUGUCUACUGAAGAGAUCAUGUGUAAAAGAUUUGUUGAAGGAUUGAACGAAGAUCGAAAGCUAUUAGUCGGGAUACUUGAAUUGAAAAAAAUUGUAGUAUUGGUUGAGAGGGCUUGUAAAGCCGAGGAUCUCAGCAAAGAAAAGGGAAAAGUCGAUUUAGAGGCGAGAGAUUCGAGAAAGUGAUCAAUGAAUAAAUCUUAUCAUUCAUCGUCAAAGAAAUCUAGAGACUAUUUUAAUCGAUCGACAGCUUCAAAGGAAAACAAAAUAGAGAUCGGGGAAAGCAAUAUACCAACCCUAAAACUCAAACCACAUCAGUAUCGAGUGUUGGUAACGCAAAAGAUGUUAAGCCUGAGUGUCAACAAUUUGGAAGACAACAUUUUAGAGAUUGUUGGGGGAAAAGUAAUAAUAGAGCUUGUUACAGUUGUGGUUCACGAGAUCACUUUAUAAAAGAUUGCCUAGAGUUAGUUGAAAAAGAUAAUGCUCAGAGUACGAGGCUGAUUAACACUGCAGUUGAGGUAUACCUCUUAGAAACACGAGAAAUGUGAUUUUGGUGUGUUACUUAGGGUAGAAGUAAAGUUGUCAGGGUUGGCACUUGGAGCCUAGGAGUGUUUCGGAGGAAUGUUAGCCUACCGGCUAAGCAUUUGGUGCCCAGGUUUGUUCUCGAUUGGUUUAGCUCGUUUCAACAUUUUAAUGUGUUAUGGAUGGUUAAUCGCUUAUCCGUAUUCGUUUUAUCGUUCAUUGGGCAAAUUUCUAAGCAUAGAUGACUUGUUAUGGAACUAUAGAAUGUUUGUAUGAUUUUUUCGAUAUUAUUGUGACUUGAUAUCGAAUGGUAUCAUGGGAUUGAGUCGACUAUGAAACUCGUACAUAUAUAUAAACUCACCUAUUGAAUGAUUGUGGAUGACAGGAUUAUUGAUUAUUAGUAUUGCUAAUGUAUAAUUGAUCUGUUUAUAAGGUAAGUUUUAUCUUUUCGACUGUUGAAAAUUUUAAGCUCAAUUGAAGCUUACUCGUGUCAUUUUCUUGUUUCUUUGUAGAUAACAUUUGGUAAAAUCAGACGAUCAGAUCAAUAUGAGGAUCACAUUAUCUAGAUAUCUAUCGGUAGAUUUUGAAUGUUUACCUUUGGAUUAUAUAACAUGUAAUAGGUGUGUUUUGAUAUAUGUUUUGAAUGCUUAUUUCUAAUGGUAUAAGUAUGAGAUUGAUGUAAAAAUGUUUAAAUUUGGUUUUAGUUUGUUUUUGUGUGUGCCUAUGACAUGGCAUGAAUAUGUCUUUGUGAACUUAUAUUUGGCUAUUUGAUUCAAGUUUCAUAAUGAUAUGGUAUUGAAACAUGGCAAGUUUGAUGUAUGCUUUAGGUUUGGUGUAUGAACUUGAAUGCCAUUUAGUAUAUGAAAUAUGUAUUUGUUUUGGAUAUUGAAUUGUUGUGUCAACUAGGACACAUUGGUUAGGCAUUUAGGUUGGAUGAUUUUGACAUGUUUCGGGCUCAUUUAAUUGUGUUUCGAAUAGGUUUAAUUAAUGGCAAAUGAGUUGCUUGAUGUUGAAGUAAGCAUGUUUUUUUGACAUCCCAAAAAUUCAAGUAUUUUGUUUCUUAGAUUUUGUGAUAAGUUAAUAUCUACUUUAGUGGUGAAGGGUCUCAAAUUUGUGAUUGAGGUCUUGGGUUCAAAUCUUAGCAUAAGCAAAAAGGGUUUAGUUUUUGCUAUUUCCAGUUAAGGGUGUAAGGGGUGGAAUUAGAUUGAAAAUCAAAUACUAGGUAGUUAUCAGGUUGUGGGAUAGAGUUGUUGGGAUUAUCUUAAUUUCUUUUAUUUUUAUUUUUUUUAGUAAUCCUAAAAAUGAACUUCAUUUUUCCCACGUUCUUCUUCCUUUUUGGUUCUUCUUUUUUUUUCUUGUUCCUUCACUUAUCAUUUUUGUUUUCCUUCCUCUGCGAACAAAAUUCAAGAUUAAUUUUGGGAUUCUCCUUGUGGCCUUCCGUUUAAUCAGUUUCGCUUGGAGAUCUUUGUCAUUCAAAUUCAUUUUACUGUUGAUUUGAGGAGAUUUGCGAGCCAAUGAGUGUUCCUUUGGCGGAGUGAUUGCAAUGGGUUGUUUUUCUCGAGGGUACUAGGAUUCUCAUUCUUUGAAUUACUUCAAAAUCAAACUAGGCGUGUAAUGAGAAACUCGAAAAAUAGUGAACGAUGAAAGCCAAAAUUGGGCACUGUUGAUGGCACACGGCAGUGUGUGGUACAUGGUCAUGUGACAAAUAGUGUGUUGAGCCGUGUAUGAUGCACAGUCUAGGUUAUUUUGGGUUGUGUGGACCACACGGGCGUGUGUAGUCAUGUGACAAGCCGUGUGGGCCACACGAGUUAGGCUAUUUGGGUCAUGUGGGCCCAAAAUUAAGAAUUUUUACUUAUGGUCGUGCACAUUAUCCCGAUCAACUAUGGGCCUUCUAUGGGGUCGGUAUGUUAUUAAAUAUUCCAUGAAACAUGAAAUUUGGUUAUCUGAUUAUGAAUUUUGAUAUAUGUAAUUGUAUCUAAGUUGUCAUAUGAUAAUUCAAAUUGAGUGUAACAUUAAAUACGUACAUGAUUUGCAAAUGAAAUGUUAUGCAUGAUUUCUGUUUUGUCUAUAUUUAAUUCUAGGAUGGGGUAUAUUAUGUAGAGGAAGUGUUCUAUGAGCGGCAAUUUCUCACCCAUUAUAAUGGCAGCAUAGCUGCAAAUAUUCUAAAAGGUGUCAUAUCGACACUACGUAGUGUGUAGAGCUGGAUGGGUCUUUAAUACUCUAUAUGGUGUGUUGGGAUGGUUGGAGAUAGUGUGUAGCAGGUGGGGGUAGGAAUGUAAAUUUGCAUAUGGUUCUGAUUUUGUAUGAUAUAUUCAUCGGUAUCUGCCCUGCUAUAUUAUUAAUCUGAAAUUAAAUUUGUGAUUUUGUUUUCUAGUAAGUUACACAUUAAGUUUGAAGCUCACUCUCGGUUUAUCUGAAAAUUUUAGGUAAUCUUCAGAUUUAGGCUGGUCGGUGCGACGGGAGCUCAGUUAUAUUCGUAUUCUGUUUCUUAACUAUUUUAAAUUGGUUUAAGUGUAUUGUAAACUUUGGAUUGUUUGGAUAUUUUGGGAUUGUCUCAGUUCUGGAAUUUAUUCCGAAUUUUUGCAUGAUGUUGAUAAAGUAAUUUACCAAAAAAGAUUAUUUUUUCGUAACCAACUAUUUUCGAGAAAACAAACUUGAUUUUCUAAAAGAUAGUGAUCUAAGAAUUUCUGCUGCGUGGUAUUUGAUUUAAUUAGGCAACGUAAACAAAUAACUCUUUUAAUUUAAGAAUCAUGACAAACUCGUUUCUAAUAAAAGGGUUUUUAAGUAACAAAAGUUCACGAUGUUUUUCAAUUAAACGAAAGUCGGAAUUACAAUUUUUUUACGUAACAUCUCUAGAUCUAGCCAUAAUGUCCAGGUCAAAUUUGGGGUGUUACAGUUUUAGUAAACUUACAUUUGAAGGCACAAUUAGAGGAAACGGCCUGGGACACAGGUUGGCACAUGGUUGUGUGCUGCAAACGGUCUCUUUACGCGGCCGUGUAUUUUAAGUCAGUGUGUCACACAGUCUGGGCAAUGGCCUACAACAUGGCUAUGUGUUCCAAGAUUGAAUUGAAUGUGACUUAGCACACAGCCUGCGACAUGGUUGUGUGAGGGUAUUUCGAUUGUUACGCAGUUGGGCACACGACUUGCGAUAUGGUAGUGUGAAAUUAUUUCAAAAGUUACAUGGUUUGUCACACAAUUGGCCACGCGACUUAUUUCAAAUUUUAUCUUAGAAGUUAAAUGGUCGUGUGACCCAUGUUUUCAAAAUUUUUGAAUUUUUCUAACACUUUCGAUUUUAUUUCAAAUUAGCCCCUGAUUGUUUCUAAAUUAUUUUUAAGGCUCUGUAAGCCUGAUUUAAGAUAUUUACGCUAUGAAUGACAUUUGAAUUUUAUUACUUGUUAUUUAAUUUGAUUUUUGAAUGGUUAAAUGUUAGUAAUUGAUAAGAUAUGUUUCAUAAUACUCUGUAACCCUAAUCUGGCGGCAGUGACGAGUUAAGGGUGUUACAUAAGCCUAAAUAAUGAAAGAAACGUCGAAAGUGUGACCAUCUAGCAUCACAAGUAGGUGGCUAAGUGGAGGGAGAAAAUAAGUCGUCCUCCUCCAAGGUUAUGUUUCGAGUGUUGAAAAAUUUUAGUUUAGAAAACAGAUUUGUUGUACAGCGAAAAAUUAAUAUUUUUGAAAUUCGAGCUUUUGUGUUCUUUAUAUCAAUAAAUACUUUAUCAAAUUAAUAUAUGUUUUAGGUUAAGCAGUCUAAGUCACAUCCAAACUUUUUACCAACACGACCCUCUCUGCUAUUCUCGAAUCCUUAGUUUGCUUAAGUAUAAUAUGUUCCAACAACUUUUCUUAUGCUAAAAUUCAAAUAUAAAAAAUUGGAGAUUGUGGAAAUUCAUUUUCUUACUUUUUUUUUGAUUUUUCUCUCUCUACCCAUGACCCUUUUUGAAUAAACUCGUAAAUUCUAGUUCUUGAAAUGAUGAAAAUGAUGGAGGAAACAAGAUUGGAUAAAGUUUUGCUACUAGUUUUUAAUGGGAAAUCAAUGUGGGUGAUGAAUUUUUUGGAUGAAUUAAAGGAAAAGACAUGGAAAAUGAAAAGAGGAAAAAGUUCCUCUUCCAAAGAGUGGGGGAUGGCUGAAUUGGGAUGAGUGAGACACAUUUUGUCAUAUUUUUUUCCUUUUAUUUUACUCAAAAUUAACAAAGUCAAAGGACAAAGUCAAAUCCUUUUUAAAAUGCAUGUCCGCAUUUAAUCUUCAUAUAAAAAUCCAAUAUAAUGACUCCAAAUUACUUCCAAAAAUUUAAUAUCUCAUGAUAUAAUAUUUUCAGUUUCACAUGAAAUGACCAAAAUACCCUUUAUGUGGAAUAAUUAAACUUUAGUUCCUUUUUAUCCGGACAAUUUUCUUCAUUCCAUUCAAGGAAAUUAAUAUCCCAAAAUUUCCAUAAUUUGCACUUUUCAUCUAUAAACAUUAAUUAUUCAUGCAAGGAUUGCGUCUAUAACCUUUCUCGAUAAAAUUAAAAAUUUAUGAUUUAGUUCUUAAACUUUAAUUUUCAUCCAAUUUGAUCUUAAAAAUCCUUAUUCUUUACACUUUUUUACUAUUUUGAUUGUAUGAAACUUUAUUGAUGUUUUUUAACUCUUUUCUUUAUCGUUGGGAAAUUUGCACUUUAGUUCUUAUAGUUUUCAAAUUUUACAAUUUAGUCGCCAAAGUGAGUUCCAUCAUAAUAUCAUCAUUCUAGGUCUUCCUCAUGUCCAACAAUUUAGUUGCUAAAGUGAUUUCCGUCAUAAUUAUAUUGCUUGUAAGUUUUAAAGUGUAAUCACACUUAGAAUUCUGAAUGAAUGUGUUAUACAGAAUUCUAAAUGAAUGUGUAACACCCAUAACCCGUUUUUGCCAUCAAAAUAGGGUUAUGGAAUAAUAUCGGACGAUUUAGAACAAUCAAUAACAGAUAGCAUCAAGUUGCUGAAUUAAUUAAUGAAAUUUAUAAAUAAUUCAGAUUGGACUAGAACCUACACUUAUGAACCUUAACUCGAACCAACGAGGCCUUUAAAAUAGUUUUGGAAUAAUUGGGGACCAAUUCUAGAAAAAAUAAAAGAUUUGGGAAAAAGUGAAAAUUUUCAAAUUAGGGGUUACAUGGCUUUGUGUCCAAGCCGUGUGAUAGAACCUAGACUGUGUGACUCAAACAUGAUCGUGUGUCCAUUCCACACGCCCAUUUGGCUACUCCAUAUGCCCGUGUACUUAGGUCAUGAAGUUCACUGACUUGGCUCACACGCCUGUGUCCUAACCAAAAUAAAUUGCAAGAGCCAAGGCUUGAACCCAGGCUCCUAUACAACCUUAAUGACGCCACAACCACUAGACUACAUGCUUCAUUGUGUCUUUUAUUUACCACAAUAAUUUAAAAGGCCCUCAUCCAAGCAUCCAAGUUUUUUUUCACUUAAUACCAAAAUUUUUGCUAAAGCCCAAGUUUAAACCCAAGAUUUCUCCAACACUUCUCAAAGCCAUUAACCACUAAAGCAAACAUUUAAUUGUUUCAUUUCAUUGCACAAUUAAAUACCUAUAUACAACCUCCUUACAGACCCCCACUCAAGGCCCAAUACUUCUAGGCCCAAAUUCGGGGUGUUACAAUUCUAACCCCCCUUAAAGAAAUUUCGUCCUCGAAAUUUUCCACUCUCAGACUACACCACACUUCCGCUGCGCACUCUGAUACUAAUAAUACUAACAUACACCCAAAACAUUUGUCCAUCGGAGCGGAUAAAUUUCACAUGCAACCAAUUUCUACAUUUCCAGAACACACGCCAAAUAAAUACUAAAUCUAAAUUCAAGCGUUACAGUUUACUCUUAACUAGAGAGUUUCAGUAUAGUGCUACUAUAUAUAGUGGUUUCUUAAUAUAGCAUUUCAAUCUAUAAUAGUAAACAGAGUUAGGGAACUUACAGAUUUGGUGCCGGAGACUCGGUGUGCCACACCUCCAGUAACAUCUUUUCAGAAACAAGUCAAGUUUCAUUGAGAGAUUUCAAAACAAAAUUUUAGAAAAACCCAUUUCAAACCCCAAUUUCGGAAAAAGAAAAACAACAAUAAUUUUCUGCUACCCAUACCACAGUCGAGUUUUGCAACCUAAGCUCUGAUACCACUAAAUGUAACACCCCAAACUCAGGCCAGACAUUCUGGUCUAAUCUGACGUGCCACAUUGAAGUUAAAAAAAAUCCACGCUUUAUUUUAGUGUUUUAAAAAAAACCAUCGUUUGAUAAGGCUUAACCAAGUGAAUGGAAGCUGCGCACCAGGUAGGUAUCCAAAAACAGAAGAGGUGAGCCAUGAAGGCUGCUUAAGUACCAAGCUCUUCGAAUGGAUCCAAUCCUAGACAUGCCCACAACCAUUGCCACACUUUGGUGCGAGGUUAGGUUUUGAGAAAAACGAGUUAGAAUUCAUUUAAGUAGAUAUUUUUGAUAAACCAAUUAAUUGUAUCGUUGCGUUAUUUUGAAAACAAUUAUCAUUUUGAAAACGCGGCCUAAGUCUAACCCAUUUUGGAUUGUUAUCAGUAAAAUAUAGGGUAUAAAAUAAAAUAAUCCCAGAAAAUAAUUAAAAUGGCCUUAUUACAACCCAAAACCAAAUAAAAAAAUUAAUAAGAUAAAACUUAUAAAGAAAUAAAUUGGCUACUUAUUGCAAUUAAAAGAAACAGAAACAGUAGUGUGGUCAUCUCCGAGUCCCUCGCAGCUCCAAACCAUCUAGGCUUAUGGAUUACCUGCACAGUUAGAAACGAGGUGAGUUUACGAAAACUCAGUGUAUAAUCCCAAUAACAUACAAACAGUGAAAACACAGUAUCAGUACAAUCUGGGCCAAAGCCUUAUUUAGUCUUGACAUAUACUGGGCCGAAGCCUUUCGUUUAACGGUUACUAGGCCGAAGCCUUUUCAUAAAUCAUAUCACUGGGCCAAAGCCUUUUCAUAAAUCAUAUCACUGGGCCGAAGCCUUUUCAUAAAUCAUUUCACUGGCCCGAAGCCUUCACUGUAAACGGUAUGGCCCAUAGGCCCAUUUCAAUAUCACAUGUAAUGUCAAUGGAUGUAUGCAAGCCCAUUUCAAUAUCAUAUGAAAUACCAAUGAAUGUAUGCAAGCCCAUUUGGGGAGAAUACUCGACCCACCAUCCGCUACUCUCCACCCAUACCAACCAACACACCAUGUGGGGAAUGAUUCAACCCACCCAACCAACACACCACUGGCAGCAUAGCUGCUUUAUCAUAUAUCUAGAGGCCUAGCCUCUUUUAAUAACUGGGGCAAAGCCCUUUUCGGUAAACUGGGGCAAAGCCCUUUUCAAUAAACUGGGGCAUAAGCCCUUUUCGGUAAACUAGGGCAUAAGCCAUUUUCAAUAAACUGGGGCAUAAGCCCUUUUGCACUUCCUCCAUCCAUAUAAAAACCCAAUCCAAUGCAUUUAUGAAUACAUCAUGUGCAUUUCAUACAUAUCAUGUGCAUUUCAUACAUAUCAUGUGCAUUUUAUACAUAUCAUGUGCAUAUCAUAUCUAUCAUGUAUAUCAUAUCCCACGUAUCAAAUUUAUAAUUAAACCCUAGGGGUAUAAUGGUCAUUUUUACCUAGAGGCGAAACAGUCAUUUUCAUACUAUAAGGGUAAUUUCAUAAUUUUACCAAAUAUCAGGGUUUUCCUUGUUCAUCAACAAUUAUCAAUAUUUUUGAGUGUUUAAACAAUGAUCUUUAACCCACUUUAUCAAACUCGGGCUUUUAGGCCAAAAACCUCUAAUGGGCCCUACGAAUGCCGAUUUAGCCCACUAAGCUUGCUUAAUCCAAAUUUUACGAUAGUACCAACCAUGUUAUCAUGAAACUUUUCCAAAUUCCAUUUUCUAUCAAUUUUACCCAAAUGGGCCCGAAAGCCCAUUUGGCCCCAUUCCUGCCCAUUAAGGCCUAACUUACCAUCGUGCACAAAAUUGAGUUAUUACCCGUUCCAUUGAUCAAAACACCGAUCUUAUCGUAUUUAUCGCAUCUAUACCCACACGCAACAUUACAAGUUCCCAAAAUGCCAGUAUUUUAGCAUUUGGGCUUCUCAGCAGAUAUUAAUCUAAGCUACUACGAGGGUUAGUACACACCUGUUAUGGGUUGAAGUUGAAACGUUUCCAUAAUCAAUCACCUACGAUAACCACCACCUGUCACUCAAACUUAACUAAUCCAAUAUCAAUAUAUGUAAAUCCUAAGCACAUCAGUCAUACGGAACAUAAGGACAUAUUCAUCAUUUUACCAUACAAGGGUAUUACGAUCACUUUACCCUAUAGGGGCUUUACGGUCUUUUUACCUAUUAGGGGUAUUUUAGUCAUUUCAUCCUACAAGGGUGUUUUGGUAAAUCUACAAACCAAGGGUAUUUCAGUAAUUUUGUAAACCAAUGGUAUUUCUAUAAUUUUUAGAAAGUCAAGGGUAUUUCUGUAAUUUUGUAAAUCAGGGGUAUUUUGGUAAUUUUACAAAUUGAGGGUAUUUUGGUAAUUUCACAAACCAGUGGUAUUUCGGUAAUUUUACAAACUAGGGGUAUUUGGUAAUUUUACAAACUAGGGGUAUUUUGAUAAUUUUACAAACUAGGGGUAUUUUGGUAAUUCUAUCCUACAGGGGUAUUUCAGUAAUUUCACAAUCGAGGGUAAAAUGAUAAUUUUGUAAACUGCGGGUAAAAUAGUAAUUUUGUAAAUCGAGGGUAAAACGAUAAUUCUGUAAAUUGAGGGUAAAAUGGUAAUUCUAUAAAUCGAGGGUAAAACGGUAAUUUUGUAAAUCGAGGGUGAAACGGUAAUUCUAUAAAUCGAGGGUAAAAUGGUAAUUCUACAAAUCGAGGGCAUUUUAGUAAUUUGGUAAACUAAAGUAUUCUAAACAGGGAUAACAAUACGAAUGGGCCUAAAGCUUAUUCUCGGCCUAAAUGGGCCCACACGCUCGUGUGGCCAUUUUAGCCCAAAUCUAGCCACAAAUAUGAGAUUCAACUAGCCUAGUCCAAUAUUUACUACACAAUCAAACAAACUUAUCCAAUUGGGCCCGUAGGCCCAUUGGGCCCACAUGACCCCUUUCGGCCCAUCGCGGCCCGAAGUAGCCAUCCUAUAGCUAGAGUAGUGAGAAAUACACACCUGAUAGGAGACUAGAGUUAAUCCACGCUCCGAGCACUCUUAGCCAACGCCCAACCCAAACGAGCACGCCAUACAGCGAAAGGGAUCAGCCAAGAAAAGGUACCUUUACUAUCCUCAUGGUUCCCUCUAUUUAAAGCCAGCUUCGCAACCACUCUUAUGUUAGCUUCCCGAUGUGAGAUCCCUCCAACAUCAGAAUUUAAAUUCAACACCAACUCUUGCCGCCCCCUGUUAGCAAAAUAAAUACUCCUUGCUUGCCAUGGGAUUCGAACCCAUGCCUCCCCUCAGAUGCUCCACACGCUACUUGCCACUAAGCCACAAGGCUUUUUGUGUCAUAUUUUAUCCCCAAUUAAUUAUAAGGUCUAAAGGCCAAAGUCCAGGUUCCCUAAAAAAACCAAAAUAAAUUGCAAGAGCCAAGGCUUGAACCCAGGCUCCUAUACAACCUUAAUGACGCCACAACCACUAGACUACAUGCUUCAUUGUGUCAUUUAUUUACCACAAUAAUUUAAAAGGCCCUCAUCCAAGCAUCCAAGUUUUUUUUCACUUAAUACCAAAAUUUUUGCUAAAGCCCAAGUUUAAACCCAAGAUUUCUCCAACACUUCUCAAAGCCAUUAACCACUAAUGCAAACAUGUAAUUGUUUCAUUUCAUUGCACAAUUAAAUACCUAUAUACAACCUCCUUACGGACCCCCACUCAAGGCCUAAAUUUGGGGUGUUACAACUUAUCUACAAGAAAUAAAACAAACAACACAAGUAAGCUUUCAUAAAGCUUAGUAAGUUCGUCGUUUAAACUAUAAAGCUUACUAAAUUAAACAUAAUAAUUCACAUAACAAGAUUAAUGAACAACGUUCUUUUCAAUCACGGUUCACAAUAAGUGAGUAAUGCUCAACACAAUAAUACUAUUAAAUUUUUACAUUUCAAUACCAUUUAGAGAUCAAUAGAACAUAGCUCGAUGAACGAUAAGUGGAUGCGAGUACACGGUUAACUAUCUAGCACACCAGAUGCUUGAAUGAUCCAGACUAACCAACAAACCAAAGGCUCGUAUGAGGUAGACCAACCAACAAAUCAGAAUACACUGUAAUAUAACACAAUAAUCCACAACAAAUGCUUGACUUCGACAUAUCUAGUGAAUAGAGAAUUUACAGAAAUCAUCUCCACUGCUCCAAUCAAUCCCAUACCGCGUGCAACAUAACCUAUUGGUAUGCCAAUCGUACUCAAUCCUACGUUAAUCAGCUCUGGAGAUAUCAACAGUGAUCUGUGUUUAAUCAAAUCGUUAUCUCAAUUCUCAUUUACAUGACAUCGAAUGAACUUACCAGACUAAACUGCAGCAACUAAAAAUGUACAUGGACUAUUCAACAACUUCUUUAUGCCUCGAUUUCUAACCCAUUCUUGAUCUAAAAUAACAACUUCAUUCAAUUAACUAAUUCCAAGAGUAAAAUUUAACCAAUAUUUUACGUUUAUGCAAUUUAAUCCUUGAGCUCAAAAUUUUCAAUUUAACCAAUUUUAACUAAAACUAAGUUCAGUCAAAUUGUAAAGCUCUCCAAUAUGGCCCAUAUUUUCUAUUAUUUCACAUCAAGUCCUUGUAAUUUUAUCACUUUAAUAUUUAGUCAUUCAACAUUAAAAUUACUAAAAACUACUUUAUAAAUUGUCCUAUUUAAGCUUAAUAAUCUACCAUAAAACUUCAAGAACAACUCAAACUUAUCAAUGGCAUAAUCUAUAAUGUUUAACAAUUUUACAAAUUAGUCCCCGGAUUAGCUAGAUUAAGCUAAUAUGAGCUUAAAAACAUAAAAAUUACUAAAAACGGGCAAGGUUUACUCACCAAAUUGAAGGGCCUAAGCUUGGGCGAAGCUUUCUAAUUCCUAGCUAUAGUGUUUCAACUAUAGAAAAGAAAAUUCAAGAAGAUAAUAGCCAAUUUGGCUUUUAUUUUAAUUAAAUUUCAUUUAUUUACUUAAUUACUAUUUUCGAACUGACUGACCCAAAGGACUAAUCAUAGAAAACUUUCUAGUAGUAUUUUCGGUAGUUAUACCCAAAUUUGUAGAAACAACACUAGCUAUAUACGAAUGAGUAGAUCCAAUAUCAAUGAAAGCGUGUACGAAACAUGAUAAAUAAAUAAUGUACCUACUAUGAUGUCGGCAUCAUCACUAUCCUCACAGGAUCUCAUCGCAUAAACCAGUGCCGGCUGUCAAGGAUCAGUUGGACCAGCACCUCUACCAGGUGCUCUUUGUCCUUUCCGUGAACCAUUACCCUCUCUAGUAGUACCACGACCCUAGAUGGUUAUUGAACUACUCUCGGAGGCUGAAAAGAACCCAGAGUCUGUGGCAGAAUCAUAGCACUGAGGAGGCCACGUGGGAGCCUGAGGACUCGAUGCGUUAGCAGAAUCCUCAUCUAUUCUGAUCAGGUAAAUUUCGAGAUGAAAAUUUCUUUUAGAGGGUAGAGUAGUAACUCCCCAAAAUUCUUAUUUUGGCUUUUGUGGAAGUGUGACACAAUUGAAUAUCUGCUUCUGUGGUUAUGUGUUCUAGGAGUGUCUGAGAGGUCCCAAGUUCAAGCCUUGUCUUUGGUAAAUUUUAGUAUUUUUCUGACUUAAGCUUUAUACUUGCUCAAUGGGCUCAUAUUUAAUUAUUGGUAUAAUCAUAUCAGAAUGGGCCUGCUGGUCUAGUGGUUAAGUUAAGGGUUAAUUUGCUGAAAGUCCUGUGUUCGAAUCUCUAAGCAAGUGUGGGUAGUAAUUUUUGCUCCUUUAACUGAAAGAGUUCCGAUUGUAUUGAAGGACUGAGAGUGGGUGGUUAGGGUGUGAAGUAGUGGGGAGUUAUCAAGAUAUCUCCAAGCAAAUUUUGUUUUCCUCUCCCCAAGUCUUCUAAUGUUAGUUUUGUUUCCCUGUUAUUUUUCUUUUUCGUUUUCUUUUUUCUUUCCUUCUCUUUUUCCUCCCCUUAUUGCUGGUUUUUCUUUCUUUUGGAUCAAUAUUUUGUGCGUCGUUGUUCUGGCGUUUUUGAUGCAUUAUCGGUAGGUUGGUGAGUACGUUUCCUGUAUUGGUUAAUGAGUCUUGGUUUAAUGGAAUUCGUUUUAUGUUUAGGAGAGGUUUAAAGGCUGGAGGAUUUCAAUCGGCGUUUAGAUUGCUAAUAAGCAUUAUUGUUCGCUCUAAGGUAAGAGUUCUUGGUAAACUAAAGGCUUGUCUUUUACGAGAUAGUUCGGUUUAAUUUAGUUUUAAGAGAUUUAUUCGGGCUUUAAUUGGUCUGUUUUAGGUUAUGGUGAUCCUGAGAGUGCUUUUGCGUCGAAAACGUACCAGGUGUGUACCCGAAAACAUAAAACAUGGGACUCGAUGAAAGCUGAAAUUGCAAACUGUCAACACCACACGAGCGUGUUGUCGCCCGUGUCGUAGGCCAUGUGUGAUGACAUGGCGUGUAAUCGACGAAGGCCAGGCCGUGUGAAAGACACGGCCAUGUAAUGGCUAAGUAGGCCAUAUGCGACACACGGGCUUGAUUGAUUGGGCCGUGUGGGCCACACGGAUGUGUGGGCCCAUAUAGGUAAUCCACACGCACGUGUGGAAUUUGGGCCAGGUCGUGUGAUCCACACAGGCCAAGGCCAAUCUGAGGGUUUGGGCUACAUGAGCGUGUGGGCCCGCACGGGCAAACCAUAUGGGUGAGUGGGCGCAUUUAGCUAAAAUGUUUCCUAGGUUUGCACGGGUCGCCUAAGUCGACUGUGAACCUACUGCAGGGUCGGUAAGCUUUACUUAAACCCUAAAUCAUGUGAUCUGAAUAUACAAUGUAUGAAUUGAGCAUGUUAAACUUAUGCAUGUUUACUGAUCUGUAUGUAUUGCUGAUGAUUGAAUUUUACCAAAGCAUGUAUUUCGUAUGUUUGCAUUGAGCAUCUUUAGUUGCAUCUGCAUUGAGGUGGGACAAUUGAUUAUUGGAGGAAGUGUACUGAUAGGCUUUCAUGCAUAUUAUUUGGCAGCUCACCUACAAUAUUACUGAUAAGUGCCGCAUUCAGUACAACUUGGAUUGCAGGGCUGAGUGGGUGUUUUAAACCCCACAUGGUGUGUAGGGGUGGUUGGAGAUGGUGUGUAGAUGCUGGUGGGUAGGACAUUGAUUUCUAUUCUGUAUGCAUACUAUAUCUGGGAUGGGCUAAGGCCCUAAUUUAUAUCUGAAACUCUAUCUGAAUAGGCUAAGGCCUAAACUACAUCUGAAUCUGUAAUGGGAUUAGGACCAGAUUGCAUUUGACUGAUAACUGUUGUUUGACUGUAUCAUGUCAUCUGUGGGAUUACACACUGAGUUUACGUAAUCCCCAGACUUAGACAGAUCGGUGUGGCGGAGUACUCAACGUGACCAUAUGUCUAGUGAACGGUUUUAAUUUUAUUUAAGGUUUUUAAUUCCUAUUAUUUUUGGGUUUUUUUUAUGUAAUUUGGGACUUUUGGACUGUUUACCUUUGUUUUGGAUUUUGACUAUUUUCAGGAACUUUAGAACUGCAAUGAAAACUCAGUUUUGUUAAAUACAAUGUUUUUCCUAAAGGCGAACGAUUUUAAUAAAAUAUCACAGUUUUAAAAGCUUCCCCUACAGAAUAUGUUUUUAAACGAAUCAAAUUAACGAGACAAUAGUUUUGAAAUUGAGGAAAGAUAAAUAAAAGCUAAUAAACAGAAUCAGUUUUCACUUGAUAAAUUCGAUUUCAAAUUCCAUUUCAUGUGACAUCACCAGAUUCGGCCAUAACGUCUAGGCUGGGUUUGGGGUGUUACAUUUAAACCAACCAAUCCAAGCAUUAUAACCAAACAAAAUUUAACAUGUUACAUGGUAUAUCAUUAUAGGCAUACAUAUUAAUAAUUUUAUCUUUAUUAAGUAUAUUCAUUUAGCAUAACUCAAUCAAUUCAUAAUAUAUAUUCAUGAUAUUGCCAUAGGAUAACCUCACUAGAUAUACCAAAACAUAACCAUUACUAGCCAUUCCAAUGGCUAGAUUACAAACAACAUUUAUAAGUCAACAAUGACCAAGUUAACUAUACAUGCCAUUUGAUCAAAAUGAGGUUACUAUUUAUACCAAAACAAGCUAGUGGAUAGUGUGAUGAUACUCCAACCGAUCCCCAACCUUCGCGAGCUUCCGAGCACUGUAAAAUUGAGAAAAUAAAACCUAGUAAGCAUUUAUGCUUGGUAAGUUGUAUAACAGGAAUUAAACUUACCAAUCUCAUUUAUUAAAGUUAAACAUACAAUAACAUGUUUUUCAAUGAACUUGGCAAAUUUCCUACACACAUACACUCAAUCAAAUAAGUUAGUUAUAUAAGUCUCAUGCAUAUCAAAUAGCAUAGUUAAGUUCAUCAUAAAACAAUUAUUAGAUUACUCAGAAUCAUUCAAAAUAUAAAUUUGAUAUAUCUCAUCACUUUCUCUUGUCAGGAGCUUUAUCCAUUGAAUUAACGAAAUAUCGAUGAAUACUUGAAUAGUACGCUCAAGGUUCACAUAUCUAUAAAUCGUCAAUUCUUAUUCAGGGAGCAUACUCUCGAGCUACAUGUCAAGAUGCUCAAACGAGCCAUGUAAUCAUGUAACAAGACACUUAUCCGAGCUAAUCAGGAAACUCAUAAGAGUUUUUACUUAUGAAGCUCAUAAAGCCUUUCAAAUAUCUCCAAAGAGAUAAUAUCAUGGAGCUUCGAUAAGGUAACAGAGAGUUCUUACGAGCUUAACAGGAUGCUUGUAACAUCCUAACCCAUAUCCGUCGUCGGAAUAGGGUUAUAGAGCAUUACUGGCAAUUACAGAACAUUUUCAGAUAAUUCGAGUAAAUUACUGUUCAUAGCAAAAUUGUCCACUUGAGUCAUAGUCACUAAAUUAUUUAUAUCAUGAGCUACAGGAUUCUAAGUUAAGAUCCACUUGAUUUUUUCGAAACUGGACUCAAAUGUAUUUCUACCAUAAAAUUUUCAGAAUUUAUGGUUUAGCCAAUAAGUAUAGUAAAAUCUUCAAAUUUACCCCUGUUCUGCUAUUUGACAGCUUCGACCUUUCUUACUAAAAAUUAAUUAUCUCUUAGUACGGGUUUUGGAUGAUGCUUCCGUUUGCUUCUAUUGAAAAUAGACUCAUUAAUAAUUUAAGCAUAUAAAUUUGAACCCCUAAUUACUUUUUUUACAAUUUUCGAUGAUUUUCCAAAUUCAGAACUGGGGAAACCAAAAUCAUUCUGACCUUGUCUCACAAAAUUUAUUUUGUCUCAUAAUUUAUAACUCCAUUGCUUCCAUCGUUUCUUCUAUGAAAAACUAGACUUAAUAAAAUUUAAUUUCAUAUUUUCUUCAACCUCUUUCAAUUUCCAAAGUCUUUGGUAAAUUUUCAAAGUCAGACUAUGCUAACACAUACAUAAUCACUAUAUCAUAAUUUCAUAAAUAUACCAAACCAAUCAUCACUAGUCACUCCAAUGGCUAAGUUUCAAACCACAAUUUAUAAGACAAGAUUUAGUCAAAUUAGCCUAUACAUGCCAUUAUAACCAUAAUUGUUUUACCUUAUACACUGAAUGAAUUGUUGGAUAGUGUGAAUGAUCUCCGCAAAGCUUCCAAUCCAGCGAGCAUUCCGAUUUACUAUAAGAUAGGGAAAAAUAAAACGGAGUAAGCAUAUAAUGCUUAUUAAGUCCGUAUAUCUUAGUAAUAAAUUUACCAUCCAUUCAUCAUCAAAAUAAAUAUAAAAGGGGUAUAAUCAAACUAUUUAAUCUCACAAGCCCUAUCACACAUUCUCAUCACCCUUGUUAGUCACAUGUUUCAUAAAAAUUUCAAGAAACACAAAUAUGAAUUCAUCAAUAUUUGGCUUCUCAUACACACAUGUUUUUCCACAACAUGUAUUCACAUAACAUAUAUACAAAUUAUUUCCAUGUAUUUCAGAUAUAUUUUAUAUUAAUUCAUCUCGAGUUCCGAUAUAUUUCAUGUCAUGACUUUACUCAAUAAUCAGUUAGUCUAUUGAAAAUCACUCGGGUAGUACACUCAAGGUGUACUAAUCUAUUCUCAUAGAUGAAUGUAUUCAUUAAACCAUUCUGUGUUCAUAUAUAAACAUCUCACACUUCCAUAUUUCAUUUCAUGUAACAUAUUUUCAUAUUUCCACAUAUCAUGUCUCAAUCUAUAACCAUUUAUCUCUAUUUCAUAUUUGCUCAUAUUAGAACUUUGCUCAUUGAAUUUAUUUAAAUUAUUGAUGGAUUCUCAUGUAGUAAACUCAUAGUGUACAAAUCAUAAUCCGUCAAUUCAUAUCCAGUAGUACCUUUUAGGUACACUCUCGAGCCACAUAUUGUACAACAGAAUUACCAGUCUAGGCUAAAUUUUAUCUGUAACGCAUAUACUCUAAGGGCUUUGUCGGAUUACCAGUACAGGCUAAAUCCUUUAUAUGACAAAGAAUUCCCUAUAUAGUCCAUUCUGGAUUACAAUCCAUGCUAAAUCCAGUCAAUUAGGAUUACCAAUCCAGGCUAAAUCCUAAUUGAAACAUAUGCUCGAGAGACCCAUUUCGAAUUACCUGUCCGGGCUAAAUCCUUUCUAUAAUGAGAUCAAUGGAUUACUCAUUCGAGCUAAAUCCUUUCUGCAACACAUGCAGGACCUCACUUCAUAUAGGGAAAUCACCACUAUCCAUCGAUAAUCAUUAUUCAACCAGGACUUACCAUUUAUGGGAUAUUAUCAUUUAUUGGGCACUAUUGAACAUCCUUAAUUUCAUAAAAUAUAUAUAUGAUUUAUAUAUCAUCACAUAUAUAUACCAUCACAUUCAUACAAUUCAAUUUAAGCAUAUUAACAUACAUAGUUAAGUUACACGAACUUACCUCAAAAGUUGUUCGUGUACAUAUAAUCUAUUAAUUCAACAUUUUCUCUUUUCCUCUCUCUAACUCCAUAUUCGGACUACCCAGAUCUAUACAAGUAAAUUUAACAUCAAUUUAAUGCAAUUCAUACUCAAUUUAAUCCAAUUUACAUUUUAGGCAAAAUUACAAUUUUUCCCCUAAAUUUUAAUAAAUGACGAUUUCAUCCCUAGGCUCGGAAAAUGAAAUUCAUGAAAUUUAUUCCUUGUUCCAAGCCAAAUAUUUUCAUAUAUAACAAUAGCAGCCCUUGAAUUCCAUGAAAUUUUAGAAUUUUCCAUAAAUUCAACAACUUUAAAAUUUUAUCCCUAAAUCAUGAUUUCACUCAAAAUUCUUUAAUAAAGUACCUUUACAUAUCCGUUAACAUCUCAAUUUCAUCAUAAAAUAACUAAAAUCAUAUGAAAUUAUCAAUGGUAUCUUUCAAAACUUCCAACAAAAUCAAAAACUAAAGAAAUAACAAGUUGGACCUAAUUGUAAAAGUCCAAAAACGUAACAAUUUCAAAGCAAAAGCAAGAAUUGAACUUACUUGAAGCUAAAAUAUGAAAGACCAGCUCAAACCCUCUUCAAGAGCUAUUUUUGACAGAAAAUUGAUGAAGACAAUGUAUAGAAACUAUUAAAAUAACAUUUGGCCAUAUAAACUUUAUUUUAAUUCCAAUUUUGUCCCUAAUCACAUGAAUAUCUUUGAUUUUUUUUUUCACGUUAUGCCGCCUCAGCCAUUUAAGAUUGUCUGUUUGCCCUUUUAGUGCUUCUUUAUUUACAAUUAGGUAUUUAAUCACUUUAGUAAGUUUUGCACCUUUUUCAAUUUAGUCCUUUUUAAUUAAUUGACUACUGAAAUGUUAAAAUUUUCUGACGAAACUUUAAUACUACCAUAUUGACACUCCGUAAAUAUUUAUAAAAAUAUUUAUGGCUCGGUUUAUAACACCAAGGUCUCGAUAUCUCUUUUUCCCAGUUUAUAACACAAAUUUACUAAUUCAAAAAUCUUUUAAAAACCACAUUUAACUCAUAAAUAUUAAAUAAUAAAAUUUACGGGCUCAUUUGUCGGAUUUAGUGACCUCGAACCACAGUUUUUGACAUCACUAAAAUUUGGGCUAUUACAAUGCUCAUGAAGAGCUGGGUUUGUGUCUGCAUUAAAUGCAGGAUCACAAUCGGUCCCAUGUCAAGACGCUCACAAAGAGCUGCCGUAGUGCGCAACACAUGCUAAAUCGCUACCAGUCAGGAUGCUCGCAGGAAAAAUAUAAUAGGAUGCUCGAGAAGCUAUAUCGAGAUUACUAGUUCGAGCUAAAUUCCUUCUGCAACAUAUGUAGAAUAACAUUCAUAUACUGGAAAGCACAUGUAUGCAUCGAUUUUCAUUAUUCCAACGGAACUUAGCAUUUUAAACACAUUUCCAAUCAUGUGAUCAUUUCAUAUUUUCAUAACAUUCCAUAAAUCACAUAAACAUAUAUCAUAUUCAACAAUCAAUUUAACAUGUUAAUAUGCAUAAGUAAGUUACACGAACCUACCUCGAUAAUAAUUCGUACAUGAAAAUCUACUAAUCCGAAACUUUCUCUUUUCCUCGAUAUAGCUUUGAAUUUGUGUUAUCUGGAUCUAUAUAAAUGAAUUUAAUCAUCAAUUUCUCACAUUUCAUAUUCUAUUGAACUCAAUUUACAUCCUAAGCAAAAUAAUCAUUUUUCCCCUAAACAUUUCAUAAAUUCCAAUUUCGUCCCUAGGCUCGGAAAAUGAAAUUCAUACAAUUUACUCCUUAUUCCAAGCUGAACCAAAAUUGCAAUAUAAAAUUUAUGGCACAUGUAUUCUAUAAAAUUCAGAAUUUUUCUUCAAUUUACACAACUUUACAAUUUAGUCGCCAAAUCACAAUUUCAUCAAAAUUCACCUUCUCAAAAUUGUUAAUGUAUCAACAACCUUUCAUUUUCCAACAUAAAUUUCAAAUUUUUAGCAUAUUCAUUCAUGGAAAAAAUUCUAUACUUUGAUAACUUUUCAAAUUAAUCCCCUAAAUAGAUAAAUUAGACUAUCUCAAUUUAAAAAAUAUAAAAAUUAUUAAAAACGAGACAAUAAUACUUACCCAGUCAAGCUUGAUUAGUUUCCUUUCUCUCUCCUAAGAUUUCCAUGCAAAUUUUAGGGAAGAUGAUAUAAAAUAAGAUGAUAUUUCUAUUAUCAUCUUUUUAAUUAUUUUAGUUUCCAAUUUAGUCCUUAACCUUUUAUAAUUUUUCCAUGGAUGAAUCACCAAAAAUAUCUACUAACUUUUCUUUAAUGGUCUAAUUACCAUAUAAGGACCUCAUGUUUUGAAUUCCAUAGCUAUUUGAUCCUUCUAGCUUCUAGAAUCCAACUUUUUCAUUUUAUGUAAUUUGGUCCUUUCAAUUAAGCACAUAAUCGGUAAAAUUUACUUAUCAGACUUUUUUUAUGACAUUCCUAUCAAAAUACUAACCAUGCAAAAAUAUAAAAAUAAAUUUUCUUUUCGGCUCGGAUUUGUGGUCCCGAAACCUCUGUUCUGAUUUCACUAAAAAUGGGUUGUUACAACUCUCCCCCCUUAAUAAUUUUUGUUCUUAAAAAUCAUUCCAGUAAAGAGAUUUGGAUAUUUCUUUCUCAUGGUAUCCUCCGGUUCCCAGGUAGCUUCUUCUAUAUCAUGUCAUUGCCAAAGAACUUUUACUAAAACCACCUUUAUAUUUCUUAAUUUUUUUAUUUCACGGGUCAUGAUUUUAAUUGGUUCUUCACUAUAUGUCAUAACAGUCUGAAUCUCUACCUCUAAUUGAGAAAUAACAUGUGAAGGAUCCGAUUGAUACUGCCGUAACAUAACACAUGAAAAACAUUAUGAAUCUGAUCAAGUUGUGGUGGUAAGGCUAACUGAUAUGCAAGAGGUGCAAUUCUUUCUAUGAUUUCAUAUGACCCAAUAAACUGUGGACUCAAUUUUCCUUUACAGCCGAACAGGAGAACUUUCUUCCAAGGUGAUACUUUUAUGAAUACUUUGUCACCAACUAGAAAUUCUAUUUCUUUUCAUUUAAGAUCAGCAUCAGACUUUUGACGAUUAAAGGCUGGUUUUAAACUGUCCUAAGUUACUUUCACAUUUUCUUUAGUUUCACGGAAAAAUUCAAAUCCGUGUAUCUUUUUCUCACUAAGUUCUGUCUAAUACAACGGUGUUCUAGAUUACCGACCAUACAAAGCUUUGUACGGUGCCAUUUUGAUACUGGACUGAUAACUAUUACUGUAAACAAAUUCAACUAAAGGCAAAUAUUUUUCCAAGUUACCUUUAAAUUCGAAAAUACAACAUCGAAGCAUAUUCUCCAAAAUUUGCACCACACAUUCAGAUUGACCAUCUGUCUUGGGAUGGAAUGCCGUGCUGAAAUGUAACUGUGUACCUAGAGCUUCUUGCAAUUUGCUCCAGAAUCGAGAUGUAAAUCGAGGAUCUUUAUCUGAAAUAAUGGAGACAUGUACUCCAUGCAAUCUGACAAUUUUAGAGAUAUAUAAUUCAGCCAAUUUAACCAAGGAAAAAUCAAUACGUAUCAGAAUAAAAUGUGCAGACUUUGUCAACCGAUCGACAAUUACCCAAAUGACAUCUUUCUUGUUCAGAGACAGGGGUAAUCCCGAUCCAAAGUCCAUGGUAAUUCUUUUCCAAUUCCAUUCUAGUAUUGUAAUUAGCUGUAAUAAUCCCGAAGGAAAAUGAUGUUCAGCUUUUACUUGCUAACAUAUCAAACAUUUUGAUACAAACGUAGAAAUAUCCCAUUUUAUUCCCGGCCACCAGUACAUCUUUUUCAGAUCAUUGUACAUUUUAUUACUACCAAGAUGAAUAGACAUGUUAUCAUUAUGAGCUUCAUUCAAAAUCAUCUGUACUAGUUCUGAAUUAUUCGGUACACAUAUUCUGCCUCUUAACAACAAACAACCAUCAGUCCUAAUUUCAAAUUCUGAAUUAGAAGUCGAUUCACACUGAAUCCGCUUUGCUUGUAACGUACUAUCAUCUGAGCUUCAGAAAUCUACUGCAAAAACGUCCGUCUAGCUUUUAACUCAACUAUGAUUAAAUCAUCAUCAGAUAACAUCAAUCCAGUAUUCAUUGCUUGCAAAGAAAACAUGGAUUUUUUACACAGAGCAUCUGCUACCACAUUGGCUUUUCUCGGAUGGUAGUCAAUAACCAAAUCAUAAUCUUUCAAUAAGUCAAGCCACAUGCACUGUCUUAAAUUCAAAUCUUUCUUUGACAUCAAAUACUUCAAUCUUUUAUGAUCAGAGAAUAUGUGACAUUUUUCACUAAACAGAUAAUGUCGCUAUAUUGUUAACGCAAACACAAUUGCUUCGAAUUCAUGAUCAUGUAUCGGGUAAAUUUUUUCAUGUGGUUUUAGCUGUCUUGAAGCAUAGACUAUUACUUUACCUUCUUGCAUCAAAACACAGCCUAAACCAUUUAAUGAUGCAUCACUAUAAAUUACAAAUAUCUUACCUGAUUCAGGUUGAACUAACAUAGGUGCUUCUGUUAAUAAAGCUUUUAGCCUAUCGAAACAUUGCUGACAUUUAUCAAACCACUCAAAUUUCACAUCUUUUUGCAACAAAUAAGUCAUUAGAGAGGAUAUUAAUAAAAACCCUUUUACAAAUCUCCGAUAAUAUCCAGCAAGUCCCAGAAAACUUUUAACAACAAAUACGUUCUUUGGUUGUUUCCAAUUAACAAUAGCUGAAAUUUCACGUGGAUAUACUCGAAUAACUUAUGCAGAUACAAUAUGCCCAAGAAAACCAACUUCCCGUGGCCAAUAUUCACAUUUACUAAAUUUGGCAUACAAUUGCUUUUCACACAAAGUUUGCAACACAAUUUUCAAAUGAUCUGCAUGUUCAUUUUCAUCUCGAGAGUAAACCAAAAUAUCAUUAAUAAAUACCACCACAAACUUACCGGUGCAUUUGUCAAACCAAAUGGCAUCACAAGAAACUCAUAAUGUCCAUACCUAGUUCUAAAAGCUGCCUUUCUCACAUCUGAGUCUUUUACUCGUAGCUGAUAAUAGCCAGAAUGAAGAUCAAUCUUUGAAAAUACAGUAGCACCUUUCAAUUGGUCAAAUAGAUCAUCAAUUCGAGGUAAUAGGUACUUGUUCAUUAUUGUAUCUUUUUUGAACUGUCUGUAAUCAAUGCACAGCCUUAAAGAUCCAUCUUAAUACUUUACAUACAGAAUUGGUGCACUCCAAGGUGAGAAACUGGGUCGAGCAAAGCCUCUAUCAAUUAGUUCUUGCAACUAUGCUUUCAACUAUUUUAGUUUGGUAGGAGCCAUUCUGUAAGGUGCUAUAGAUAUGGGUGUUGUCCCCGGUACAAGAUCUACAGAGAACUCCACUUCUCUAACCGGCAGUAAACCAGGUAAUUCCUCCGGAAAUACAUCAGGAAAUUCAUAAACAACCGACACUGACUAAAUCUUCGACUUAGAUACUUUAGUGUCCAACACAUAUGCAAGAGAAGCUUCAUAAUCCUUUCUGAUAUAUUUUUAUGUUGAUAUUGCUGAAAUCACAUUAGAUAACCCAUCUAAUUUAUCAGAUUCAACAUGGAGUAACUCACCGCUUUGACAUUUCAAUACAAUAUAUUUCUGUUUACAAUUCACCACCGCAUCAUAUUGGGUUAACCGGUCUAUUCCCAAAAUCACAUCAAAUUCAUCAAAUGACAAUAACAUCAAAUCAGUCGAAAAGCAAUAACCCUUUACCAUCAACAGAUAGUUUUACAAAGUUUAUCCACCAUAACAUCUGGCCCAAGGGUUUUGAAACUUUAACCACAAAUUUAGUGAAUUCAGCAGGUAAAUUUUUAACAGACACUAAAUUUGUGCACAUGUUUGAAUGUGUGGAACCAGGAUCAAUCAAAGUAGUAAUAUCAGUAUCAAGUAGAAAAAAUGUACCAGUAAUGACGUUUGGUACAGAGGCAUCUUCUCUAGCACGAACAACAUAUAUCCUUGCCGGUGCUCAUGCCUCAGAUUUAACUAUUGUAUCCCUUGUAGUACCUCGGCUACCACUGACAUUGUCGGGAUGAAGGGGUGGUGUGCCUCUUGGAGUGGUAUUACUUAGUUUUGAAGUCUGUUCAAUAUCUCUUUCAACCCUUUCUGAGCAAUCUUUAAGAAAAUGAAAAAGAGAACCACAUUUAUAACAUGCAUCACUUCUUAAUCGGCAUUCCCCAAAAUGAAAUUUGUUACAAAAUUUACAUUUUAAUUUAGGAUUACCGACACUAACAACACUGGUUACAGAUGGAGACAAAGAUCUCGGUUGCAGCGUUGAGAGCCUCGCUCUCUUCCAGAAUAUCCUGUUGAUAUUGUAAAAUAAUUCAUCUAAAACCCAGAUGGUAUUUUCCAACCAAAACUCAUACCUUUUUCAAUAAUGAUCUGAAGUAGCUCUGACUUUCUCUGCCCCAUACUUUUUUUAUCUACCGAAGGCUUACCGGUUCUAACAGAUUCAGCCCCUUGUGGCAUCUCAAGAACUGGUUCAGGAGCAAGUAGGGGAGGUUGUUUUACAGUGGGAUUUGUUCUUAUAUAUUGAGUGAACCAUUCAUUCAUCAUUUGAAAGAAGGUUUGUUUUGCCUCCUCACUUCGGCCUUCAGAUACAAGCAUUCACUACUAGAUGCAACUAUUUGAACUGAAGCUGAAGCAUUGCUCUCAGCUUCCUCGGAUUUAGCUCUAGCUUGGUUAGAUGACAUUACUAUAUGAAAAACACAUUAAAAAUGGUUUAGUCAAUCUGAGAAUCAACUAAACUGUGGCUCGGAUUCAGCUCUAGCUUGGUGAGCAUAGGAGAGUGAAAGGAACAAGAAAUGGGCCAAAAAUAGAGAAAAUGGGCCAACGUACUAAAUCAACAUAGCUUGGACCUCCUCACACAGUUAGACCACACGGCCGUGUCAAUUUGGCAGAAUCGAAGCACGACUCACACGGGUGGACCACACGGCCAUGCCUAUUUAACAGGCUUGACCACGGUCUUAAGCAAUCGCACAUGGGCAUGUCCCUGCGGAGCCCAAGUUUAGUCCAAUUCGGAAAAGGACAAUUUUGAGGGUUCUUAGGCAUUCUAAAGCUUAUAAAUACACCCUAGAGGAGGAGAAAAAGAGGACACACAGAGAAGAAAGUAGGGAACUGCUCAAGGAAUGCCGAUUGAUCCAUCUCAGAAGCCGGAUUCAUCAUCAAGACUGAAGAUCUCCCCUCAAUUUCCCUUCAGGAGUUUUGGGUUUUUCUUUAUGUUUUGCAUUCAUUAUUCUUCUAAAAUGUUUACCUUUUUAGUUAUGAACUGAAACCCCUAAAUACCUAAGGGGAAUGUGAUGGGCGUCGAAUCCACCAUAUAUAAUUCCUACUAAAUACUCUGAAUAGUAGUAAGAGUGGUAGUAGGGUCGAGUCCACAGGGAUUGGUACUCUAAUCAACUUUCGAGUUUGGCUUAUGAAUAGAAUGUCGUGUCAAGGGUCGUGGCUAGAGUCGUGCACACGACUCAAAACGUACCAGUUGAAAAAUAAGCAAAUAAAUAAGUAAAGCGGGGAUUUUGAAAUUGAUUAGAAAUUAAAUAAUCAAAACUGCUAAGAUAAUUAAUUAAAUAAAUAAGAAAUUAAAUUGGGAUUUGCAAUCAAAUGUAAUGAGCCUUAGCCUUAGACUCGAUAAAUUUCGUGUUGAGAAUCGAUCCUCGAAAAUUGAUUUUCUCCUUCAAAUGAUAAGCUAGUUAUAGUGGUUAAGAACGUCCUAACCACCAAUUCUUCCUCUCGUAGCUAGUUCCGGUAUGACUUGCAAACCAACCCUUACCGAUUACCUAACUGAGAUACACGUGUUCCAGAUUCAAGAUUCCGGUAGCCUUGCGUUCUGAAGAACCCAACUCAAAUUAACGGCUUCAACCGCAUGGGUAGUUUAAACCCGAUCACCUCUUCCUCAAUUUGUUCUCAGAGAUCCAAAUACAGCAGGGCCGAUUCGUUUCUCCAACUGUCAGAAAACACGACUCCAACCCAACGAGCUCUUUUUGACUUGAAAUCGAAUUAUCCUUAAAGGAUGAAUUGUCAAUCCCGAUACUUAGGAAAAAAGGUGAAUACCGAUUGGAAGAAUUUUAGGCGCGAGUACGAAUCUCACAAUUUUCGACCGGAAAGAACACCGGUCUAAAGCUAAGAUGGAAUUUAGUGGAACAUGAAUUUAUUCAUGUUUGAAAGUUGUGGAAAAUGAUGGAUUUAUAUGAAAGGUGAUGAAAAUUAAAAAGGAAAAGUACUUGGAAGGUAAUUAGCCCGAUUUGACAAAAGAAACAAAACCAAAUGAAAAAGUGGCAGAAUGCUAAACUUCAAUUUGAAAAGGGAAAAUGAGAGUAUUUCUAUUCCAAAUAGAAGUAGGAAUACAAAGACAAGAGAUGAGUUUCUAAGAACUAAAAGCCCCUAUUUAUAUACAUAGGGUUUACUAAAAUUAGGCUAAAGCUAAAUUAAUAAAAUAAUAAUAAUAAAUAAUAAAUAAUAAAUAAUAAAUAAUAAAAUAAAAUAAAAUAGUAUCUUCUAUUUUUAUCUUUUUACAAAGUCAAAAUUGAUGUUAAAUCCUUGGCUUUCCCAUCUUUAUGAUUUGUCCCCAACUCAACGAUCUGUCUUUCAAUUUGACCCUUUUUUGCUCGUUUUUGACCAAUUGCAUCCCUGACAAGAUUAAGCCAUAAAAACACCAAUUAAGCAUGGAUUAAUUCAGAAAUAAGCCAAAUUAAACACAAGAAUCAUGUAAAUUUACAUGUUUAUCAACUCCCCCUACUUAGCUCAUGCUUGCCCUCAAGCAUGUUUGUUUUUUCAAGCAUUAAAUUUGUUCUACAAUUUAUUAAAAAUCAAGCCUCUUUUCACAUACAUAAUCAAUGCAAACAACGGCAGACAAAAAUAAAUAAACGCUCAAGAUAUAAAGUUUGAUCAACAAAUGUCAUAAAAUUGAAACAUGUGGACUAAAUAAUUUCACUAAAUUGAGUUUGAAUCCAAUAAAAUGCAAGGCAAUAUUUAAUUAACUAUGCAUUAGAAAAAAUUAUUGACGUGGUCAAACCUUUUUACGUGAAGUAGGAUGACAACCCAAGCACCCUAUCCUAGUUAGUCAGUUUAAACCUUCUUAAAUUUUAUUUAUUUAUUUAUUAUAUAUGUUUUUUUAUAUAUAAUAAAGCUCAGUUAGCGGAAUGUUUAUAAGUUAUCGACUUGUCAUUCGAAUCUUUUUACACGAGAUAAGAUGACAACCCAAGCACCUUACCCCGGUUACUCAAUCCGGUCACGUUUUCGAAACUUCACUCAUAACUUGAACCUUUAUUUAUUCACUUAUUUAUUAAUGCACAAGCAAAUAUCAUUUUCCAAAAAAUCAAUUUAUACGAAAAAAAUCAAGCUACAUAUAUCAAUUUUAAGACACAAAUGUUGACUGACUGAUAUACUUGAACAUUUUAAUUCAAAUUUUGCCCAAUUGUCCAAAUUAACUAAGUAUGGGAUUAAAGGCUCAAUGUUAAAUAAACUGUUGAAUGAACUUAAUGUAAGAUUGAACACAUGUAAAAAAGAGACAUGCGGCAAAAAACAUGCAUAUUUACCAUCCAUUACUAUCCAUCCAUCCCCCCUACUUAAGCUAUGCUUGUCCUCAAGCAUAUAUUAUAUGAAAUAAAAGUUAGCAGCCUAAAAUAAAAAGAAAAAGUGAAGAAUACUCCCCAUAUAUGUUAAUGACGUGGUUGGUGUUGGGAGUAACGAUUCUGCAAGAUGUCGAGGAUUGUGGAGACUUGGGUUUCCAUUGUUCCAAGUCGAGCCUCGAUUCGGCUUAAACGGGCCUCUACAGUCAGAGGUUGUUCCUCUUGUUCUCGAGUAGCAAAAUAUGGGCGUUGGCGAAAAACCAUACUCCUACGAGCAGUCCGUGUACUUGGAGGAACAAAAUAACACGCAGUAGGGGUGCCGGCAAGCAAACCCAUUGUAACACCCCGAAUUUGGGCCUAGAAGUAUUGGGCCUUGAUGGGGGUCCAUAAGGAGGUUGUAUAUAGGUAUUUAAUUGUGCAAUAAAAUGAAACAAUUAAAUGUUUGCUUUAGUGAUUAAUGGCUUUAAUAAGUGUUGGAGAAAUCUUGGGUUUAAACUUGGGCUUUAGCAAAAAUUUUGGUAUUAAGUGAAAAAAAACUUGGAUGCUUGGAUGAGGGCCUUUUAAAUUAUUGUGGUAAAUAAAUGACACAAGAAAGCAUGUAGUCUAGUGGUUGUGGCGUCAUUAAGGUUGUAUAGGAGCCUGGGUUCAAGCCUUGGCUCUUGCAAUUUAUUUUGGUUUUUUUUAGGGAACCUGGACUUUGGCCUUUAGACCUUAUAAUUAAUUGGGGAUAAAAUAUGACACAAAAAGCCUUGUGGCUUAGUGGCAAGUAGUGUGUGGAGCAUCUGAGGGGAGGCAUGGGUUUGAAUUCUAUGGCAAGCAAGGAGCAUUUAUUUUGCUAACAGGGGGCGGCAAGAGUUGGUGUUGAAUUUAAAUUCUGAUGUUGGAGGGAUCCCACAUCGGGAAGCUAACAUAAAAGUGGUUGCGAAGCUGGCUUUAAAUAGAGGGAACCAUGAGGAGAGUAAAGGUACCUUUUCUUGGCUGAUCCCUUUCGCUGUAUGGCGUGCUUGUUUGGGUUAGGCGUUGGCUAAGAGUGCUCGGAGCGUGGAUUAACUCUAGUUUACUAUCAGGUGUGUAUUUCUCACUACUCUAGCUAUAGGAUGGCUACUUCGGGCCGCGAUGGGCCGAAAGGGGUCAUGUGGGCCCAAUGGGCCUACGGGCCCAAUUGGAUAAGUUGUUUGAUUGUGUAGUAAAUAUUGGACUAGGCUAGGUGAAUCUCAUAUUUGUGGCUAGAUUUGGGAUAAAAGGGCCACACGAGUGUGUGGGCCCAUUUUGGCCGAGAAUGGGCUUUAGGGCCAUUUCUAUUGUUAUCCCUAUUUAGAAUACUUUAGUUUACCAAUUAUUGAAAUGCCCUCGACUUGUAAAAUUACCAAAGUACCCUCAAUUUAUAGAAUUAUCGUUUUACUCUCGAUUUAAAAAAUUACCAUUUUACCCUCAGUUUACAAAAUUACCGUUUUACCCUCGAUUGUGAAAUUACUGAAAUACCCCUGUAGGAUAGAAUUACAAAAAUACCCCUAGUUUGUAAAAUUACCAAAAUACCCUUAGUUUGUAAAAUUACCAAAAUACCCCUAGUUUGUAAAAUUACCAAAAUACCACUGGUUUGUGAAAUUAUCGAAAUACCCUCAAUUUGUAAAAUUACCAAAAUACCCCUAAUUUACAAAAUUAUAGAAAUACUGUUGACUUUCUAAAAAUUAUAGAAAUACCAUUGGUUUACAAAAUUACUAAAAUACCCUUGGUUUGUAGAUUUACCAAAACACCCUUGUAGGAUGAAAUGACUAAAAUACCCCUAAUAGGUAAAAGACCGUAAAGCCCCUGUAGGGUAAAGUAACCGUAAUACCCCUGUAUGGUAAAAUGACGAAUAUGCCGUUAUGUUCCGUAUGACUGAUGUGCUUAGGAUUUACAUAUAUUGAUAUUGGAUUGGUUAAGUUUGAGUUAUAGGUGGUGGUUAUCGUAGGUGAUUGAUUUUGGAAACAUUUCAACUUCAACCCAUAACAUAACAUUCAUAGGGCCCAUUAGGGGUUUUGGGCCCAAAAGCCCGAGUUUGAUAAAGUGGGUUAAAGAUCAUUGUUUAAACACUCGAAAAUAUUGAUAAUUGUUGAUGAACAUGGAAAACCCUGAUAUUUGGUAAAAUUAUGAAAUUACCCUUAUAGUAUGAAAAUGAUUGUUUUGCCUCUAGGUAAAAAUGACCAUUAUACCCCUAGGGUUUAAUUAUAAAUUUGAUACAUGGGAUAUGAUAUACAUGAUUGAUAUGAUAUGCACAUGAUAUGUACAAAAUGCAGAUGAUAUGUAUGAAAUGCAUAUGAUAUGUAUGAAAUGCAUAUGAUAUAUAUGAAAUGCACAUACUGUAUUCAUAAAUGCAUUGGGUUGGGUUUUUAUAUGGAUGGAGGAAGUGCAAAAGGGCUUAUGCCCCAGUUUAUUGAAAAGGGCUUAUGCCUCAGUUUACCGAAAAGGGCUUAUGCCCCAGUUUAUUGAAAAGGGCUUUGCCCCAGUUAUUAAAAGAGGCUAGGCUUCCAAAUAUAUGAUAAAGCAGCUAUGCUACCAGUGGUGUGUUGGUUGGGUGGGUUGAAUCAUUCCCCAUAUGGUGUGUUGGUUGGUACGGGUGGAGAGUUGCGGAUGGUGGGUCGAGUAGUCUCCCCAAAUGGGCUUGCAUAGAUCCAUUGGUAUUUCAUAUGAUAUUGAAAUGGGCUUGCAUACAUCCGUUGACAUUACAAGUGAUAUUGAAAUGGGCCUAUGGGCCAUACCGUUUACAGGAAAGGCUUCGGCCCAGUGAAAUGAUUUAUGAAAAGGCUUCGGCCCAGUGAUAUGAUUUAUGAAAAGGCUUCGGCCCAGUAUAUGUCAAGACUAAAUAGGGCUUUGGCCUAGAUUGUACUGAUACUGUGUUUUCACUAUUUUUAUGUUAUUGGGAUUACACAUUGAGUUUUCGUAAACUCACCCCAUUUCUAACUGUGCAGGUAAUCCCUAAGCUUAGAUGGUUUGGAGCUGCGAGGGACUCGGAGAUGGCCACACUACUGUUUCUGUUUCUUUUAAUUGCAAUAAGUAGCCGAAUUAUUUCUUUAUAAGUUUUAUCUUAUUAAUAUUAUUAUUUGGUUUUGGGUUGUAAUAAGGCCAUUUUAAUUAUUUUUUUGGGAUUAUUUUAUUUUAUACCCUAUAUUUUACUGAUAACAAUCCAAAAUGGGUUAGACUUAGGCCGCGUUUUCAAAAUGAUAAUUGUUUUCAAAAUAACGCAACGAUACAAUUAAUCAGUUUAUCAAAAAUAUCUAUUUAAAUGAAUUCUAACUCAUUUUUCUCAAAACCUAACCUCGCACCAAAGUGUGGCAAUGGUUGUGGGCAUGUCUAGGAUUGGAUCCAUUCGAAGAGCUUGGUACUUAAGCAGCCUUCAUGGCUCACCUCUUCUGUUUUUGGAUACCUACCUGGUGCGCAGCUUCCAUUCACUUGGUUAAGCCUUAUCAAACGACGGUUUUUUUUAAAACACUAAAACGAAGCGUGGAUUUUUUUAACUUCAAUGUGGCACGUCGGAUUCAGCCAUAACGUCUGGGCCGGGUUUGGGGUGUUACACCCAUAGAGUCCAAAUAAUAUUUAUCUAGGCUGUCCAUAUGAUACGCACAUGUCAAGGACGAGAAAUCAAUUUUAGAGGGAAAAAGUUUAGAGGUUAAGUUCGUAAUAUACGAUCCAAGUAUUAGAGGACGAUUACAAUGCAAAACAACAUGAAAAUUUCGUGCAAACCAAUAUCCUAAAUUAACUUUAUAGCCGAAAUGCAUACACCACAAGAAAAAUAAUUCAGUUCUCGUUAAAAUAGCGGAUGAAUCGUUUCGUCGCGAAAAACUAAAUGCCAAAAAUCGGUGAAUAUAUCUUAAAGCAGGUUCAUGCACUAAUAAGUCUUUUGUGGUUUUCGGAUUAUAAAGUUAAUUAGAAUUGGUUAAAACACGAUAGGCAUCUUGAGCAUUAAAGUCGCUCGGAAAGUCUAACAGAGUAGUAUGAUAGGAAUCGAAUUGAAUAUUGUCAGGGUCAAUGAAACCCAUGGAAAUGUUAAAAUCAAAUAUCGACAUUCGAAAGUCCUUUCCAAGUAGACGAAAACAGAUAAUGUUUUGUGUUUCAACUAUUUGUAAUGCAUUAAUAUUGAAGCUAAAUGUGGUGUAAAACUUAUAUAUUAACUCAUAAAAUGCAUAGCAAGAAAUAUUGGCAAAUGAGCUCCAACCAAUAGCAUCAAAAUAAUUAAUCACAGCAUCAUGAAUAUCUAACAUAUCAAGAGUGGUGAAAUCGAUUUGCUUACAAACCGGGAUUGGACGUUGUCGAAUAUCAUCAUAUCGUGUGCGAUGCUCUGGGGUUGAAAAAUCUAAAAACCCUCGCAAUCGUCCUUCGGUGGGAAUUGUGUUACCACGACCUCGUCUAUUACGCUGACUGUUUCGUGUUGGUCGAACUUAUACGUCGGGCGAGGGGGAAGGAUUUGAAUUUUUAGCAGCAUCAGUACUGCUACUCGGUGGUGUUGAUGGCUCACGUCUUGACUGUCGACGACUUCAAGUAGUCCGUGUUUGGAAUUGACUGACACGUUCAUUCAUGGUCGAAAGAGCGUCGACAUGUUCGUUAAAGGUUUGAGUCUCGUCUACAUGAUAUGUUAGUAAAGGAAAAGGAGGUUGAAGUUCAGUAAUCGACCUUUUGGGAGGAACAGGGUUAUUGUCCAAGUGUUCUGUAUCAACAGGAGUUGGGCUUCAUCGAUGACGAGUUCUCGUGGGUGGGGCCGUUCAUCUAGGAGGAGGUGGAGAAGGUUCAUCGUCGGCUAUAUCGACGAUAGGAGGCACGGAGAAUCAGUGCCGACUUCGAUUGAGUGAUACCAGAAAGUUAUCGGGCCGUUUGGUUUUGAGUUCGAGCCAUUGUGUCUAUAUAGAUGACAAAUAAUCGGCUCUGUCUACUAAGGCAUUGUGGUGGACGACAACGAUAGGCGGCAGCGACAGCAGCGGCGACAACGACAACAGUAUCAACGGCGGCAAUGGUAGGUGGUGCUAUUUCAGUCAAUUUUUUUAAUGGUGAUGGUGGGGGCAUCGGUGUUGGUGUCAAUUAAGGUGGUGGGUGGCGGUUUUGGUGUUUCAAAGAAAAAGAAGAAAAAGAAAGAAAAAAAUAGGGGUCGGGGGAAGAGGAGCGACGGCGCACGGUGGAAGGCUCCAUUCAGCGACGAUGGUGCAUCACAGGUUGGAAGUUGCUGUUCGGUGGUAGUUAGGUGGUAGAGAGGUGUUGGUCGACGUGGAGGAAAGGAAAAGAAGAAAAAGAAAAGAAAAUGGAGGGGUUUGGGUUCGGGUUCGUCAGCGUGAGGUAGGGUGGCGAGGUGCAAUGUCGGCUACGGGGUGCGACGACGGUACUUAGAAAGUGGUAGACGGCCGUCGAAGGGAGUGGCGGCGAUGGACGGCGGUUUGGGGAGUGUUUGGAGGUUGGGUUUUUUUUAUGGAGAAGAAAUUGGGAAAUUAAGGAUUUUGGGUGUUUAAAUUUUUAUUUUUGUUAUUAUUAUGUAUUUGGGUUAUUUUAGGUUGGGUGAGGUAUUUGGGUUAGGUGUUGGUUAUUGGGCCAACCUUGGGUAUUGGGUUUAUGUGCGUAUUGGGUGUGGUUGGUUUGUUUGGGUAGGUGAUUUAAUUGGGUUAGGUUGAUUGAUCGCGUGAUUCGUAACAAGUAAAAAAUAUUUAUAAUGAAGAUCAAACCUAGUCUAACUAAUAUCACGACGAAAAGGCAAGCGCACCUAUCAAACAAUAGUAUAGUAAUGGCAAGACCGGGAUAUCGUACCCAAGGGAACCAAAAGUACUAGUAAAAACUAUCUUUUUAUUAUUUAACCUAAGAAUAGAGAGGUUUUUUUUAAUUAACUAAUUAUCUAAACUAUGAACUCACAGAGAAAAGAAUCGGGGAAUUGCUUUUGGGAAAAUCGAUUGAAUGAAGACAAUACCUAAGGAAAAAUCCACCUAGACUUUACUUGUUAUUCUGGCUCUGAAUCGGAUGAUUUAUUCAUUCAACUUGUUCCAUAGAGAUCCCUAAGUUAUGUUAUUAUCCUUAUUCAAGACUAAUAACGUCUAAUCCCUAGAUUGAAUAACCGAGAUUUUUUUCUAAUUAACACUCUAAGAUUACAUUAACUCGAUCUAUGGAUCCCCUUAUUAGGUUUCAUCCUAAUCCAGUAAAAUCUUGUCACCCUAUUUCUAGGCGCGCAAUUAACUCCGUUUAAUCAUGACAAAUGUACUCUAAGACAGGGUCUAUUCCUCCUCUGAAUAAGAGCGUGUCUUGAAUCAGUAUCCUGGAAUAUCAAAACAAGAAUUAAGAACAUAUAAUUAAGAACAAGUUAAAUAUUUAUCAUACGAUUCAGAAAAUAAUAAGAAGAUUCAUCUUAGGUUUCAUCCCCCUUAGGUAUUUAGGGGUUUAGUUCAUAACUAAAUAAGAAAACAUCUCAGAAGAAUAAAGAAUACAAAACAUAAAGAAAACCCAAAACUCCUGAAGGGAAAUUGAGGAGAGAUCUUCAGUCUUGGUGAUGAAUCGACCUUCCGAGAUGGAUCAAUUGGCUUCCUUGGGGUAAUUCCUUACCCUCAUUCUCCGUCUCCCUUUUCUUCCUCCUCUAGGGUGUAUUUAUAGGCUUUGGAAUGCCAAGAAGCCCUCAAAAUUAGCCUUUUCUAAAUUGGACUCAUCUUGGGUUCAACAGGGACACGCUCAUGGCACACGCCCGUGUUCAAUUAUUUUAGGUCGUGCUCGAGCCUGCCAAAUUGACACGGCCGUGUGGUCUGCCCGUGUGAGGAGGUCCAGGCCGUGUUGAUUAAGUACUUUGGCCCAUUUUCUCUAUUUUUGGCCCGUUUCUCGUUCCUUUCGCCCUCCUAUGCUCUCCUAAGUAUAAAAUAUGAAAUUAGAGCAUUAGGAGCAUCGAAUUCACCAAUUCUAAUGAGAAAUCAUCUCUAAAAUGUAUUAAACAUGGGGUAAAAAUAUGUAUAAUUUAUGGUUUAUCAUUUAUGGAUGUGGGUAUUGGUGGGUGAUUGGGUAGUUUGGUAUUCGGGUUUGGGUUAAGUGGGUUAAGUGAGGUGGAUAUUUAUUGGAUUUUUGGAUUUUUGGAUUUCUGUAUUUUGGUAUGUGGGUAAAUGGGUUUGGGUAGGAAUUUAGUUGAUUUUGGCUUUUUUUCUUCAAUCACCAAAUUAGCAAGUCGUGCCCAUGCCACCAUCAUCGUUCGUCAUCUUGAAAAUUCAUGACCUCUAUAGUGUUCCUGAAAAUAUCAAUUUGAAUUAAAUAAAAAUUUAUUUAUUUACACCCUAAAUUCUACUUAAACUAAAAAAAAUUAGAAUAAAUAAAGAUAAAUUUGGGUUGCCCCCCAAAAAGCGCUUUUUUUAACGUCGUUAGCUCGACGACCUGUGAUAUUAUUCAGCUGGCUCUUCGAGGACUAAUUCCUCAACCAAGUGGACUUGAAAGUUUUCGUAAAAAUGCUUUAAGUGCUGCCUGUUGACUUUGAAAAUUUUUUCAGAUUCUUCACUUUUAACCUCGACUGCACCAUGUGGAAAUACGUAACAAUAAAAGGCCCUAACCACUUAGUCCAAAGCUUACCUGUAAAAAUUCUUAAUGUAGGGUCAUAAAGUAAUACUUUCUGUCCUACCAUAAAUUGUUUGCAGUUUAUCUUUUGGCCAUGGUACGCUUUGACCUUAUCUUUGUAUAUUUGGGCACUCUCAUACGCUUCUCGUCAAAUUUCCUCAAGUUCCUGGAUAUUUAAUUUACGAUGCUUACCUGCAACUUCCAAUUCCAUGUUGUAUAGUUUGACCGCCCAAAACGCCUUAUGUUCUAGCUCAACAGAGAGAUGGCACGGUUUACCAAAAAUUAGUCGAUAAGGAGAUAUACCUAUAGGUCCUUUAUAAGCUGUUCGGUAUGCCCACAAUGCAUCGUUAAGUCGUAAACUCCAGUCUUUCUAAUCCGGCUUAACGGUCUUCUCCAAAAUCAACUUGAUUUCCCGAUUUGACACAUCCGUUUGACUGUUCGAUUGUGGGUGAUAAGCUGUAGCAACUCGAUGCACUACUCCGUACUUUUUCAAGAGCGUAUCAAUCACUUUAUUGCAAAAAUGCGUCCCUCGAUCGCUGAUCAAAGCUCGCGGUGUGCCAAACCUGGAAAAAAUACAACUUUUUAGAAAAUCGACUACUGUUUUGGCAUCAGCACAACGAGUGGCUUUCGCUUCUAACAAUUUUGACACAUAGUCAACAGCAAGUAAAAUAUAAACAUUAUCGAACGAUGAGACAAAAGGGCCCAUAAAAUCAAUGCCCCAUAUAUUGAAAAUUUUACAAGCAUGUACAGGGUUUAGAGGCAUUUCAUUUUUUCAGCUCAAGUUUCCUACCUUUUGACACUUUUCGCAGGUUUUACAAAAUAGAAUGCGUCACGAAAAAUAUUUUUCCAAUAUAGUCCAUAUUCAAGUACUUUAUUCGCAAUUUGUUUGGGGCCAGAAUGUCCACCACAUGCAUAAGAAUGACAAAAGGAUAGAAUUGAUUUUACCUCAGUUUCAGGAAUGCAUCGGCAAAUUACCUGGUCAGAAUAGUACUUCUAAAGAUAUGGGUCGACCCAAAUAUAGUAUUGAGACUCACGUUUGAUCCUGUCUUUUUCAGAUUGCGAUAGGUUAGGAGAGACUAUACCUGUAGCAAGGUAGUUCACUAUGUCCACAUACCAUGGAAAAAUCGUCUGGGCAGCAAGCAAGUUUUCAUCCGGAAAAUCAUCUUUAAGUGAUGUUACAUCUUUUGAUGGAGGAAUUCGACUCAGAUGGUCAACGAUCAGAUUUUCACGUCCUUUUAUAUCUUUCAUUUCGAGAUCGAAUUCUUGCAGAAUUAGUAUCCACCUUAUAAGUCUCAGUUUUGCUUCCUUCUUCCGGAUCAAAUAUUUGAGGGCUGCAUAAUAAGAAAAAACGACAAUCUUAGUUCCUAAUAAAUAUGAACGAAAUUUUUCUAAGUCAAAGACUAUAGCUAGAAACUCUUUUUCAGUGGUUGAAUAAUUGAUUUGGGUAGCGUCCAAAGUUUUAGAGGCAUAGGAGAUGACGUGUGGUUCUUUCUCGAUCCUUUGUCCAAGGACUGCUCCCACGCUAUGGUCACUAGCAUCAUACAUUAUCUUGAAAGGAUAACUCCAAUACAGUGGUUGAACAAUAGGUGCCGAAACGAGCUUAUGUUUGAGCGUGUCAAACGCUUCUCUGCAUGACUGGUCAAACUCGAAUUCCUUGUCCUUCUGUAAUAGGUUGCAAAGGGGUUGCGCAAUUUUCGAAAAGUCCUUAAUGAACUGCCUGUAGAAACAUGCACGUCCAAGGAAAGGUUGAAUCUACCUCACAGUAGUGGGGUAUUGUAGUGAGUUAAUAAUGUCGAUUUUUUGCUUUAUCGACAGAAAUUCCCUCUGCAGAAAUAAUAUGACCUAGAACUAAUCCCUUGUCUACCAUAAAAUGGCAUUUCUCAUAAUUUAAAACAAGAUUAAAUUCUAAGCAUCUUUCCAAAAUUUUUGCAAGGUUAGUCAGACAUACCUUUAAGGACUCACCAUAUACAGUAAAGUCGUCCAUGAACACCUUGAUAAUUUUCUCAACGUAGUCUGAAAAUAUACUUGCCAUGCAUCUCUGAAAAGUGGCUAGUGCGUUACACAGUCUGAACGGUAUCCGUCUGUAAGCGAAUGUGCCAAAUGGGCACGUAACGUCGUCUUCUCCUAAUCCUCCGAUGCCACUGGAAUCUGGAAAAACCCAGAGUAACCAUCAAGACAACAAUUGUGAGACUUUCCAGCUAAACGUUCUAACAUCUGGUUAAUAAAAGGAAGUGGGAAGUGAUCUUUCUAAGUUAAGGAAUUCAACUUCCUGUAAUCGAUGUAGACUCUCCACUUAUUUUGGACCUGAGUGGGAACCAUCUCACCUACCGAAUUCUCAAUUACAGUCACACCAGUCUUUUUUGGUACUACGUGUACUGGGCUAACCCAACUACUAUCGGAAAUGGGAUAGAUCAUCCCGGCAUCAAGUAGCUUUUGGACUUCUUUUUUUAACACUUCUAUCAUAGGCGGGUUGAGACGCCUUUGAGCCUCUCUUUUGGGAACAGCAUUAUCGAUAACCUGCAUUUUGUGCAUGCAAGUCGAUGGACUCAAUCCCUUGAUGUCGACUAUUGUCCAUCCAAUUACCUCUUUAUAGUCCCUAAGGACUUGUACCAAGUUUUCUUCUUCUACCUUCGAGAGUUUACUCGAGAUUAUCACCGGUAGUGAAUUUCUUUCACCGAGAAAAGCAUACUUCAAGUGGCUUGGGAGUGGUUUGAGUUCUAACUCCGGAGCCUGCAAAAUAGAUGGUACGAGCUUAGUCUGUGAGGGAGAUAAUUCAAAGGUUUUACCUGAAGCUUUCCGAAGUUGUGAUGCCUCCAUAUGAGCUACUGUUUCGUGAACAGAAUCUUCAAUGGUUAUCCACUCCUCAAGUUCCUUAAUGGCAUCAAAGUCCAAACUUCUUCAAAGGACAGUUUGCAAUUCAUCCUUGUCAUGAUAUUCCAAAUAUAACUCAGUUAAAGGAUCAAUAAUAUCAAUAUUAGAAACAUUAGAAAUCAUGCUAGGACGGUUCAUGGCCUCGUAGACAUUGAAUUUUAAUAAUUCCCCAUCGAACUCCAUAGUGAGUAUCCCACUUCUUACAUCAAUCUUCGUUUGUGCGGUACUCAAAAAUGGUCUACCAAUAAGUAUGUUUGAUGCAUUGGCCGAAUUGUCAUCCUCCAUGUCGAUAAUGUAGAAGUCUGUAGGAAAUAUUAGCUCGUUUACCUUGACAAGAACGUCCUCUAAUACUCCCUCCGGAUGCACCACAGAUCUAUCUGCAAGCUGGAUUAUCACGCCUGUUUCCUUUAAAGGACCCGCGUUAAGUAGUUUAUAAAUUGACAAAGGCAUAACAUUAAUUGAUGUGCCUAGGUCACACAUUGCUUUUUUAAUACCAACGCUACCUAUUUUACAGGAUAUGGGAAACAUACCUUGGUCUUUAUAUUUGGGCGGUAUUUUUUGUUACAGAAUGGCAGAGACAUUUUCUCCGACACUUACCUUUUCAUUUCCCAAAAGUUUCCUUUUCGUGUAUAACUCUUUCAGGAACUUCGUGUAUCAUGGGAUUUGCUUAAUUGCAUCGAGAAGAGGUAUGUUGAUUUUCACCUUUUGGAAGGUGUCGAGGAUCUCAUUCUCGUCUCGCUCCUUACAUUGGACAAGUUGUCUGGGAAACGAAGGUGGUACUGCAAAUGACUUUUGUGGUACCGACUCCAUUGGAGCCUCUGUGCCAAGUUUCUCCUUAUCUUGACUAGCGUUGUGGGCGUAACUAGUGUCGUGGCCACGACUUGUGUCAUGUACGGGCUCCAAAACCUUCUCACUCCUUAGCGUCAUAGUGCUUGCAUUGUGUCGUGGAUUUGGCUCAGUCUGGGAUGGCAGCUUACCUUGGGACUCGGCUAACCGUGAGCGCUAGUUUGCUCACUUGCCUGUCCAACUCCUGCAAAUGCAUGUCAGUUUUUUUUUGGAACUUCUCAGUACUGUUGGCUAGCCAUUCCACUAUGGUUUCCAAAGAUGACUUUGGGGGUGGUAUCUGUUGAUUCUACGACGGCCUUUGUUGGAAUGGUUGAUUGAACCGCGGAUUUGUCCCAUAGCUAAGAUUCGGGUGAUCCUUCCACCCCACAUUAUACGAGCUCGAGUAGGGGUCAUACUGUCUUUGGGGUGGUCCUGGGAAGUUCCCAACAGCAUUCGCUUGUUCUGCCGAACCCUUUUGUAAAAUUGGACAUGAGUCAAUCGAGUGGUCUAGCUUGGCGCAAAUUCCGCAUAACCGUGCUGGGCCUGUUUUAUCUAAAAGAAAAGUUUGAACAACAUUAGUCAACUUGUCAAUUUUAUCUUCUAGAGAUAGAGAAUUUAAUCCAUGAACCUCGUGGGUUCUGUAACCGAUCAGAAUUGUUGAAAGUUGGCAGCCAUGGUUGAAAUCAACUCUCUCGCUCUGUGAGGUGCCAUGUUAACAAGUGCCCCCCACUUGCAGCAUCUAUCAUUUUCAUUUCCAUCGAGAGUAAACCCUCAUAAAAAUACUGCAAGAGUGACUGCUCAGCGAGUCCAUGUUAUAGGCAGCUUGCACACAACUUUUUAUAUCGCUCCUAGUAAUCAUAGAGCGACUCAGUGUCUUUCUGACGGGUUCUUACGAUAUCCCUCCUUAGUUCGGCCGCUCGGGCUGCAGGGAAGAACCUAUCAAGAAACAAAUAAGACAUGUCAUACCAUGUGUUGAUAGAUCCCGGAGGCAAAUAAAAUAGCCACUCUCUAGUAGAGUCGGCUAAUGAGAAUGGAAAAGCUUGAAGUUUGAUUUGGUCUUCUGUUACUCCCUGAGGCUUCAUGCUUGUGCAGACCAUAUGGAACUCCUUAAGAUGGGUGUGCAGAUUUUCGUUUUCUAGUCCACGAAAAGUGGGUAGUAAGUGGAUCAAACCCGACUUUAGUUCGAACAACAUUCCUCCUAUCGGAUAGGUUAUACAUAAAGGCUAUUGUUCAUCUGGUGCCGCUGCGAGCUGGCGUAUAGUUUGUUCAGCCAUCUCGUCUAGUUCGUCAAAAAAUUCUUCGGUGUAAGAUAUAGUUUCAAAUUCACGAUUUGGCCGUUUACCACGUCGUAUGGCUUAUAUUCGUAGUUGUCGAGCCAAUUUCUCAAUUUUUGGCUCAAACUCUAGAUUUCCCGGUUCUGAUCUGGUCAUAAGGUAGACAAGCAAAAGUUAGAAAAUAUCUCCAAUCACCAGCAACGACGCCAAAAUUUGAUGGGUGUCGAAUCCACCAAAUAUAAUUCCUACUAAAUACUUUGAAUAGUAGUAAUGGUAGUAGGGUCGAGUCCACAGGGAUUGGUACUCUAAUCAACUUUCAAGUUUGGCUUAUGAACAGAAUGUCGUGUCAAGGGUCGUGGCUAGAGUCGUGCCUACGACUCAAAACGUACUAGCUGUAAAAUAAGUAAAUAAAUAAGUAAAGCGGGAGAUUUUGAAAUUGAUUAGAAAUUAAAUAAUCAAAACUGCUAAGAUAAAUAAUUAAAUAAAUCAAAAAUUAAAUUGGGAUUUGCAAUCAAAUGUAAUGAGCCUUAGCCUUAGGCUCGGUAAAUUCCGUGUUGAGAAUCCAUCCUCGAAAAUUGAUCUUCUUGUUUGUAUGAUAAGCUAGUUAUAAUGGUUAAGAACGUCCUAACCACCUAUUCUUCCUCUCGUAGCUGGUCCCGGUACGACCUGCAAACCAACCCUUACCAAUUAUCUAACCGAGAUACACGUGUUCCAGAUUUAAGAUUCCGGUAGCCUUGCGUUCUGUAGAACCCAGCUCAAAUUAACGGCUUCAGCCGCAUGGGUCGUUUAAACCCGAUCACCUCUUCCUCAAUUUGUUCUUAGAGAUCUAAAUACAGCAGGGCCGAUUCGUUUCUCCAACUGUCAGAAAACACGACUCCAACCCAACGAGCUCUUUUUGACUUGAAAUCGAAUUAUCCUUAAGGGAUGAGUUGUCAGUCCCAAUACUUAGGAAAUAGGUGAAUACCUAUUGGAAGGAUUUUAGGCGCGAGUACGAAUCUCAAAAUUCUCGACCGGAAAGAACACCGGCCUAAAGCUAAGAUGGAAUUUAGUGGAACAUGAAUUUAUUCAUGUUUGAAAGUUGUGGAAAAUGAUGGAUUUAUAUGGCAGGUGAUGGAAAUUGAAAAGGAAAAGUACUUGGAAGGUAAUUAGCCCGAUUUGACAAAAGAAACAAAACCAAAUGAAAAAGUGGCAGAAUGCUAAACUUUAAUUUGAAAAGGGAAAAUGAGAGUAUUUCUAUUUUAAAUAGAAGUAGGAAUACAAAGACAAAUAGAUGAUUUUCUAAAAACUAAAAGCCCCUAUUUAUAUACAUAGGGUUUACCAAAAAUAGGCUAAAGCUAAAUUAAUAAAAUAAAUAAUAAAUAAUAAAAUAAAAUAAUAUCUUCUAUUUUUAGCUUUUUACAAAGUCAAAAUUGAUGUUAAAUCCUUGGCUUUCCCAUCUUUAUGAUUUGGCCCCAACUCAACGAUCUGUCUUUCAAUUUGAUCCAUUUUUUCUUAUUUUUGACCAAUUGCAUCCCUGACAAGAUUAAUCCAUAAAAACACCAAUUAAGUAGGGAUUAAUUCAGAAAUAAGCCAAAUUAAACACAAGAAUCAUGUAAAUUAACAUGGUUAUCAACUCCCCCUACUUAGCUCAUGCUUGCCCUCAAGCAUGUUUGUUCUUUCAAACAUUAAAUUUGUUCUACAAUUUAUUAAAAAUCGAGCCUCUUUUCGCAUACAUAAUCAAUGUAAACAACAGCGGGCAAAAAUAAAUAAACGCUCAAGAUAUAAUGUUUAAUCAACAAAUGUCAUAAAAUUGAAACAUGUGGACUAAAUAAUUUCACUAAAUUGAGUUUGAAUCCAAUAAAAUGAAAGGCAUUAUUUAAAUAACUAUGCAUUAGAAAAAAAUAUUGACGUGGUCAAACCUUUUUACGCGAACUAGGAUGACAACCUAAGCGCCCUAUCCCCGUUAGUCAGUUUAAACCGUCUUAAAUUUUAUUUAUUUAUUUAUUUAUUAUUUAUAUAUAUGUUUUUUUAUAUAUAUAAUAAAGCUCAGUUAGCGGAAUGUUUAUAAGUUAUCGACUUAUCACUCGAACCUUUUUACGCGAGAUAAGAUGACAACCCAAGCACCUUACCCCGGUUACUCAAUCCGGUCACGUUUUCGAAACUUCACUCAUAACUUGAACCUUUAUUUUUCACUUAUUUAUUAAUGCACAAGGAAAUAUAAUUUUCCAAACAAUCAAUUUAUACGGAAAAAAUCAAGCUACAUAUAUCAAUUUUAAGACACAAAUGUUGACUGACCUAUAUACUUGAACAUUUUAAUUCAAAUUUUGCUCAAUUGUCCAAACUAACUAAGUAUGGGAUUAAAGGCUCAAUGUUAAAUAAAUUGUUGAAUGAACUUACUGUAAGAUUGAACACAUGCAGUUGAUAAACAUGUUAAUUUACAUGAUUCUUGUGUUUAAUUUGGCUCAUUUCUGAAUUAAUCCCUGCUUAAUUGGUGUUUUUAUGGAUUAAUCUUGUCAGGGAUGCAAUUGGUCAAAAACGAGCAAAAAGGGGUCAAAUUGAAAGACAGAUCGUUGAGUUGGGCCCAAAUCAUAAAGAUGGGAAAGCCAAGGAUUUAACAUCAAUUUUGACUUUGUAAAAAGCUAAAAAUAGAAGAUAUUAUUUUAUUAUUUAUUAUUUAUUAUUUAUUUUAUUAAUUUAGCUUUAGGCUAUUUUUAGUAAACCCUAUGUAUAUAAAUAGGGGCUUUUAGUUCUUAGAAAAUCAUCCCUUGUUUUACAUUCCUAUUUCAAUUUGGAAUUGAAUUACUCUCUCUCUCUUGUAUUUCCUUCUUCAAUUUGGAAUUGGAAUAUGAUUUUUUUUCUCUUCAAUUUGACGUUACAUUUUGUAGCAUUGUCCCUAAUUUUUGUUUAUUUUCCAUAAUUGGGUCAAUUGCUCUCCAAGUCCUUUCUAUUCAUUUCUUCACCAUAAUCAUCAAUCUCCUUUCCAAGCUCACAAAGCAUGAACAAUUUCAUGCUUAACUAAAUUCUAUCUUAGCUUUAGGUCAGUUUUCUUUUCGGUCGAGAAUCGUGAGAUUUGUACUCGUGCUUAAAAUCCUUCUAAUUGGUAUUCACCUUUUUUCUAGGCAUCGAGAUUGACAACUCGUCCCUUAAGGAUAAUUCGAUUUCAAGUCAAAAAGAGCUAGUUGGGUUGGAGUCGUGUUUUCUGACAGUUGGAGAAAUGAAUUGGCCGUGCUGUAUUUGGAUCUCCGAGAACAAAUCAAGGAAGAGCUGAUCUGGUUUAAACGACCCACGCGGUUCAGGCUGUUAAUUCGAGUUGGGUUCUUCAGAACGUAAGGCUGCUGGAAUCUUGAAUCGGGAACAUGUGUAUCUCGGUUAGAUAAUCGGUAAGGGUUGGUUUGCAGGUCGUACCGGGACCAGCUACGAAAGGAAGAAUUGGUGGUUAAGACGUUCUCAACCACUAUAAUCAGCUUAUCGUUUGAAAGAGAAGAUCAAUUUUCGAGGAUGGAUUCUAAACACGGAAUUUACCAAGUCUAAGGCUAAGGCUUAUUACAUUUGAUUGCAAAUCCCAAUUUAAUUUCUGAUUUAUUUAAUUAUUUAUCUUAGUAGUUGUGAUUAUUUAAUUUCUAUUCAAUUUCAAAAUCCCCGCUUUACUUAUUUAUUUGCUUAUUUUUCAACUGGUACGUUUUGAGUCGUGGGCACGACUCUAGCCACGACCCUUAACACGACAUUCUGUUCAUAAGCCAAACUCAAAAGUUGAUUAGAGUACCAAUCCUUGUGGACUCGACCCUAUUACCACUCUUACUACUAUUCAAAGUAUUCAGUAGGAAUUAUAGUUGGUGGAUUCGACGCCUAUCAGAAUGUAACCUAAGACAGAUCUUGUUAUUAUUAUAUGAAUUGUAUCAUAAAUAUUUGACUUAUUCUUAAUUAUGUGUUCUUAAUUCUUGUUUUGAUAUUCUAGGAUAUUGACUCAAGUUAAGCUCUUAUUCAAAGGAGGAAUAGACCCUGUCUAAGUGUACAUUUGUCAAAAUUAAGUAGAGUUGGUUGCAAGCCUAGAGAUAGGGUGCCAAGAUUUUGCCAGAUUAGGGUGAAACCUAAUAAGGGGAUCCAUAGAUCGAGUUAAUGCAACCCUAGGGAGUUAAUUAGAAAGAGAUUUCAAUUAUUCAACCUAGGGUUAGACGUUGUUAGUCUCGAGAAGGAUAAUAAUAUAACUUAGGGAUUUCUACGAAUCAAGUCAAAUGAAUAAAUUGUCCGAUUCAGAGUCAAAUAACAAGUGAAGUCUAGGUGGAUUUUUCCUUAGGUAUUGUCUUAAUUCAAUCGUCUUUCCAAAAGUAAUCCCCCAAUUCUAUUUUCUGUGAAUUCUUAGUCUAGUUAAUUAGUUAGUUAAAACAAACCCCAUUAUUCCUAGGCUAGAUAAUAAAAAGACAGUCAUUACUAGUACUUUUAGUUCAUUUGGGUUCGACAAUCCGGUCUUGCUAAAACUAUACUACUGUUCGAUAGGUACACUUGUCUUUAUCGUGAUAAUAGUUAGUUUCAAGAACAAUUCAUUAUAAAUUUAUAAAACUUACCGCACCAAAUCACGAUCAAGUUUUUGGCGCCGUUGCCGGGGAACUAAGAUAUUAGGGACACUCGAUUUUUAUUACUUUAACCAUUUACUUUUACUGUAUUUUAAAACUAUUCCUAAUUUUUAUUACUAAUUCUUCUUUUUCCCUUUUUUCUGGGAGGUUCUUAUAGUUUAUGACUAGAAGAAACCCGUCAGGACCAUUACUUUUUGAUAGUGAGAUCGAUCGCACAGUUCGCAGAAACCAAAGAGAAAUAAGGCGAAGCUUAAGAUACGCAGAUAACGAACAAGAGGACGAUAUUCAAACCCCAACCGAAGAGAUGACUGAAAAUCAAGAAAUCCGCUACCUCCUGCAAUUACUGUUAAUCAGAAUCCUGCUCCACGCACUAUGUAUGAUUAUGCUAAACCUAAUUUAAUAGGAACUGAGUCAAGUAUAGUUAGACCUGCUAUUGCUGCAAAUAAUUUUGAACUAAAACCUAACACCACCAUUCCAAUGAUACAACAGUUUUUUCAGUUUGAUGGUUUGCAGGACGCGGAUCCCAACGCUCACUUGGCAAAUUUCCUAGAAUUUUGCGAUACCUUUAAAAUUAAUGACGUUUCUGAUGACGCCAUUCGUCUUCGGUUGUUUCCCUUUUUGUUAAGGAACAAGGCUAAACAGUGGUUGAACUCGUUACCACGAGUGUCAAUCACUACUUGGGAACAAAUGACCGAAAAUUUUUUAUUAAAAUAUUUUCCACCAGCUAAAAUAGCCAAGUUACGUAAUGAUAUCUCUUCUUUUGUGCAGAUGGAUUUAGAAAAACUCUACGAUGCAUGGGAAAGAUACAAGGACCUUUUGAGAAGGUGCCCUCACCAUGGGUUACUGCUUUGGCUACAGGUUCAAACGUUUCAUAAUGGCCUGAAUCCUUCGACUCGGCAGAUGAUUGAUGCAGCCGUUGGAGGAACUAUCAAUAAUAAGACACCUGAGGUGGCUUACAAAUUUAUUGAGGAGAUGUCACUGAAUAACUAUUAAUGGCAAGUUAUGAGAACAAAACCGACGAAAGAAGCCAGUGUUUUCAACCUCGACGCGGUUACUAUGCUAUCUAACCAAGUAGAACUCUUAAAUAAAAAGAUUGACGGUUUGUGUGGUUCUACUAAGGUACAUCCAGUGAUGAGGCGCGACUCGAAUAGAGGAUAAGCAUGCAUGGAAUAUCAACCCUUCAACCCUAGAAUCGAGGAGGAACAAAUCCAAUAUAUGGGUAACAAUAAAUCUAGAUCUCAAAAUAACCCAUAUAGUAACACUUAUAAUACAGGUUGGAGGAACCAACCCAAUUUCUCGUGGGGCGGUCAAGGAAAUCAAAGGCCACAACACCCUUCGGGUUUUCAACAACCACCUUACCAGCAACAAAAGAAGCCGAACCUUGAGGAGAUGCUAACCAAAUUCAUUUCGGUGUCAGAAACCCGUUUUCAAAAUACCAAGACAGCACUUAAGAAUCAACAAGCAUCGAUCCAAGGGCUCGAAACUCAGAUUGGACAGCUUGGCGAGUUGAUUUCUGAACGACCACAAGGUAGCUUGCCAAGCAACACAGAAUCUAAACCAAGGGAGCAACUCAACGCAAUUACUAGUCAAGAUGAGGAAGGGUUAGUCACACUUGAACCAGAACCAAGGCAAGAAAUUGAUAUAAGCAAAGGCAAAUGUGAGGUAGACCACAAUGAGCAGAAAUCGGUAAGUACAGAAUACAAACCUCGUGUGCCAUACCCUAAUGCGAUAAGGAAAGACCGCUCAGAUGAACAAUUUGGUAAAUUCUUUAAACUCGUAAAAAAAUUACAUAUUAACUUACCAUUUAUUGAAGCUCUAUCGCAAAUGCCAAAUGCAAUGAAAUUUUUAAAGGAGCUUUUAGUAAAUAAGUGAAAGUUGGACGAGGCUUCUCAUGUGAAGCUAAACGCAGUUUGUUCAGCUAUUCUACAGAAUAAACUACCCAACAAACUAAAAGAUCCAGGGAGUUUUACGAUUCCUUGCUUAAUUGGUAAUUUAGAUGUUAAGAAUGCAUUAGCUGAUUUAGGGGCUAGUAUUAACGUCAUGCCCUACAAACUGUUUAAACAAUUAGGUCUUGGGAAACCCAAACAGACUAGGAUGAGCAUUCAAUUAGCAGAUAAAAAUAUAAGAUUUCCUAGGGGCAUUAUUGAAGAUGUGCUAGUUAAAAUAGAUAAAUUUAUAUUUCCCGUUGACUUCAUUGUUCUAGACAUAGAAGAGGAUAGCAACACUCCUUUGAUUUUAAGAAGGCAUUUCUUACCAACUGCUAGAACAAUUACUGAUGUUGGCACAGGUGAGCUCACACUUCGUGUGGGAGACGAAACAAUCACCCUUCAAGCUCGCAAUUCUGGCAACACAUCAAAAAUUGAAGGUGAUUGUCUAAACCAUUCUACUAAAACUGACAAUAUGGUGCAACCUACUUUGCAGGAGAUGAGUUUGAAGGAAGUACAUGAGCCAUUUUCAAGCAAUAGUAGAGGACCUAUUCAAGAAGAACGAAGGCUACAAAUUGAGGAGCUAGAUGAAUGGCGAACACAUAAAUCGAGAACACACGAUAAACCAAAACUACGCCAAAACAAGCUCAAUACCUUUCCAAAUCAACUUAAGGUUGGAGAUAAAGUUUUAUUAGAUGCCGCAGAUCCUCACAUUAUAACUGCCAAACCGAAUGAAGAAAUCCCUCUUACGGUACUUAGCAUUUUCUCAUUUGGUACAGUCAAGGUAAAUUAUCCCAAGUUUGGCACUUUUAAGGUAAACAAUACCCGCCUAAAACCUUAUUUUGAUGAGAUUCACAGCAGGAAUGAGGAGUGUAAACUCCUCGAACCACCAAGACCAUUAAAUGGAAAGGUAAGUUGAGCUUAGACUAUAAAUAAGCGCUUCUCGGGAGGCAACCCGAGCACUAACAAUAUUACUUUCUUUAAAUUUUAGUUUUUAAAAUCUAAAACUUUCUUUAAAUUUUAGUUUUUAAAAUCUAACAUACUAACCAAAUCAUUGAGCACAGGCUUUUCAGAACCACACGGCUAGGCACACAGGCGUGCCGUAGGCCGUACACAUACCAUGGUAUGCAAUAUGGCCGUGCGAUAUGGCCGUGUGAAAACAAGGCAAAAAUUUCUUCCCCAACACAGGAUGCGAUAAGUAGCCACGACCGUGGGCGGAAUUGUCAAAAUAACACGGGCGUGCAACACGCCCGUGUUUUGAAACUGUGGGUAAACCUAUCAAUUUAACAUGGGCGUGCGCCUGCCUACACGGGCGUGGGAGAAGCGAACAGAGAUCGACACGGCCGUGCAACAUGGCCGUGUAAACCAAUGCGCCUAAUUUCGAAAAUCAGAAAGAGCUCCAAAGCUCAUCCCCGCAUAGAAACUAAAAACUCCAACGGGAAAGGUUCUCCAUGACUGCCUUGUCCUGUUUAACCAUGACCAUAGCUACCACUAGAUAUAAUAUUCUUUUGGCGCAGGACUUAUGGACUAAUGAACCUCUACCACCACCAGAGUAUCCUCCACCACCCUCACGCCGAUUAUUCUCCAAAACUCCAGUUCAAGGAAAUUCAUUCAUCACUCAGGAAGUUUCACUUCUCUCCCUAUCUUAUUUUUAUAUUCUUUUCUAAAUAUCUGUUUUUGUACAUUGAGGGCAAUGUACAUCUUAAGUGUGGGGGGUAUUCAUUUCACUAUCAGAAAAAUCCCUGAAUGAUUGUCUUCUUCUCUUGAAAAGCUCUCAUAUCAUGUUUAGGAUAAAUUUUGAUUGAUUUAUGACUUCUAUUGAUAUAUCUUGAAUUAAAACAUAGGCAUUUAUGCAUUGAUUGUUUAAACUUUAAGACAUUAGGGAAUCAAGCAUGAUAAGUUGAUUUUUGAAGAAUUAAAAACUUCUAGGUUGUUUCCCUAAGCUUAGAUAUUAUCUUGAGUUGGAAUUCACAAGUUUAAACAUCAAAAAGCCAUAAUUUUUAUGAGAUCUUAAGCCUUUAGAGCAUAUAUUAUUUCUUUCAUGCUCACUUUCAUUAUGAGUGCGUCAGUCUUGAAUUGUUAUUCUAGAACUUGCUUGAUUAUGCAUGUCAGGAUCACACCAUUUGAUUUGAUAUGUCAAAAUGAUAAAUGCACUUAGGUUUAACCCACUCAUUCCAUAAAAGCACACCUUCAAAAUUAACCCUUAGUGAACCCCCCUUGAGCCUAACAACCCAUUCAUUAAUUUACCCUCAAUAUUAACCCAUAACUCAUUAUUGUUGAAAUCCCCUAAAUUAAUUUGAUUUGAUCCCUAUUUUUAGUCGAGAUUUGAGCUGAAUAGUUGCUUAGUUAUGUUUUAUUCUAUUUUGUAAUUUACUUGUUCUUAAAAAAAAUGUAUACAUAUUAGUAGUAGUGAUCUUCUGAGCUAAAGAAGUUAAAUUCCAUAUUCUGAGAAAAAGCUUUGUUGCACGCAUUGUUAACUAGUCAUUUUUCUAGUUAGGCAAUUUUUCAAUUCAAUCUCGAUUCUAACCCUUUCUUUCAGUUUGUGACCACAACCUCUAACCAAAGCCACAUUACAACCCUCUAAAGACCUUUUGAUUGAUGUUCAUCUCAAUUUAUUGUGGUAGAGAUUUGAUUUUCAUACAAGCCUAAGGUAAUGGCUUUUCAUUAUUGACUAUUGAGUGCUUCAUUUUAUUGUCCUUAAACACCUCGAGUGUUUAAGUGAAUCUUAAGUGAGAAUGUGAAACUCUGUGAUAUUUGAAUCAAAGGUAAUUACUUAAAUGAGGGGAGACACCUAUGAUUUCAUGAUAAAAUGCUCAGCUUGGAAUGUUUGAAACUUUGAUGUUCUUUCAGUUGAAUUUUCAAUGUAUGAUUACCUAUGGAUUAUUUUGAGAUAUUAUCGAUAGAAAUUAUAAGUUAAGAAGAAUAUAUUUUGAUCAUGAGUUGAGAAUUUUGCUUGAGGACAAGCAAAUGCUUAAGUGUGGGUGUAUUUAAUAAACCGUAAUUUAUACAUAUUUCUAUCCCAUGCUUAGCAUAUUUUAUGGAUGAUUUUUCCUUAAAAUUGGUGAAUUCGAUGCUCCUACUGCCUUAAUUUCAUGUUUUAUACUCAGGUGAGCAUAGGAGAGUAAAAGGAACAAGAAAUAGGCCAAAAACAGAGAAAAUGGGCCAACAUACGAAAUCAACACAGCCUGGACCUCCUCUCACGAGCAGACCACACGGCCGUGCCUAUUUAACAGGCUUAACCACGGCCUUAAGUAAUCGCACACGGACGUGUCACACAGGCGUGUCCCUGCCGAGCCCAAGUUUAGUCCAAUUCAGAAAAGGCCAAUUUUGAGGGUUCUUAGGCAUUCUAAAGCCUAUAAAUACACCCUAGAGGAGGAGGAAAAGAGGACACACAGAGAAGGAAGUAGGGAAACGCUCAAGGAAAGCAUAUUGAUUCAUCUUAGAAGCCAGAUCCAUCAUCAAGAUUGAAGAUCUCCCCUCAAUUUUCCUUCAGGUGUUUCAGGUUUUCCUUUAUGUUUUGUAUUCAUUAUUCUUCUGAAUUGUAUGAUAAAUAUUUUACUUGUUCUUAAUUAAGUGUUCUUAAUUCUUGUUUUGAUAUUCCAGGAUAUUGACUCAAGUUAAGCUCUUAUUCAGAGGAGGAAUAGACCCUGUCUAAGAGUACAUUUGUCAUAAUUAAGCACAGUUGGUUGCGCACCUAGAGAUAGGGUGACAAGAUUUUGCCGGAUUAGGGUGAAACCUAAUAAGGGGAUCCAUAGAUCGAGUUAAUGCAACCCCAGGGAGUUAAUUAGAAAGAGAUUUCAAUUAUUCAACCUAGGGUUAGACGUUGUUAGUCUCGAGAGGGAUAAUAAUAUAACUUAAGGAUUUCUACGGAUCAAGUCAAAUGAAUAAAUCGUUCGAUUCAGAGUCAAAUAAUAAGUGAAGUCUAGGUGGAUUUUUCUUUAGGUAUUCUCUUAAUUCAAUCGUUUUUCCAAAAGUAGUCCUCCAAUUCUAUUUUCUAUGAAUUCUUAGUUUAGUUAAUUAGUUAGUUAAAACAAACCCCAUUAUUCCUAGGCUAGAUAAUAAAAAGACAGUCAUUACUAGUACUUUUAGUUCCUUUGGGUUCGACAAUCCGUUCUUGCUAAAACUAUACUACUGUUCGAUAGGUACACUUGCCUUCAUCGUGAUAAUAAUUAGUUUCAAGAACGAUUCAUUAUAAAUUUAUAAAACUUAUCGCACCAAAUCACGAUCAUAGGCCGUAUGGUUAAUUAAAAUAUUCAAAACUAAGUGCAGGUUUCACACGGCCAAGACUUACGCCCGUGUUUUAAGCCGUGUAGCACACAUGGCUGAGACACACAAUCGUUUCUCUGCCCGUGUGCUCAAUUCUGAGAUUCUAUUUGUUAAAUUUUAAGAUGCAGGGGACACACGGUCAAACCACAUGCCCAUGUGCCAGGCCGUAUAUCACAAAUGGUCAAGACACACGCCCGUAUGUCCACCCGUAUGUACAAAAUAAAUCCAUUUCCUAGCUUUAUUUCUAACCCAAAUUUGCCAAUAACCUACACCAGCACUUACAAGUAUAUACCAGCCAAUCCAAGCAUUAUAACCAAACAAAUUUUAACAUCUAACAUGGUAUUUUAACAUCCAAGUAUAUUCAUUUAGCAUAACUCAAUCAAUCCAUAAUAUAUACUCAUGAUAUUGCCAUAGGACAACCUCAUUAGAUAUACCAAAACAUAACCAUUACUAGCCAUUCUAGUGGCUAGAUUACAAACAACAUUUAUAAGUCAACAAUGGCGAAGUUACCUAUACAUGCCAUUAUAUCAAAAUGAGGUUGCUAUUUACACCAAAACAAGCUAAUGGAUAGUGUGAUGAUACGCCAACCGAUCUCCAACCUUCACGAGCUUCCGAGAAUUGUAAAACAAAGAAAAUAAAACCUAGUAAGCAUUAUAUGCUUAGUAAGUUCGUAUAACAGGAAUUAAACUUACCAAUCUCAUUUAUUAAAGUUAAACAUACAAUAACAUGUUUUUCCAUCAACUUGGCAAAUUGCCUAAACACAUACACUCAAUUAAAUAAGUUAGUUACAUAAGUCUAAUGUAUAUCAAAUAGCAUAGAUGAGCUCAUCAUAAAACAAUUCAUUAAAUUACUCAGAAUCAUUCAAAAUAUAAAUUUGAUAUAUCUUAUCACUUUCUAUUGUCAAGAGUUUUAUCUGUUGAAUUAACGAAAUAUAGAUGAAUAAUCUGUAAACCGUCAAUUCUUUUUCAGGGAGCAUACUCUCGAGCUAGAUGUCAAGAUACUCAAACGAGCCAUGUAAUCAUUUAACAAGACACUUAUCCGAGCUAAUCAGGAAACUCAUAAGAGUUUUUACUCAGGAAGCUCAUAAAGCCUUUUAGAUAUCUCUAAAGAGAUAAUAUCAGGGAGCUUCGGAUAAGGUAACAGAGAUUUCCAGUGAGCUUAACAGGGCACUCAUGAAGAGCGGUGUUUGUGUCCGCAUUAAAUGCAAGAUCACAACCGAUCGCAUGUUAGGAUGCUCACAAAGAGCUGUGGUAGUGUGCAACACAUACUAAACCACUACCAAUUAGGAUGCUUGCAAGAACUAUAUAAAAGGAUGCUCGAGAGUCUAUAUCGGGAUUACUCGUCCAAGCUAAAUCCCUUUUAUAACAUAUGCAGAAUCACAUUCAUAGACGGGAAAGCACAUGUAUCCAUCGACUUUCAUUAUUCCAACGAAACUUAGCAUUUUAAACACAUUUCCAAUCAUGUUACCGUUUCAUAUUUUUAUAUCAUAUGCAUAAAUAAGUUACACAAAACUACCUUGAUAAUAAUUCGUACAAGAAAAUCUACUAAUCCGAAACUUUCUCUUUUUCUCGAUCUAGCUUUGAAUUUGUGUUAUCUGGAUCUAUAUAAAGGAAUUUAAUCAUCAAUUUCUCACAUUUCAUAUUCUAUUGAACUCAAUUUACAUCCUAGGUAAAAUUAUCAUUUUGCCUUAAACAUUUCAUAAUUUCCAAUUUCAUCCCUAGGCUCGGAAAUUGAAAUUCAUGCAAUUUACUCCUUAUUCCAAGCUUAACCGAAAUUUUAAUGUAAAAUUUAUAGCACUUGUAUUCUAUAAAAUUCAAAUUUUUCUUCAAUUUACACAAUUUUACAAUUUAGUCCCUAAAUCACAAUUUCAUCAAAAUUCACUUUCUAAAAGUUGUUUAUCUAUCAAUAACCUUUCAUUUUCUAUGAUAAAUUUCAAAUUUUUAGCAUAUUCAUCCUUGGAAAAAAUUCUAUACUUCGAUAAAUUUUCAAAUUAAUCCCCCAAAUAGAUAGAUUAGACUAUCCCGAUUUUAAAAAUAUAAAAAUUACUAAAAACGGGACAAGAAUACUUACCCAAUCAUGUUGCUAUUCCUUAUUAUUAAUAGCCCUGAUUGCUAAGUAAAUACACACUCGUUUAGAAAAGAUUCUCGAAAUUCAUAAAAAUCCUCUGUUCUAAAUAAUUUACAAAAUAAAAGAAAAUUCACGGAGAUGCUCGCAUUGAUAGUUACUUACCGACAGCCUUUUGACCAGUGUCUAACCACAGAACUUUUGUUAAUCUCGUAUCCCAAUACCACAUCCUGUUAACAAAAAAAAAUAAAAAUGAAAAAAAAUAAAAAUGGGAAGGAAAAAGAAGAAAUUAUCGUUAAAAUUAAUUUCUUAAAUUCCAAGCAGAUUUCUGACAUAUAACAAAAAUAGUUUCCUAAUGCAUGCGAUGGCAUUCGAACUCGGAACCCGAUAGAAUACAGACAGUUGUUUAACUAUUGAACCAGAAGACUAAUUCUUGUCACAAGUUCACACUGAAUCGAACUCAAGCGGUUAACGCGUGCUUAUGGGUUGAUUUUAAAACUAACAAAACUUUUAAUGAUGCGACUCGAACUCCAGACCUUAAACUCAAUCGUAGAACACAGAUCCACAGAUAUAGAAAUUAAUUACAAUAGAAUCUCACACUUAAAUUCUUAAAAUUUUGGGGCGCUACAACUCUCUCCCUCUAAAAGAAAUUUCGGCAUCGAAAUUUUACCUGAUUUGAAUAGAUAUGGAUACAGUCGUCAAAUUGAUUCUUCUGAUUCCUAUGUGGCUUCUUCAGUACCGUGGUUCCACAAAAGAACUUUCACUAGUGUAAUAGUUUUCUUCUUCAGUACCCUAAUGUCCUAUUCCAAGAACUGGACAAGCUCCUCCUUGAAAGUUAAGUCCGGUCACAAUUCAAUCUUGUCGACAAUAACAACAUGUGAAAGUUUUAGCCUAUACCGUUUCAGCAUCGAGACAUGAAAUACAUCAUGAAUUUUUUCUAAUUCUAACAGUAACUCCAACUGAUGCGCAACAGGUCCAAACCGCUUCAGAAUAUGGUAAGGUCCAAUGAACCUCGGGCUCAGCUUACCCUUACGUCCAAAUCGGGAAAAUUUCUUUCAAGGUGAUACUUUUAGAAAAACUUGGUCACCUACCGAAAACUCAAUAUCUUUUCUUUUCAAGUCAGCAUAAGACUUUUGUCUAUUGGAGGCUGCUUUCAAACGAUCACGAAUUAGUUUCACUACGUUCUCUGUCUCAGAAACCAGUUCAAAACCUAAUACCCGAUGUUCACUUAAUUUAGUCCAACAUAAUAGAGUACAACACCUGCGACCAUAUAAGACCUCGUAGGGUGCCAGAAUAAUACUAGACUGGAAGCUGUAAUUGUAUACAAACUCAGCCAACUGUAAGUAUUCCUUCUAACUACCCCUGAAGUCUAUCAUACAACCUUGGAGCAAAUCCUCUAAGAUAUGAAUAAUUCGCUCCGGCUGUCCAUUAAUCUGGGGUGAUACAUAGUGCUAAAAUUAAGCCGGGUGCCUAAAGCCUCAGGGAGUUUCUUCCAGAAUCGAGAAGUAAAUCGUGGAGCUCUGUCAAAGAUGAUCGAGACCAGAAUCCUGUGUAGUCUCACAAUCUUGGCGAUAUACAAUUUAGCUAACUUUUGUAAGGAGUAAUCUGUUCAGAUAGGAAGGAAGUGAGCCGGUUUGGUCAAGCGAUCAACGAUGUCCCAAAUCGAAUCUUUCUUAGUGGGGGUUAAAACCAACCCCAUAACAAAAUCUAUUCUUAUCUGCCCCCACUUUCACAGAGGAAUUUUAACUGGUUGAAGCAACCCGGAUGGCAACUGAUGUUCUGCCUUAACAUUUUGACACGUCAAACAGCGAGACACAAAAGUAACUACUCCCGUUUCAGUCUGGGCCACCAGUAGAGUUCUGGGAGAUUUCAAUAGAUUUUGUUCCCACCAGGAUGGAUAGCAUAGAGACUGUUAUGCACCUCUUGUAGGAUCGAAUACCUUAGUUCCUUAUCAUUGGGUACACAAAUUCGCCCUUUGAAGCAUAACACAUUAUCGCUAUUCAAGCUAAAAUCAGAAUUUUCAUGUGAACCCAUAUGUCGCAAUCGCUGCAUUAAGGUUUCAUCAUUCAGUUGUAAUUUUACCCAAAUCGGUCUAACUUGUAAUUUUACCAACAGUCCUCCAUCCCUAACCAAGCUCAAACGAGCGAUUAUUGCUUUUAGUUCAGUCAUCGCUCUACGACUACGGGCGUCAGCCACCACGUUAGCCUUACCCGAAUGGUACUCUAUCGAGCAAUCGUAAUCUUUUAGUAACUCAACCCAUCAACGCUGCAGAAAAUUUAACUCUUUUUAGGUUAAAUAAUAUUUGAGACUCUUGUGAUCGGUGUAAAUAAUACACCUUUCACGAUACAAAAAGUGUCUCCACAUCUUCAGAGCAAACAUGACCGCAUCUAGUUCAAAAUCAUAUGUAGGGUAAUUACCUUCGUGUGUCUUAAGCUGCCACGAUGUGUAAGCGACCACCUUACUGUCCUGUAUAAGUACACAUCCUAACCCCACAUGUGAAGCAUCACUGCAAACCACAAACAUCUAACCCAAUUCUGGGGCAUUCUUGGGAUCAACUCGAUUCUGGUUCGUCAGAGGUAACCAGCUAAACCCAAGAAGCUACAAAGCUCAGAAAAAAAUUUUCUAUUGUUUCCACUCAACAACAGCUUCAAUUGUCUUGGGAUAAACUCGAACCCUCCGUCGUCACAACAUGACCCAGAUUGGCGACUUCCUGUAACCAAAACUUAUACAUACCGAACUUGGCAGUAUCUAAAGUACAAUACGGAGAUGACCAUCGUGCUCAAUUUUAGCUUUUAGAGUAGAUCAAGAUAUCAUCGAUGAAAACCACUACAAAUUGAUCCAAAUAAGGUUGAAACACCAGAUUCAUUCAGUCCAUAAAUACUGCCAAGGCAUUUGAUAACCCGAAAAGAAUUACUAAGAACUCGUAAUUUCCAUGACGAGUCCUGAAAGUAGUUUCGUACACAUCAGUCUUUUUUACUUUGAGUUGAUGGUAAUCAGAGCGUAGGUUGAUCUUGGAAAAGAUAGAUGCUCCUCGAAACUGAUCGAACAAGCCUUCAAUCCUCGGUAACGGGUACUUGUUCUUGAUUGUCAACUUGUUCAACUGUCUAUAAUCAAUGCACAUUCUCAUCAACCCAUUGUUCUUCUUAACAAACAAUAUCGAUGCCUUCAUGGAGACACACUCGGUCAAAUGAAUCCUCUAUCAAAGAGUUCUUGAAGUUGCCUUUUAAUUUAGUCAGUACUUUCGGCGGCAUACGAUAGGAUGCAAUGGACACUAGAGUGGUACCUGAUAACAGGUCAAUUCCAAAUUCCACCUUACUCUCCGAGGGUACUCCGGGCAGUUCCUCGGGAAAGGAGUUUGGGAAUUCCCUCACAGUGUAACACCCUCUACCCGUAUUUUGAGCCUAGAAUAGGGUACGAGGCAUUACCAAACUUAAUAUGAUCAAUCAUGUAAACAAAAUUAGCCAUAAAUUUUUUUUCUAAAUUAAAAACUUUCAUACAUAUGUUUAACGUCCCUUAUAUGGGCCUACGGGGCCAAAAACAUACAUUCAGGAUGGUUCGGGAUCAAACGGUAAACAUAUGAAACUUUUGCAACACCUAGAAAAUUUUCACACUUUGGAGAGUCACACGCUCGUGUUUUCAACCCGUGUAACUCUCUGUUUAUAACUUCAUCACCCUUGUCAGUCGUACACUUCAUAUAAAUAACAAGAAACGUGUAUGGGCUUUAUUCUCAUUCAAUUUCUCAUAUAUAUACAUAAUUUCACGUUAUGUAAUCAUACAACAUAUAUCAGCCAUAUCUCUGUAAUCUAAAUAUGUUUUCAUAACAACUUAUCUUGAUUUCAGACUAUUUCAUAUUUAAGCUUAAAUAACCAAAGUAUUUGAAAUAUCAUCUUUAUGCAAAUAGUACAAAUGAGGUAUAUAAUUCUAUAAUUAUAAAUAAACACAUUUAUCAAACAUUUUUCAUAUUCAUAUAUCAAUGUCUCAUGUCUACAUAUAUCAAUAACCAUCAUUUUCAUGAAUUCCGAGUUCAAUUUCAUAAUUAUUUGUCUCGUGUUCAAUUUAUUCCAUAUCGGAAUUUUAUUCAUUAAAACAUUUGAAUUAUCAAUACAUAUGGACAGUACAUUCAAGAUGAACAAUUAUAUAAUCACAAAUGAAUUCAUUUAUCAACCAAGUUCUAUACUCGUAUCUUAUCAAUUCGUACUUCCUUGUAUCACAUAAUUCCAUGUAACACUUAUCAAACUUUGUCAAAUUAGUGAACGUCUUACGGAAUUGAGUACUUCGUUUUCUCGAUGCCAUAGUUCAACUAUGGUCUUACACAUCUUCACAUAAUGAUGCCAUAUCCCAGCUAUGGUCUUACACAUAUUCAUAUAUCGAUGCCAUAACCCAGCUAUGGUCUUACAUGAAUCACAUAUCUCACUGAUGCCAUAUCCUAGAUAUGGUCUUAUACAGUAGCAUAUAUCACACCGAUGCCAUAUCCCAGAUAUGGUCUUAUACGGAAAUCACUUGUCAUCACUUGUCACUUGUAGCCGAAGCUACCACUAUUCACUGAUCAGGUAGCCGGAGCUACCAUUUUUCACUGAUCAGGUAGCCGGAGCUACCACUUUUCACUGAUCAGGUAGUCGGAACUACCACUUUUCACUGAUCAGGUAGCAGAAGCUACCACUUUUCACUAAUCAGGUAGCAGAAGCUACCACUUUUCACUUGUCAUUUGUCAUUGAUCAGAUAAGUGUAGCUGAAGCUAUCACUUAUCACUUUCACUUUUCCUUGAUCAGAUAAGUGUAGUCGAAGCUAUCACUUAUCACUUGUUGCCAUGGUCCAACCAUGGUCUUUUCCUUCAAUUCAUCUUGUCACUGAACUAAAAUACUCAAUUUGAUCAUUUAUUCAAUUUUCAUGCUUUUACAUUAUUCACGAUUUUAUCAUCAAUACAUAUGAAAUAACACAUCAUGAAAUUCAUAAAAUUAGCAAAUAAUCACUAAAAUUUAGCCAUAUAAACUCACAAGUUCAAUUUUUGUAUUAUAACGAUAAUCAUAAUUUCAUAUAAUUAUACCAAAUAAAACAUUAUAUCAUUUCUGAUCCAACACUUAUCGAUUAUAAUUGGGCAUGUGAUCAAUUUAUACACGAGUCAUUCAUAUAUUUUUGUAUAUUUUCCUUCUCCUCCUCUCCAUCCACAUCCUUAGUAUAAACAACACACUUAUAGGUAACAUUAUCCAUAAUUUUCACUAUCAACUUAUGUGAAUAUUCAAGCUGUCCAUCUGUGUCAUAGUAACAAAAUUAUUUUUAUCUUGAGCUACAGAACUCAGAAUUAAGAUCCAUAAAUUUUCCCAGAAACUAGAUUCAAGCUGUCCAUCUGUGUCAUAAUUUUUGGUUGGGCCAAUUAAUACAGUUUAUUCAUUGAAAUCUCCUCUAUUCUGCUGUCUGACAGUUUCGACCCUUCUUCACUAAAAAUUAAUUAUCUUCUCGUACAAGAUUCGAAUGAUGUCCUUGUUUGUUUCUCUUGAAAAUAGACUCAUUAAGGAUUCUAAACAUAUAAAUUUAAGCCUCUAAUUAUUUUUAUCCAAUUUUUGAUGAUUUUCCAAAUUCAAAACAGGGGAACCCGAAAUCAUUCGAAUGAUGUCCUUGUUUGUUUCAUGAUUUACAAUUCCAUUGCUUACAUAAUUUCUUUUAUAAGAAACAAGACUCAAUAAGCUUUAAUUUCAUAUUUUAUUCAUCCUUUAAUUCGAUUUCUACAAUUUUUGGUGAUUUUUCAAAGUUAAACUACUGCUGCUACCCAAAACAGUUUUAGUGCAAAAUGUUGAUUUCCAUUUUACCUCAAAUUUCACAAUUCAUACAAUUCAGUCCUUGCUCAAUUAACCCCUCAAUUAAGAUAAUUUUCUCAAUUAAUACUUUUUCUAGACAUUAUAAGUUAUUUCAUAACUAUUGAAAUUUAGAAUUUUCACAUAAAACUCUAACUUCAAACUCUUUUACAAUUAGGUCCCAAAUAUACACUUUCUAUUCAAUUCUUUCAAUAAAAUCAGAAUAUAAACAAUUUAAAGCUCUAAUUCCAUGCCAAAUCAUCAUAUACUUCCAGCACUCAUCCAUAACAACUUCAAAAAUUAGACAUGGAAUCAAAAACAAAUGAAAUAGUAAGUUGGACCCAAUUGUAAAAGUCUAAAAACAUAAAAAUUUCAAGGAGAAAGCAAGAAUUAAACUUACAUGAAGCUAGAGUAUGAAAACCAGCUUGAACCCUCCUCCAUGGUUGUUUUUCAGCUGAUGAAUAUGAAGAGAAAUGAAGAGAAUUCUAGAUAUUUCAAUUUAGUCCCAUUUUUAUUUAGCUAAUUUUGUCAAUGUUCCAAUUUUGCCCUUAUUUCAGCCAUUUCCUGAUUUUUCUCGGCUAUUGCCGCCAAAAAUAUCUCCUUUGGGCUUAUUUGCACUUUAGGUCCUUCCUCAUUUGACAAUUGAGCUAUUUAAUCCUUUUAGCAACUUUUACACCCUUUUCAAUUUAGUCCUUUUUAUUUAAUUAACCACUCAAACUUCAAAAUUUUCUGACUAAAUUUUAUUACUACCUCACCAACACUCCAUAAAUAUUUCUAAAAAUAUUUAUGGCUCGAUUUAUGAAGUCGAGGUCUCGAUACCUCAUUCUCGACUCAAUUUACCUAAUUAAUUCUUUUAAAUCACCAAAUUCACUAAUUCAAAAAUGAUUUUGUAUUCACAUUUGACUCAUAGGUAUUAAUUUAUUAAAUUUUCAACUCACUUGUCGGAUUUAGUGAUUUCAAAUCUCUAUUCCCGAUACCACUGAAAAUUAGGCUGUUACACACAGUAUGGAUAUCUCUUACUUAAUAAGGUAUGCCUCGCACCAUUUUAGGACUAGCUUAUCUGCUACAAGGGCGGAGAUUACAUUAGAGAGAUAAUCUUGAUGCUUACCAACCAUAACCACCUCGUCAUUCUCAGUUGGUCUCAGGGUAACCCUCUUGGUUGCAUAGUCUAGACUGACCCGAUACUCAACAAGCCAACCCAUUCCCAAAAUAAAGUCAAACUCAUUAAAGGGCAUUUCCAUUAAAUCAGUUGGAAAUACUAUACCCUGAAGUUCAAGGGUACCCGUCUAUAUACUUUACCAACUCAGAUUGAUUGUCCCAACGAACUAAUCACAGAAAACUCUCUAGGAGUAUUCUCAGCAGUUAAACCCAUAUUUACAGUAACAACACUAGCUAUAUACAAGUGAGUAGAGCCAAUAUCAAUGAGAGCAUAAUACGGAAAAAAAUGAAUAAAGAAAGUACCUACAAUGACAUCAGCAUCAUCGGUCUCCUUGUGGCUUCUCACCGCAUAAACCAGUGCUACCGACGAGCCUCAACCUGACCUGCACCUCUAGCCGGUGCUCUCUGUCCUCUCCCUGAUCCAUUACCACCCCUACCAGUACCACAACCUAUGAAUGGUUGUUAAAUCUCUCUUGGCGGCCGAACAAAAUUGGUAGUUAGAGUUUGUGCUGCAAUUGACACUGAAUCAGGUUGACGGGGGCAAUCCCUAACUCGAUGCUCUAUCGAACCACAAUGGAGGCACGCUCCUAAUUUCCUCCAGCACUGGCUGGGAUGGCAUUUCCCACAAUCACUACACUGUUGAAUCUCAGUCACUGCAGCUGAUGCCUCGGCCCUUAGGGGCCUAUAAAACCUCGUCUGUUUCUUAGUGCACUGAACAGAACCAAAGGGACCCAAAUCCCUCAUAACCCUAUUCUAAUCGUUAUCACGGUCCCGCCUCUCGUACUCAAUGUGUUUCACUUCUUCCACUAUCUUAGUCUUGUGGACUAGAAUCAUAAAAACCCUCUCCCUCUAAGAAGCUAUCAAGACUCGUAGAUCAUAUUUCAAUCAUUCCUAAAAUCUCAUGCACCUGUCAUAAUCAGAUGCUACUAGAGUCCAUGCAUACCUACUCAAUCGUAGAAGCUAGCCUCAUAGUCAGCUACACACUGAUCGCCCUGAACUAGGCUCAUAAACUCAUGUCGACGAGGCUGGACAUAACUUGCCCCCACAUAUUUACCCAGGUCGGCGUUCUUGAAACAAUCCAGUUCACUUGUUCAGAUUGAGCACCUUGCUUAACGGUUAACCACCACUAAUAAGCUUCAUCCUAGAGUAGGGACACAUGUAACACCUCUAACCUGUAACCGUCAUUGAAUUAGGGUUACAAGGCAUUACCAGACAGACAGAACAUUUUAGACCAAUUCAGAAUCACAAAUAUCACAUAAUAUUAAUACAUAGGCAAUCAUCAACAAUUCAUAUCUUAUGAAGGUCUACGAGACCUAAAACAUACUUUCAAGGACAGUCGGGACUAAAUCGGACACAUUCAUAAAUUUUAGAACUCAGAAAAUUUUUCAAUUCGGUUGAGGCCACACGCCCGUUGAUAAACCCUAAUUUAUACAUAUUUUUAUCCCAUGCUUACCACAUUUUAUGAAUGAAUUUUCCUUAAAAUUGGUGAAUUUGAUGCUCCUAAUGCCUUAAUUUCAUGUUUUAUACUUAGGUGAGCAUAGGAGAGUAAAAGGAACGAGAAACGGGACAAAAAAAGAGAAAAUAGGCCAACGUCCAAAAUCAACACAGCUUAGACCUCCACACACGGGCAGACCAUACGGCUAUGUCAAUUUGGCAGAAUCGAAGCACGACUCACACGGGUGGACCACACGACCGUGCCUAUUUAACAGACUUGACCACGGCUUGAAGUAAUCGUACACGGGCGUGUCACACGGGCGUGUCCCUGCCGAGCCCAAGUUGAGUCCAAUUCGAAAAAGGCCAAUUUUGAGGGUUCUUAGACAUUCUAAAGCCUAUAAAUACACCCUAGAGGAGGAGGAAAGGGGACAAACAGAGAAAGAAGCAGGGAACUACUCAAGGAAAGCCGAUUGAUCUAUCUCAGAAGCCGGAUUCAUCAUUAAGACUAAAGAUCUCCCAUCAAUUUCCCCCACGAGUUUUGGGUUUUCUUUAUGUUUUGUAUUCAUUAUUCUUCUGAGAUGUUUUCCUUUUUAGUUAUGAACUAAAUCCCCUAAAUACCUAAGGGGAAUGAAACCUAAGAUGAAUCUUGUUAUUAUUUUCUAAAUUGUAUGAUAAAUAUUUGACUUGUUCUUAAUUAUGUGUUCUUAAUUCCAGUUUUGAUAUUCCAGGAUAUUGAUUCAAGUUAAGCUCUUAUUCAGAGGAAGAAUAGACCCUAUCUAAGAGUACAAUUUUCAUAAUAAAGUGGAGUUGAUUGCGCGCCUAGAGAUAGGGUGACAAGAUUUUGCCUGAUUAGGGUGAAACCUAAUAAGAGGAUCCAUAGAUCGAGUUAAUGUAACCCUAGGAAGUUAAUUAGAAACAGAUUUCAAUUAUUCAACCUAGGGUUAGAUGUUGGUAGUCUCGAGAGAGAUAAUAAUAUAACUUAGGGAUUUCUACGGAUCAAGUCAAAUGAAUAAAUCGUCCGAUUCAGAGUAAAAUAACAAGUGAAGUCUAGGUGGAUUUUUCCUUAGGUAUUGUCUCAAUCAAUCGAGUUUUUCCAAAAGUAAUUCCCCAAUUCUAUUUUCUGUGAUUUCUUAGUUUAGUUAAUUAGUUAGUUAAAACAAACCCCAUUAUUCUUAGGCUAGAUAAUAAUAAGACAGUCAUUAUUAGUACUUUUAGUUUCUUUGGGUUCGACAAUCCGGUCUUGCUAAAACUAUACUACUGUUCGAUAGGUACACUUGCCAUCAUCGUGAUAAUAGUUAGUUUCAAGAACAAUUCAUUAUAAAUAUUUAAAACUUAUCACCCGAAUAUCACGAUCAAGUUUUUGGUGCCGUUGUCGGGGGACUAAGAUAUUAAGAACACUCAAUUUUUAUUACUUUAGCCAUUUAUUUUUCUUGCAAGUUAAUUUUAUUUUAUUAUUAUUUAUUAAUUUACUUUCUUUUUCUCUUGGCAGGUUUUUAUAGUUUAUGAGUAGAAGAAACCCGUCAGGACUACUACUUUUUGACGAAGAAAUCGAUCGCACAGUUCACAGAAGCCAAAGAGAAAUAAGGCGAGGCUUAAGAUACACAAAGAACGAGCAAGAAGACGAUAUUCAAACCACAACCAAGGAGAUGGCUGAAAACUAAGAAAAUCCGCUACCUCCUGCGAUUGCUGUUAAUCAGAAUCCCGCUCCGCGCACUAUGUCUGAUUAUGUUAAACCUAAUUUAACAGGAACUAAGUCAAGUAUAAUUAGACCUGCUGUUGCUGCAAAUAAUUUUGAACUGAAACCUAACACAAUUCAAAUGAUACAACAGUUUGUUCAAUUUGAUGGUUUGUAGGACGAGGAUCCCAACGCUCACUUGGCAAACUUUUUGGAACUAUGCGACACAUUUAAAAUUAAUGGGGUUUCUGAUGAUACCAUACGUCUUCGAUUGUUUCCCUUUUCAUUAAGGAACAAAGCUAAACAGUGGUUGAACUCGUUACCACGAGGGUCAAUUACUACUUGGGAACAAAUGACCGAGAAGUUUUUACUUGAAUAUUUUUCACCGGUUAAAAUGACUAAAUUACGUAAUGAUAACUUUUCUUUUGUGCAGAUAACUUAGAAACACUCUACGAUGCAUGAGAGAGAUAUAAGGACUUUUUGUGAAAAUGCCCUCAUCAUGGGUUACCAUUCUGGCUACAGGUUCAAACUUUUCAUAAUGGCCUAAAUCCUUCGACUCGACAAAUGGUUGACGCAGCUGCUGGCGGAACCAUCAAUAAUAAAAACACCUGAAAAUGCCUAUGAAUUUAUAGAGGAGAUGUCACUGAAUAACUAUCAGUGGCAAGUCAUGAGGACAAAGCCAAAGAAAACAAUCGGUAUUUAUAACGUUGAUUCUGUCACCAUACUCUCUAAUCAGGUAGAACUCUUGAAUAAGAAAAUUGACGGUUUUCUUAGUUCUUCACAGGUUCACCCAGUAAUGCAGUGCGAAGCAAGUGGAGGUGGAUCAAGCAAUUUAGAAUACCAACCUUUUGGCCACAACAUGGAUAACGAGCAAUUAAAUUACAUGGGUAAUAAUCCUCAAUCUCAAAACAAUUCAUAUAGUAACACUUACAAUGCAGGUUGGAGGAACCACCCAAAUUUCUCAUAGGGAGGCCAAGGAAAUCGGAGACCACCUCUAGGCUACCAACAUCCGCCCUACCAACAGGAAAAGAAGCUGAACCUUGAGGAGAUGCUCUCCAAGUUUAUCUCGGUGUCAGAAACUUGUUUUCAAAAUACCGAGACAGCACUUAAGAAUCAACAAGCAUAAAUCCAAGGGCUCAAAACUCAGAUUGGGCAGCUUUCCAAGUUGAUUUUUGAACGACCACAAGGUAGCUUGCCAAGCAACACAGAAUCUAACCCAAGGGAACAACUCAACACGAUUACUAGUCAAGAUGAGGAAAGGUUAGCCACACUUAAACCAGAACCAUGGCAAGAAACUGAGAUAAGCAAAGGCAAAGGUGAGGUAGACCACAAUGAGUAGAAACCAGUAAGUACAGAAUACAAACCUCGUGUUCCAUACCCGAAUGCCACAAGGAAAGACCGCUUAGAUGAACAAUUUGGUAAAUUCCUUAAAUUCUUAAAAAAAAUUACAUAUUAACUUACCGUUUAUUGAAGCUCUAUCACAGAUGCCAAAUGCAAUAAAAUUUUUAAAGGAGCUUCUAGCAAAUAAGCAGAAGUUGGACAAGGCUUCGCAUGUGAAGUUAAACGCAGUUUGCUCAGCUAUUCUACAGAAUAAACUACCCAACAAACUAAAAGAUCCAGGGAGUUUUACGAUUCCUUGCUUAAUUGGUAGUUUAGAUGUUAAUAAUGCAUUAGCUGAUUUAGGGGCUAGUAUUAACGUCAUGCCCUACAAAAUGUUCAAACAAUUAGGUCUUGGGAAACCCAAACAGACUAGGAUGAGCAUUCAAUUAGCAGAUAAAACUAUAAGCUUUCCUAGGGGUAUUAUUGAAGAUGCGCUAGUUAAAAUCGAUAAAUUUAUAUUUUAGGAAGACCUUUUUUAGCAACUGCUAAAACGAUUAUUGAUGUUGGCAUAGGUGAGCUCACACUUCGUGUGGGAGACGAAAUAAUCACCCUUCAAGCUCGCAAUUCUGGCAACACAACAGAAAUUGAAGGUGAUCGUCUAAACCAUUCUACUAAGACUAACAAUAUGGUACAACCUACUUUGCAGGAAAUGAGUUUGAAGGAAGUAUAUGAGCCAUUUUCAAGUAAUAGUAUAGGACCUAUUCAUAAAGAACAAAGGCUACAAAUCGAGGAGCUAGAUUAAUGGCGGACACAUAAAUCGAGAACACACGAUAAACUAAAACUACGCCAGAACGAGCUCAAUACCUUCCCAAAUUAACUUAAGGUUAGAGAUAAAGUUUCAUUAGAUACCGUAGAUCCUCAUAUUGUCACUACCAAACCAAAUGAAGAAAUCCCUCUUACGAUACUUGGCAUUUUUCCAUUCGGUACAGUCGAGGUAAGUCAUCCCAAGUUCGGCACUUUUAAGGUAAACAACACCCGUCUAAAACCUUAUUUUGAUAAGAUGGAUAGCAGGAAUGAGGAGUAUAAACUCCUCGAACCACCAUGACCAUUCAAUGGAGAGGUAAGUCGAGCUUAGACUAUAAAUAAGCGCUUCUCUGGAGGCAACCCGAGCACUAACAAUAUUAAUUUCUUUAAAUUUUAGUAUUUAACACCUAACGUACUAAUGGAGCUCUUGAAUACAGGUUUCCCACAUAGACACGGCCUAACACACAGGUGUGCCUUAGGCCGUGUGGAAACAGGGCAAAGAUUUUCCCCAGCACAGGCUACGAUAAAUCGCCAUGGCAGUGCGACAUGGCCGUGGGCAAGCCUGCCAAAUCAACACAGGUGUGAAACACACCUGUGCCUUGAAACCGUGGCCAAACCUGUCAAAUUAACACAGGUGUGCGACACGCCCGUGCCUAGCAACCGUGGUCUAACCUGUUAAAUUAACACGGGUAUGUGACUAUAUACAUGGGCAUGGGAGAAGCGGAUGAAGACAAACACGCCCUUGCGAAACGGUCGUGUGCACCCACACGCCCAAGGAACACAAGCGUGGGCCAAUUGUGAGACGCGCCCAAAUUUAAAAUACGUGAAUCACACAAGAAAAAAUUGGGGAACACGGACGUGUUCCAUGGCCAUGUGUCCCAAAAUCUAUAAAUAUCAUACACUAUUCAUUGUCUUCUUCACUCAAAAUCCCUAACCUUAGCCGCUGUAAGUCCGCACGACCUCUCUACCAUGCCCGUGCGCCGCUUCGCACUCUAUUUUUUACGCCCAAUCUCUCUCCCUUAGCGUUUGUUCACUCUUUUCACUUCUAUUUUACUUAUUUCUAAUGCUUAUUAUCAAAAUAAUCUUCAUUCUUCUCAUACUAUUUUCAUUUUACUCAUUAUUCUAUCAUUUAAUUUGCAUUCUUAGGUUAUUUAUCAUACAUUUCAUGUUGAAUCGAGUUGUUAGGAAAGCUUCAUUCUAUUGUCUUACUCAUGCCAUUACUAUGCUCAUUCUCAUGCUAUUACCAUACUAAUGUCACAAAAUUACGCUAUCAAAUUGUUUAUUCUGGUUGAGUUUGGUUAGUAUUAGUAGUUUUGGCUUAAAUAGUUAUUUCAAAUUCAUGGUUUUUUCCUUUUCAAAUUUGUCUACCUACUAUUAUUCUUUUUUAUAUUGUAGGUACACAAUGUCGUCUUCAUGUGGUAAAAAGGUCGUCAUCCCUACUUCAAAGAAAAGGAAGGGAACGUCAUCUUCCUCGGGUCCUACCGCGAAAAUUCACCACCCUUUCCUGUAAUUUCCUAUCGGGCCCCAAGAAGAACUUUUCCAAAUACUCCGGGCCCGACCUUUAAUUGCGAGCCACUGCAUCGAUUGGGCUGUAGUAGAAUAAGUUCAGUUGGCUGAUGCGAUUCGGGUCCUCCUAACCACGACCCUUGGGAGCUUUUCUUUGGGAUCAUUGAACCAACAUAUCUCGACCUCACGAUGGAACUAUGCUCAACGUUUCAUCUUCAGACUGUAAUGACGAACUACGAUGAUCCUAGCACGGUCCAAUUUUGCCUAGGCGGAUUAGUCCGCCAGCUAAGCGUCCCAAAAUUCGAUACUGCACUGGGCUUAUAUACAGAGGAGUUCAAGGAGGAGAAUGACUUACAUGCUUUCAACCGCCACAUCUAUCGUUCUCAUUCACGAUGCUGGUAUGUACCAGUACCAGGUUCAGCCAUCUACAAUCCUAGCCACACCAAAGCAUCGGCUCUCCCUCCAUCUCUGAGGUACGCACACGCCAUUUUGGCUCACACGAUAACAGGAAAGUGAGAGAGCACUGGCGUCGUCAGCACUCAUGACGCCUACUUUCUAUGGUGUAUGUCGCACGGGCACGUCAUAGACCUUGCUUAUUUCAUUGCCUUUGCCAUUCAGCACCACACGGAGUGGCAUAGGAAUGGGGUCAUCUCCAUUGGCCCCUAUGUUACUUGGUUGGCUCGACACUUCGGGCUCCUCAACACCACGGCCCAAGAAUCAUCCUUGACCCUUAUUGGCCAAAUGCCUUCCCAAGGCAUCUCGAGCAUGCCAAGCAUGAGGAUGAUCGAAACGCGCUGAGGAACCUACCCUCCUCAAUAUCGUCUCGUCCAAUCUACUGAGGAGGAGGCCCCCGUGGACAUUACUGAUGAUGUCCGUCCACAUCACAAGGACCUACCAUCUCAGCCACUACUACCCUCUCGUCUAGUUCAUGCGGCGGCUCCAUACGAUGAUAUCUCUGAGCGCUUAACUCGAUUCGAGCAGCAAUGUUCUCAGUGUUUCGAUCACAUUGAUGCUACACUGCACCAGAUUUGUCAGCACUUCCACAUCCCAUCCCCACCCUCACCUUGCGAACCAUCUAGCGAUGAAGAUGUUUAAAAACUUUUGUUUAUUAUUUUAUGUUUUUACUUUUAUUCUACUUUAGGACUACAUUUUAUUUUUCUUUAAGCUUAUUUUUAUUAGGUUUUAUAAUUUUUAUUUAACAAUUUUGAAUUUCGGCUAUUUCCUAUCAAGUAAUUAUUCUUCCUUAUAUAUUUUCUAAAAGAGUUCCUGAUUCUAUCACAGUUAUAAAGAUCUCCAAAGCUCACUAUUACUUAGGGACUCGAAACUCCACUAGGAAAGAUUCUCCAUGACUGCAAUGUCUUGCUCGACCACGACCAUAACCAACCUCAGAUAUAAUAUUCUUUUGGCGUAGGACUUAUGGACUAAUAAACCUUUACCACCACCAGAGUAUCCUCCUCCACCCCCACGCCGAUUAUUCUCCAAAACUCCAGUUCAAGGAAAUUCAUUCAUCACUCAGGAAGUUUCACUACUCUCCCUUUUUUAUUUUUAUAUUUUUUCUACAUAUCUAUCUUUGUACAUUGAGGGCAAUGUACAUCUUAAGUGUGGGGGGUAUUCAUUUUUAUAUUAGAAAAAUCCCUGAAUGAUUGCCUUGUUCUCUUGAAAAGCUCUCAUAUCAUGUUUAGGAUAAAUUUUGAUUGAUUUAUGAUUUUUAUUGAUAUAUCUUAAAUUAAAACAUAGACAUUCAUGCAUUGAUUUUUUUAAACUUUAAGACAUUAGAGAAUUUAGCAUGAUAAGUUGAUUUUUAAGAAUUUUAAGUCGUUUCCCCAAGUUUAGGUAUUAUCUUGAGUUGGAAUUCACAAGUUUAAACAUCAAAAAGCCAUAAUUUUUGUGAGAUCUUGAGCCUUUAGAGCAUCUUUUAUUUCUUUCAUGCUCACUUUCAUUAUUAGUGCGUCAGUAUUGAAUUGUUAUUCUAGAACUUGCUUGAUUAUGCAUGUCAAGACCACACCGUUUGAUUUGAUAUGUCAGAAUGAUAAAGGCACUUAGGUUUAACCCACUCACUCUAUAAAAGCUUACCUUCACAAUUAACCCUUAGUGAACCCCCUUGAGCCUAACAACCCAUUCAUUGAUUUACCCUCAAUAUUAACCCAUAACUCAUUAUUGUUGAAAUCUUCUAAAUUAAUUUGAUCCCUAUUUUUGUCGAGAUUUGAGUUAAUAAUUGCUUAGCUAUGUUUUAUUCUAUUUUGUAAUUUGACUUGUUCUUAAAAAAAAUGUAUACAUAUUAGUGGUAGUGAUCUUCUGAGCUAAAGAAGUUAAAUUCCAUAUUUUGAGAAAAAGCUCUGUUGUACGCAAUUAUUGACUAGUCAUUUUUCUAGUUAGGCAAUUUUUUAAUUCAAUCUCGAUUCUAACCCUUUCUUUCAAUUUGUGACCACACCCUCUAACCAAAACCACGUUACAACCCUCUAAAGACCUUUUGAUUGAUGUUUCAUCUCAAUCUAUAAUGGUGGAGAUUUGAUUUUCAUGCAAGCCUAUGGUAAUGACUUUUCAUUAUUGACUAUAGAGUGCUUCAUUUUAUUGUCCUUAAACACCUCGAGUGCUUUGAGUGAAUCUUUAGUGAGGAUGUGAAACUCUGUGGUAUUUUGAAUCAAAGGUAAUUACUUAAAUGAAGGGAGACACAUAUGUUUUCAUGAUAAAAUGCUCAACUUGGAAUGUUUGAAACUUUGAUGUUCUUUCAGUUGAAUUUUCAAUGUAUAAUUACCUAUGGAUUAUUUUGAGAUAUUAUCGAUAGAAAUUAUAAGUUGAGAAGAAUUUAUUUUGAUUAUGAGUUGAAGAUUUUGCUUGAGGACAAGCAAAUGCUUAAGUGUGGGGGUAUUUGAUAAAUCGUAAUUUAUACAUAUUUUUAUCCCAUGCUUAGCACAUUUUAUGGAUGAAUUUUUCUUAAAUUUGGUGAAUUUGAUGCUUCUAAUGCCUUAAUUUCAUGUUUUAUACUUAGGUGAGCAUAGGAGAGUGAAAGGAACGAGAAACGAGCCAAAAACGGAGAAAAUGGGCCAACGUACAAAAUCAACACGGCCUGGACCUCCUCACACGGGCAAACCACACGGUCGUGUCAAUUUGGCAGAAUCGAAGCACGACUCACACGAGUGGACCACACGGCCGUGCCUAUUUAAUAGGCUUGACCACGGCCUGAAGUAAUCGCACACGGGCGCAUCUCUACCGAGCCCAAGUUGAGUCCAAUUCGGAAAAGGUUAAUUUUGAGGGUUCUUAGACAUUCUAAAGCCUAUAAAUACACCCUAGAGGAGGAGGAAAGGGGACACACAGAGAAGGAAGUAGGGAACUACUCAAGGAAAGUCGAUUGAUCCAUCUCAGAAGCCGGAUUCAUCAUCAAGACUGAAGAUCUCCCCUGAAUUUCCCCUAGGAGUUUUGGGUUUUCUUUAUGUUUUGUAUUCAUUAUUCUUCUGAGAUGUUUUCCUUUUUAGUUAUGAACUAAAUCCCCUAAAUACCAAAGGGGAAUGAAACCUAAGAUAAAUCUUGUUAUUAUUUUCUGAAUUGUAUGAUAAAUAUUUGACUUGUUCUUAAUUAUGUGUUCUUAAUUCUUGUUUUGAUAUUCCAGGAUAUUGAUUCAAGUUAAGCUCUUAUUCAGAGGAGGAAUAGACCCUAUCUAAGAGUACGAUUGUCAUAAUUAAGCGGAGUUGAUUGCUCGUCUAGAGAUAGGGCGAUAAGAUUUUGCCGGAUUAGGGUGAAACCUAAUAAGGGGAUCUAUAGAUCAGGUUAAUGCAACCCUAGGAAGUUAAUUAGAAAGAGAUUUCAAUUAUUCAUGUAAUGCCCCGAACCCAAGACCAUCACCAGAGUCGAGCACGAGGUGUUAACGGACUUAAUUCAUUAAUUAAACAGCUCAAACAAUUUAUUUUAGAACUUCUAGACAAGCUGGCUAACUGCAUCAUAGUCGCUUGAAAAUUCAUAUCUUGAGUUACAAAACUCGAAAUCCAAUUCUGUAAAUUUUCCCUAAAACUAGACUCAUAUAUCUAUCAACUAAUUUUUUUUUAGAAUUUUUGGUCGGGCAAAAUAGUACAUUUUAUUAGUUAAAAUCUCCCAUGUUUAAGGGAUCAACUAUUCUGACCCCUGUGUAUUACGAAUUAAAUAUCUCCUUGUACAGAGUUUAAAUUAUUAUGCCAUUUGUUUCUAAUAAAACUAGACUCAAUAAGAAAUCUGUACAUUUAAAGAAUGACUUCUAAUUAUAUUUGUACAAUUUUUGGUGAAUUUCCAAAGUCAGAAUAGGGGAUCCAGAAAUCGCUCUGGCCCUAUUUCACAAAAAUUUAAAUAUCUCAUAAAAUAUAACUCAUAUACUUGUUUUGUUCCAUCCAUAUGAAAAUAGACUCAUCAAGAUUUAAUUCUAUAUCUCAUUCACUAUCUAAAUCUAUUUCUACUAUUUUUAGUGAUUUUCCAAAUUCAUGUCAUUAUUGUUGUCUGAUACUGUUUUAAAGCUAAUUUCACCUUUUUCAUGAUUUCCAUGGAAUAACUAGCAUUUAGGCAUACAUAACACCAAACAUGUCCUUGAUUAGCCAUUCCAACAGCUAAUCAUUAUCAAGCAUUUACAUACCAUUCAUCAGCCAUAUCAUAAGAUCAUACACACAAAAUGGCUACGAUGCUAUACAUGCCAUACUCAAAAUGAAACGUCUAGCUAUACCAAAAUAAUCCUCGUGAUAGUGUGCCCGGACCUCCGACGUACUUUACGAUCCCCGAGUUAGCUUGAAAAAAAUAUAAAAAGAAGGAAAAUAAAUGGGUUAAGCAUUAAGCUUAGUAAGUUUGCAUGCAAAUAAAUAACAACAUUCAUAAGAAUUAUCUUACUACUUGGCAUGAUACUACUUAAUGCAACUUCAUUAAUUGUCAUAGACAUAUUUUAAAAUUCUUCACUUACUCACUUACUUAAAUACUUACUUACUUAAUCAAAUUUAUUAAUACAUUUUACUUACCUUUUUCCUUAUCAAGCAUACAUGAACAUUAUGUACUUACCUUUGCUCUUCUAGCAUGAACUUGUCUUACCUUUUUAGUAUAACUCGUCUUACCUUACCUUACCUUGAUAUUCUCUUUAAAUUUUCUCGUUGAACCACUUGGAAUACUAAGGAUACGCGGAUACCUUACCAUUGCCAUGACUUGUCAUGGUCUUACGUGGUAUCCUUUUGAAACUUACCAUUGCCAUGUCUUGACAUGGUCUUACAUGGUAUCCUUGCCUUAUGAACUCACCAAUGCCAUGUCUUGGCAUGGUCUUACAUGGGACCUUUGCCUUAUAGUAACUUAUCAAUGCCAUGUCUUAACAUGGUCUUACAUGAUUACCUUGCCUUAGAAACCUUACCAAUUGACAUGCCUUGGCAUGGUCUUACAUGGUAUCCUUAAACCCUAAUGUCAUGACAUUUGUAUCCUACACAUUCCUAAGGUUUAAUCGGGACUUUCUGAAAUUACUUCUCCAUCAAUUCAUGCUUGAGUAUUCUUUGAAUAAUUUCAUAAAAUAAAUAUACACAUGCUAGAAAUUAACAAAAUUAACAUAAAAAAUAGAAUAUUGCAUUUAUUUACCGCAAACUUACCUCGAAACAAAAUACGAUCAACUAUAUCGAUUUAGUCCACUAUCUUUUUCUUUCCUCGGUCUAACUUCGGAUUUUGUUCUUCUUGAUCUAUAAUAAAAAAAAUUUAGCUUAUUUAAUACUCACAUUUAUUAAAACAGUCCUUGACCCAAACUUUGGAAAAAUUACAUUUUUGCCCCUAAACUUUUAUUUACACUUUUUCCCCAAGGCUCAAAAAUUAAACUUCAUCCUAUUUUCUUAUGUUUUAUGACAUGCUGAUCAUUUUUCCCUUCUAUGACAACAUCAAAUUCUCACUCUAACAUGUACUUAUGACUAUUAGGUAUUUUUACCGAUUAAGCCCUUUUACUCACUAGUACUUAAUACCUUUGUGAACUAGAACACACAUUUUACAACUUUUGCAAUAUAGUCCUAAAUAUCAAAUUGGACCCUCUAUCGAUAAAAUUUCUAAAUGAAAUUUUCACACAAUCAUGCAAUCAUUCCAUAGACCUUAAAAUGAUAAUAAAAUAAAUUUUUCUACCUCGAAUUUGUGGUUUCGCAACCACUGUUCCAUUUAGGCCCUAUUUCGGGAUGUUACAAUUCAACCUAGGGUUAGACGCUGGUAGUCUCGAGAGAGAUAAUAAUAUAACUUAAGGAUUUUUACGGAUUAAGUCAAAUGAAUAAAUCAUCCGAUUCAGAGUAAAAUAACAAGUGAAGUCUAGGUGGAUUUUUCCUUAGGUAUUGUUUCAAUCAAUCGAGUUUUUCCAAAAGUAAUUCCUCAAUUCUAUUUCUGUGAUUUCUUAGUUUAGUUAAUUAGUUAGUUAAAACAAACCCCAUUAUUCUUAAGCUAGAUAAUAAGAAGACAGUCAUUACUAGUACUUUUAGUUUCUUUGGGUUCGACAAUCCUGUCUUGCUAAAACUAUACUACUGUUCGAUAGGUACACUUGCCUUCAUCAUGAUAAUAGUUAGUUUCAAGAACAAUUCAUUAUAAAUAUUUAAAACUUAUCACACGAAUAUCAAGACCACCCGUGUAACUAGACCGUGUGCCUCACACGGGUACCAGACAUGCCCAUGUGAACCAGCCGUGCCAAAACAAGGCAUACAUCCUGACUUUCACCCAUGGCCAACAGACACGCCCGUGUGCUAUGUCCGUGUGAUACAUAGCUAGCUACUGACUUAAGCCUACAGCCAUAUGUCACGCCUAUGUGUCUUAACCAUGUGGUCUUAAGAGGUUACCUCUUUGCAUACACAGCGACAAGGCACGCCCAUGUGCCCUGGCCGUGUGGCACAAUGCAGGCUUGGUUUAAGCCAAUUUGCCACCCCUUUUUGGGUUAUUCCUACCAGAAAUAUUAAACAACAUUCAUGCUACAAUUUCAGCCAAUUCAUACUUAAAAUGACCAAAUCAUAUUAGAUCAUAAAACAUUACAAGCAUACACCAUUUGGCAUCACCAACCGAAUACCAAAACUAUGCUCAAACAUAACAUUCGCUAGCCAACUGUCAUGGCAUAACAUAUAUACAUUUCAAAGAUUAAAUACAUAAACAUUCUUGCCUAUACAUGCCAUACUUAAAAUAUUUACACUUUUAAAAGUACCAAAAUGAGUUUGAUAGUGUGGUGACAAUCCUCAACUAUCCUCGAGCCUUCAGUAGCUACGAUAAUUGUAAAACAGACAGAAAUCACACAGAGUAAGCUACAUAGAGCUUAGUAAGCCAAAUACAAUUGGUUUAACUAUAAAAGCAUAUAAAGUGAAAGUCAAUAGCAUGAAUUUAUAGCCAUUUCACAGAGUAAUUCAUGAGCCUGAUCGUGCUCAUUUGCUUGUCUACAUGUCAUGCUUCAUUUCCAAAUUCCAUACAUACUUCACAUUCAUUGUUUCACAGAAACCGAGUCUUUCACAUUUAGAAAUUUAGUACGAUGGACAUGUACCAGUAUAGAUUAUACGUUUCAUAUAUUCAUUCCUGUAUCUCAUACUCUAUCAUCAGAUGGUUCAGAAACGAUACAGAUGCUCAUAAAAUGCCGACGUCCCAGAUGUGGUCUUACAUGUAAUUUAGUAUCGAUGCCUCUGUCCCAAAUGGGUCUUACAAAAAAUCAGAUAAGAUGCCAAUGUCCCAGACAUGGUCUUACAUGUAAAUCUCAAAUCGAGGCCUGUGUCCUAGACACAGUCUUACACGAUAUCUCAGAUCGAUGUUCACAUUCCUUUAGAUACAUACAAAGGUUUUUAGAUACUAGCAUAUUAUUAGAAUUUAAUCGGAAUUCAUUCAUCAGGAUCUUAAGGCCUUCCAAUACAAAUUACAGUUUGUAUGCGCAGAAUUUAGUCAAUUGAACACAUAAUUGUAAUUUGACUUACCUCGUAUGGAUUUCGGACGAAACGAGUCGACUAUUCAACUAUUUUGGACUUCCUUCGAUCUAAAUCCGAUUUUCUUUGUUCUUGAUCUAUUAAAAUUAAAAUUCAACCAUUCAAUCAUUUAUUUCAUUCAAAAUAAUCCAUGAACACAAAUUUAGGGCACUUUGCAUUUUAGCCCUUACAUUUUCACACUUUGACAAUUAAGUCCAUUUUUCACAAAAUCACAAAUAUGAAAAAUUCACCAAGACUAUAGCUUGGCUGAAUAUACAUAGCUUCUAUACAAGUCCAAAUAACAUAUUUAUUUCACAAUUUAGUCCUUCAAAACCUCAUUUUCACAAAUUAGCCCAAAUAGCUCAAUUCCAUAAAAAAUUCAAGAACAAAACAUGAUAAUCUCACGUAUAAUCUUUCAUAAUCCAUAUAAAAACAUCACAAAGCUCAUAUAAUCAUCAAUGGAACAUUUCAUAAUCUUCAACAAAAAUAGAAAUUCAGACAUGGGUUUUGAAGAACACGAAGCAACGAUCACAAAAACAUAGAAAUUAUCAAGAAAUAACCAAAGUACAUACCUUAAUCAACCAAAUCAAUGACCGAACCCUAGGAUGGUCUUCUUCUUUCUAUUUUAUUGAUAUAUAUUCGGCUAUAUGAAGCAUAAUGGUUUUAUUUUAUGCUUUGGUUUUAUUAAUAUAACUUCAUUUUGCCCUUGACUAAUAAACAUUAAAACUUACCAAUUACAUGUCCAUAUUUGUCCACCAGUAAAACAAAUGGUAAAUUUGACAUACAAGGACCCUCACUUAAAUAAUACAAAUCAAAUAGGUACUUUUAACUUCUAGCACUCAGCUUUUUAUAUUUUACGCGAUUAAAUCCUUUUUCAUAAUUAAGUACAGAAACAGACAAAUUAAAUCACAGAAACUUCGUAGAUAUAAAUUCACAUAUCACAGACGCAGAAAAUAAUAUUAAAAUAUUUUUUCAGAAUCAGUUACGUGGUCUCAAAACCACUAUUCUGACUAGGGUCACAACCGGACUAUUACAACACAACACUCUUCAAUUUCUAAGUAGGAGUACAGUCAAGGUCUCUCAUAAUACGCUCUAUAGCCUUGAGCCAAUAUUCAGCCACAAUAAGAGCAACUCCUAUAACACCCCUGAAAAUUUCAACACCAUUCGACUGGAUUCGUUCAGUAAUCGACCCUUAGCCUCCCGAUCUCGAAUGUGUCCCAACGACUCUCUCUAGUUCCUGAAUCAUGGCCUGGGAUAGUGUGUCGUCCCUAGCAGUCGGAGUCUGGGACUCCAUCUUAGCAGUGGGAGUACCAACAAUCUUACUGGUCUCUAGGUUGGGUAUGCUAACCAUGAAGGAUGACUCGGCUAGCGAUCCUCCUUGGCGUCAUCGAUGCCCCCGCAUACCAUGAUCACGACUACCGCGUAAACUCAUUCUGGCAAUUCUAGCUACAAUAUCAGAGUACACAGAUCAGUUCAGACAUCCAGUAGGAUGAUUUCACUAGUUCGCAUCAAACAAUUUACCCAUAAUAGUUCAAUAGUUAUGAUAUUUAUAAUAUAACAUAAUUAUUUACAGGGUCAGCGUCGGAGGCUCGGUUGUUCACUAAAGUUUUAGUGUUUCUCUUAUUAGUUCAGAUACUAAUUAUCACUAAGAUACUUUUCUCACAAUUUAUGAGCCCAAACACGGUCCGAUGUUGACUAACUUGGCUUUGAUACUACUAAAUGUCUAGACCAAAUUGGAGAGUUACAUCACCUGUACUAAAAUUAAUACUAUCAUAGCACAAUCAAAUUGAACCAUUCGCCACGCAAUAUUCAUCACAACCAUAAUUUAAAACAUAUAACCUUCAUAAAUUCCAUAAUAUCAUAAAACAUAGAUCCCUAAUAAUAAUGCUUAAAAGGAAGGAUAGAAGUGUAACACCCCGUACCCGAGACCGUUGUCGGAAGCGACCACGAGGUGCUAACAAACACAUUUCAUGUAUGUUCACAGUCCAUUUUAAAAAUUUCCAGACAGCUCGCUAACUGCGUCACUGUCACCUUAAAAAUCAUAUCUUGAGUUCCAAAACUUGAAAAUCAGUUUCGUAAUUUUUCCCUGAAACUAGACUCAUAUAUCCAUCAACAAAUUUUUUUCUAGAAUUUUUGGUUGAGCCAAUUAGUACAGUUUAUUAGUUAAAGUCUCCCCUGUUAUAGGGUUCGACUACACUAACCUUCCUGCAUUGUGACUUAGAUAACUCCUUAUACAGGGCUUCAAUACUUAUGCCGUUUGUUUCUAAUGAAACUAGACUAAAAAAGGAAUCUAUACAUAUAUGGCAUGACUUCUAAUUAUCUCUGGUUAAUUUAUAAUGAAUUUCCAAAGUCAGAUCAGGGGAUCCAGAAAUUGCUCUAGCCCUAUCCCACGAAAACUUAAAUAUCUCUUAAAAUACGACUCAUACGACCGUUUUGUUUCUUCCAUAUGGAAGUAAAUUCAUCAAGGUUCGAUUAAAUAAUUUAUUCACUAUUUAAUUCCAUUCCUACUAUUUUUAGUGAUUUUUCAAAUUCACACCACUGCUGCUGUCAGCAUCUGCCUUUAAGGUAGACUUUACCUAUUACAUAGUUUCCAUGAUUCAACUAACCCUUUAGCAUAUAUAGCACAAAGUAUGAUCGUGAUUAACCAUUCCAAUGGCCAAUCAUUUCCAAGCAUAUCCACACCUCUCAAUAACCAUAUACAUACAAAAUGAUUAUAACAUUAUGCUCAAAUAUAUAUAUAAGCCAUUUUCGCAUGGCUAUCCAAAUUUGUACAAUACCGAAAGGUACAUGACCAACAUCAAAAAGGGUAGUCCUAUACAUGCCAUUUCAAAGUUCAACCAAAAGAGUACCAAAAGGGGGCUUUGAUAGUGUGGACGACUUCGACUUCAACAAUCCCCCGAGUCAGAUAGCUGACGAACCAAAAUCUAUAAAACAGAAAAUCAAAGAAACGGAGUAAGCAUUUAAUGCUUAGUAAGUUUUGAGCCAUGAAAUUAGACACAACUAAAGUAUAACAUUCGUAUGGCUAAACGGAUAAUUUCAUAUGCACAAAUUCUCAAUAUCAUACUUACUUCACAUUACCGACCCUUAUAUUCAUACACAAAGGAUCAAUUUAGCCAAAGGCCGGUAGCUCAUUUAUCGACUGAGCGAAUACUAUUUGUAAGGAAUCAACCAAUUCAAUGCAUAUACGAAACAUACCUCAUCGCUGGGAUUUUACGAGCGUAUUAAUUGAAAUUAUUACAGCAAGUUCGCUCAUUCCCAAGCCAGGUACCUUCGGGAUUUAACCGGAUAUAGCUACUCGCUCGAAUGCCUUCGGGACAUAGCCCGGAUGUAGUAACUCGCACAAAUGCCUUCGGGACUUAGCCCGGAUAUAGUAACUCGCACAAAUGCCUUCGGGACUUAACCCGGAUAUAGUAACUCGCACAAAUGCCUUCGGGACUUAGCCCGGAACUAGUCACUAGCGCAAAUGCCUUUGGGACUUAGCCCGGUUAUCAUCCGAAUAUUCACGCACAUAUCAAUAGAUCAUGACACAUUUAUAUCUCAUUUUCAUAAUUAGAGUUCAAACACAAGUCACGUAUUAAGCAUUAACAUUUUCAGCUCAAAAGCUACAUACAAAGGGCAUGAUUUUGAUUUGCUUAUAACAUAAUCUAAUCGAAUCGUAAUCUAAGUUUCAUUACUCGAAAACUUACCUCGGAUGUUGUCGAACGAUUUCGGCGGCUAUUCGAUCACUUUUUCCUUUCCCUUAUCUAACUUUGGUCCUCUAAGCUCUUGAGCUAAUUCAAACAAAUUUAACUUAUUAAAGUCUCAUUAUGCUAGCUUAUGGCCGAAUAUGACAAGAAGUUUGAUAGGUCAUAUGGCCACUUUUAGCUCAAAUACAAAACGGUCAUACGCAUUUUUAAUCGCAUUGAGUAAUUUAAUACAAUUAAUCUAACAUUUCCUCAUGUGCACCUUUAUGACCGAAAACACACAUCAUUAACCUAAUAUCAAUUACUAAGCACUUUAGCAAUUUCUCCUUGAGCCGAUUAUCCAAGUCAAGAUAGAUUCAUCAUCAUGCUUACCUAUAACCGAACACAUGCAACACCAAUCCAUCUAUUCAUUCAUGCGUGCAUCUUAUUCAAGCAUGUAUAUCUACAACCGAAUUCAUCAUAUAAAUGACUAUGAAUUUACUCAAACAAUCUCAAUACCACACAUGGUGCUCAAGCCCUUUUUCAAUUUCAAAACUCGGCUAGUACAACUAUAUACACUAGUAAAUCAAACACUAACAAUUGCACUUCACCUUACUACCAUUUCUCAUCCAAAUAACGUGAACAACAACCAUAUUUCUCUUCUACUUCCUACCAUGGCCGAAUGCAUCAAAACACCAUACCAUUUCAAUUUUGGUCAUGGUUAAACAAAGAACUUAAUGUCUAACUCAAAAAUGCUAAAAAGAAAAUUUAAAAGUCAUCAAUCCACCUUCACAUGUAUCCUUACAAAGCUUCACUUUUAGCAUGCAAAUGACAUCAACACCAAUCCACCUUAGCCGAAUAUCAUCUCCAUGGCAUAGCAAAGAUUUGAACCAUGGGCUAGGUAGAACUCAAGCUAACAACUAAAAGCAUGCAUGAAUCUCAUGGAACAACAUCAACAUACCUUAACCUAGAUACAAGUAUGGCCGAACCUCUUCCUAAUCCUCUUCCAAGCCGAACAUGAAGCAAGAGAGCACCUUCCUUCUUCCUUCCUCCUUAGAACUUUCGGCCAAAAAAUGUAAAAGGAUGGACACUUUUUUUUUCUUUGUUUUCAUCAUUUUCCCUUCCAUUAUUUUAUUACCAUGCUCCUUAUUUUAUCAUUCCUCCCAAGAAACACCAACAUAACAUGUUUAUGACAUGUUUUUCCCAUCACACUUUGUCCACCCUAUUUGUCAUGGCCGGCCACUACUACUUAGGGGGAAAUUGACAUGCAAGUCCACCCUUUUUAUUACAUGCACUAAUAGAUCCUUAUGUUUUGACCUACCACAUUUCAAAAGUGUUACACAUAAGUCCUAUUGACUAAAUUCACAUGAAAUUUACUAAAUCGAAGCUUAAAACUUUCACACAUUCAUAUUCACAUAUUUUAGACAAUAAAUAUCAUAUUCAAAAAAUUUGGUGACUCGGUUAACGGUCCCGAAACCGCUUUCCGACUAGGGUCACUUUAGGGCUGUCACAAGAAGUUUGACCGAGCUUCCGCGACACUGACCUGAUCAAGACUGGGUACUACCUGAAAUCCAAUCAAUAAAUGGGUGAGCUAUGAACUCAGUGCGAAAAAGGAAUAUAAUUCAACAAUGGUUAUUAAUAAAGAAUUUCAAAUUCAGAUAUUCAAUUGAAGUAGAAGCAUGUUCAAUUAAGAUUCAGAGCAGAGUGGUACAUAUAUGUACAUAUAUACAAUUCCAGUUCAUGUAUGGUUAAGAUCUGAUUCAGAUGUAAUAUUCCUAUUUCCGUCUGCUACAUAUCAUCUUUAGCCAUCUGAACACACUACUAUGGACAUUUAAUGCCCAUCCAUCCCUGCACACCUUUAGAGUGUUCAAUGACACUUUCACAGAAACGUAGCUUAGUUGCUAAUUUAAUAUGCGACAAGUGCCAGAAUCAGAGUAAUACUCAUUAUGGCAUAGCAACAAUUUCAGCACAUAUAAUAUUAUUACUUACGAAUCAGUUCCAAUGUAUCAGACAAUUCUCAUAUAAUCAAUUUUAAUUACCCUUCCAUUGAGGAAACCAAUAUCAAGGUUAUGUAACAUUUUCGGCCUCAAAAGACAAUUUUUGGCCUAAUUAUCAGUUAAACGGUAGGGUCACACGCCUGUGUGCCCUGGUCGUGUGGUUUUAAAGCAUAAAGAGUGAGUUACACGGGCCAGACACACGCCCGUGUCUUUGCUGGACACAUGUCCGUGUCCUUACCCGUGUGAUUUACACGGCCUGGGUACACACCCGUGUUCUUGCCUGUGUAGCUUUUAUACCCUAACAGCAAGUUACACGACCUGGGCACACACCCGUGUCCUUGGCUCUGUGGUCUCAAUCGACAAAAAAUGAGUUACACAGCCCAAACACAAGCCCGUGUCUGUUGCUCGUGUGAACCCUACACCAAUAUGCCUAUAUAUGGCCUAGACAUACGUCCGUGUGUUCACUCGUAUGGCCUUAAUUUAACAAAUAGUGAGUUACACUACCAUUCACAUGGCCUGCCACAUGCCUAUGUAGCUCACACGACCUAGUUACACGCCCGUGUGUCUGGCUUGUGGCUCCGGCAGCCACUAUUUUUGGUGGUCGAAACUUGCAAAACUAUGGUUUCCGAUAUGCACCUGGAAAGAUUUCAAAGUGACAAAAACUUUACAGAUUCUCGAGGCUUAAAACAAGCGUUCAGUAGCACAAUUUAGCCAAUUAACCAACAAAACUUCCUAAUUACUCUCUUAAUACCUAUGUCAAAAGUUUCGACACGAAACCUUCAGAUAUCCCAAACUUAUCGAAACUUUAGCAACAAUUACAGAAAUUGUCUUAUUGCUAUUCCUUGUUGUUAAUAGCCCUGCUUGCUAAGUAAAUACACACUCGUUUAGAAAAGAUUCUCGAAACUCACAAAAAUUCUCCGUUCUAAAUAAUUUACAAAACGAAAGAAAAUUCAUAGAGAAGCUCGCAUUGACAAUUACUUACCGAUAGCCUUCUGACCAGUGACUAAUAACAGAACUUCCAUUAAUCCCGUAUCCCCUUACCACUUCUGGUUAACAAAAAAAAUAUAAAAACGAAAAAGAAGAAGAACAAAAAUAAAAAUGGGAAGGAAGAAGAAGAAACUAUUGUUAAAAUUAAUUCCUUAACUUCCAAGUAGAUUUUUGACAUAUAACAAAAAUAUUUUCCUAAAGCAUACGAUGGUAUUUGAACUCGAAACUCGACAGAAUAUAGACAAAUGUUUAACCAGUGAACCAGCAAGCUCAUUCUUGUCAUAAUUUCACACCGAAUCGAACUUAAGCGGUUAAGGCGUGCUUUUAGGUUGAUUUCAAAACUAACAAAACUUUUAAUAAUGCGACUCAAACUCUAGACCUUAAACUUAUUCGCAGAAUACAGAACCACAGAUACAGAAAUUAAUUACUGCAGAAUCUCACAAUUAAAUUCUUAAAAUUUUGGGGCGUUACAAGAUCUCUUCCUCCUUCACAAAUAUCCCAACCUAUGCAAAUGUAGAUUACAGAUAUCAACAACAUGUGUUCAGUCAUUCCAAUUCAAUUCAUAAAUAGUUAAUACAGAUUAGUGUCAUUAAUAGUGAUCACAACUUAUAUACAUUUAUAUACUUUAUAUCUCAAUCUCAUAGUAUCAGAUAGUCCUCAUACAAUUAAAUUUAGAUCAUAGAUACAUUGUGGAGGCUAGUACUCGAGUUAGACAAUACUCAUGACUUCAAAAAUAAGGUUCGGACCCUAUUUAAAUGCGACAUGGCCUCACACAUACCCAUACCGUCUGCUCGUGUGGUUCUAAAUCGUAAACAGUGAGUCACACGACCUGGACACCUGCUCGUGUCCUUGCUCGUGUGAUUCACACGGCCUAACCCUCACCUGUGUCAUCUGCCCUUGUAAGUUUAAAUCGCAAAUAGAGUGUUACACGGCCUGGACACACACCCGUGUCCUUGCCCAUGUGACUCACACAACCUGGGCACAUGCCUGUGUCCCUAGCCGUGUGGUCCUAAUUCAUAAACAGUGAGUUACCCGGCCUAGACACAUGCCCGUGUGAACCAUGGAUUAAUAUAGCCACACACGACCUGGACACACUGCGAACCACAAGAUCUACCACACGGUUGUGUGGCGUCGACAACCACAUUUUUCGACAUCCAAAAUUCACAACAACAAGGGUUUUUGGUACGUACCUGCAAUAGUUUCAGAGUAUAAACAACAUAAAAGAAUCCUAGAACCUAAAACAACCAUUCAAUAAUCAAUUAUACAAUUAUUCUCAAAUCAUCGCUAAGAUCGACCUAUCGCCAAAAUUUUGUCGAAAGUUUUGACACAACCCCAACUCAAAUUCGUACACUUACCUCGCACGUAUCAAAAGAAAACCAGACUAACACGACGGAGGAGUGCCUCCCGUAAGCCGUUCUCCUAAAAAGGUAAGCAAUUGAACAUUUAAACAGAGGAUUCAAGUAAAACGAGCAAAAUCUCGUUUUGACAGAAUAAACGAUAACGAGACGAAAACUCGCAGAAAUUGAAUAAGAUAACUACGAAACUUACACAACGAUCGCACAAACAACGCAAUGAGCAACAAAAGAACUCCCACUUAACACAGUAUCAAGUAUUGAAACAAGAAAAAAUAUAAAAAAAGAAAAAAAAACAAAGAAAGAAAAUGAAUAAGAAUAAGAAAAGGAAACAAAAAAAAGACGAUAGAAUUAGUUCAAAAUAAUUUAACCACAAACCAACUUUCCAAUGUUUAGCAAAAAUAUUCCCCCAUCGCAGACUCAAGGAUUCAAACAUAAGACCAAACAAAAUAAAAUGUUUAACCAUUGAACCAAUAAGCUCAUUCUUAUUACAAGGUUACUUGUAUUAAACUUAUUUAUGUCAUUCAAGGAUAAAGGUUAUCUUUAAAUUAAAAUAAUAAAACUUCUAAAGAUACAACUUGAACUCUUAACCUUAGAGAUUUAAUUACAAUGAAAUUCAACAGUCAAUGUUAAAAUUUUGAGGUGUUAGAUACUCAGUAUUCGCUUUUUCUUUAGAUUAGAAGAAAAAUAGGGUUGUCUCUUAGUAUUGGAAAGGCCCCGUGUUCGAUGCUUGAACAAUACAUGGUUGAUUAAAAUAACUCGAUUCUUAACUUUCGUUUUUAUUUUACCGAAGAACAAAUUGGUGUUAUUCGACUGGUGUACAGUUGGGUGACACCAUGAGAUUAAGUGAUCUAAUUUAAAUGAUAUGCACAAUUGAGACUGUUAAUUAGAGUUGGAUUCUUCUCGUUUCGCAAGACUGUCAGUGACUUAAAUUGUCAGGAUGUUCUUGUAGUUAAUUUAUAACUAAAGAAGGAUUGAUACAAUAUGUCAAAUAUGAAGACUAAAUUUAUUAUUAUACCAAUUUUGGUACUAUCACCGCCGCAACUUACAUUUAACAAGACUUAGUAGAAAAAAAAAAACUAAAAUAGUUGAAGGGUGAUUUUGAAAGUUUCAAAAGUGAGAUGAGAAAAAAACAAACCAACCUAGAGUGCAAUUUAUCUAUUGUUUUAAUAAAAGUAUUGGUCCAGCUCAGUUGUACUCGAUUAUCAUCAGGCCCCCACCCUUUGCUGUAAAUUCUCCCUUGUGAUCUCCUCUACAUGGCCUUUUCUGAUUCGUCAUAGUAAAUCUGAAGCCCCGCUUUCCUCUCCUACCCUUCCUUUCCCUUUUUUGUAUUACUUUUGCGCAGCCAGUGGUACACCUUCGACGCAUCAAAAAAGAAAAAACCUUAAUUUAUUAUUGUAACUGAUGUGAUGAAUUCAAAGCAGAAAUGGAGUUCAUUAAUCCGAAUCCACGUCACCAAUCCUCGUAGUGUCGCAUGAAAUAAAUGGAUACCGUUGGAUAAACACCCCGCAAUAAGCUAUCCCUAGCCGUUGGAUUAUAGCUCCUACCAUUGUUCUUCUCCCUUUCCUUCCAUCUCACAGCCAAGUUUUCCCUUUUAAAUCCUAAAGCCUUCUCAACAAAAUUAACAAUUAACAGUUUACUACUUCGUCUUCCUCUCACUCUCUUUUUCGCUUUCUCUUAAAUAAUACGAAAGCUAAAAAGAAAAAGCUCUAAAUUUCAAUGGCGACCGAAGAAAUUAGUCGAACUCAAGGCCUCAAUCCUUCUCAACAAUCUUCUUCACUUCCAGACUACCCUCAGGUAGUUUGCAUUUCGUUGUUUGUUGGGCUUUUCCAGAUCAUUUCAUUUGAUGUUAACUUUUUUUAUUUUUCUGAUUUUACUGGAUAGAUGAUUUUGGAAGCCAUAGAGGCAUUGAAUGAGAAAGAGGGUUCCAGUAUGUCAUCCAUCGCCAAGCACAUCGACUCCACUCACUCCGAUCUCCCAGCGUCGCACUCCACUCUCCUAUCCCACCACCUCAACCAGAUGAAACAAAUGGGUCAAAUUGUUAUGUUGAACAACAAUUACACAAAACCCGACCCCAAUGCCCCACCCAAGCGUGGACGUGGACGUCCACCUAAACCCAAGGUUCCUCUUCCACCUGGCGUCGUCGUCUCUCCUCCCAGAC